rnacentral:lncRNA from 1 species
UUUUUUUUCUUUUUCGUAUGCUAGGGGCUGUUCCUCUAUUCUAUUCGAGAGAUAAUACAAAUAAAUAAUAAAUGCAGUAUUACGCUUCUCAUCAAGCUUUGCUUUAAUUUUGACUCCCUUUAAUAUUUUUUUUUAACGUAUGAUGGAAAUCUUUUUGAUAUUGGCUUUCGAGUUUUGAAUCCUUUAUUCUGAUUACGUUUGAAAAAAUCAAAUGUUCGAAUAAUAUUAUUUAUUUGUUACAUUUUAAUUUUAAGUUAACUCUAAACAGUGUUAGAUUAUAUUGGUGGAUUUAUGUUGCGUCAACAAAAACAUGGCAAUGUCGGAUGUAGCCGUUACUCUUUUGUGGGAGCAUGAAUGGUCAGAAUCUAUCUACACGUGUAGUCAAUUGAUCCUAACAUGUGUGACAUUGAUUGUUGGAUUACAUUGGGAAUUAACUCCAAACAUCGACAAUGCUAAUUUUGAUUGUUUCUAUUUUGUGGGUGUAUGAUCUGCUAGCACGUGUAGUCAAUUGAUUAUGAUAGUCGUUAAGAAAUAUUUGUGACAUUAAUAGUUGAUUACAUUGGGAUCCAACAUUAUACUGGUUUUGGUCGAUCCUAUUUUAUGGAUGCAUGAUUCGUCCGCAAGUGUUCAAUUGACAAAUAGCAUUCAUUUUGAAAACAUUGUGCUUCAACCUUGUAAAUGAAAACAUCAACAACGUUGAUUUUGACGGUUCUUAUUUGCUGAACCUGCAAUUCAUUUGAGUGUAAUGUUAGGAAGACUAAAUUGUAAACAAAAUUGUGUAGACUGAAUGACAUGUGAGUUAGUAAUUGAAUUAUUACUUAAACGUUGAUAAAUGUGCUUAUUUGUAUUGGUGACACAUCAUUUAAUUUGUAAAUUUUAUCUUUAAAUUUAGUCUUUUUCGCAUUACCCUUCACUUAAAUGUAUAAGUGAUUGAUCAUAACACUCGUGAUGGAAACAUUUGACACAUUGGGGGUUGUGUAUAAAUCAAUUGCUUCAAAUAAAACAAUGAAUAAUUAAAACUUUGGACUGAAAUUUGACUAAAAGAAGAUAAGACGAGUAGCACACGGGUUGCUCUCAAUUGCCCAUGUGAUGAUGAGAAGGGCCUCCGGGCCACGACACUGCAAAAGAGUCAUCGACGAGAGAAAGCAGAAGCACUCGUGACUCGUGAUUAAUUGAAUUCACUAGUCGAAUAACCAACACCAUGUAACCAUCUCUCUGAAAACGAAGUCUAGCAGAAACAACAAACUUUAAACCCUUUCGCCACCGGCCUCCAGCUCCUGGUUGGGGCCGGUGGCAGCCACCCUUUCAAUUUUUGUUUUCAUCUUCCUCCCUCUUUCUUUCUCGUACUGCGAUGGUCUCGGUUCCUGACGUGGAUGGAGAUUUAUCCCCAAGCGUUUUGUCCCUCCCCGCAACUGCGAUCACCUCGAUCCCCUUCAUGGAUCGGCGGAGCAACCUGCCACCUACAUGUGGUAUGGACGGAACUUUGUUUCCGGGUUUUGUGCCCAUGUUUCAAGGUCCUAAUCCUUUGAUUUGGGGUUUUUGGGAUUAGAUUUGGGGUUCUUGGGGCUAUGAGCUCAAACAGCUCCAAUACUUUGAAUCUGCUCUCCAAUUCCUCAUACCCGCCAUUGCCUUCCACUCCAGUUUUGGGGGAUUUCAUCUCAUCUCUUGUAUGUUGCUCCUGGUCAGAGACAACUACAUGUUGUCACCCCUACAAAGGUCUGGUAUCUCUUUAUAAUGGUGUUUACACCACCUGACCAUUUUUGUUACAGCUUGGUUCUGGGCAUUCGCUUGCGUUUGUGUUCGUCUGAGGACUGGAUUUGUGGCGUUCAGGAUGGGUUUGGUUCUUCCUGAUCUGCAAGUUGGGCUUCUUUUCACCAACUUUGAAGCAUUGAUGGGUUCUUGUAUUGCACUAUGCGGUGGUAUCUCUCAGUUUUUCUGUUCGCCGGUCGUCUCCAUCUUUUCUGCGGCGGGUGAUCUUCGUUUUAGGGUGGUCAUAUUUUUUAGAAGGGCCACUUUUGUGCCUCUUCGGGUGGACUCUAGCUUUUGGGCCGAGCCACAUCUCUUGUAAUUUUAGGUAUAUUUGAGAACCGUUACUCAUGCGAUGAAUGCAUAAGUGACGUAUUAGUUGUACCUACCUCAAUUAUGGGGAUAUUGUCUUUGUACGGUGUCCGUUUGGACUUUGUUAUAAAAUUCCUCCUUGACCAAAAAGAAAAAUCAAACUACCAAACCCCACUGAAAAGGGUAGCCUUACAUUCUAUCCAUGUGUUAUUAUGUUUGUAUAUAUUUGAAUAAGUUGGUGAAGGAGAUUUGGAUUUAGUGACUAUCUCUUGGUUCAGCAUUUCUGAUUGACAAAAUUUGGUUAUGGUGUGUUUUUGGUCGAGGGUUUGUAAUUUUUAUGUUGCAAUGUCUUGGUCGAAUCGAUCAGUCGGUUGUUUUCUAUACUGUUGUUGCCUUGGUGGCUGUUGGAAAUACGUUUGUGGUGACGGCAGUAGGUGCUGCUUUCUGCACUUGGAAAAUAGAGAUUAGGGUUUUGGUUUUUGUUUGUUUGGUUAUUGGACUGGCUUUUGUGUAUUUGAAUUCUCUUACUGUGUGUUGAGUUAUAUUGUCUUCUUUUGAGUUGGCCUGUAAUAUUUUUUCUCCUUAAUAAAUAUUACUUUUCAAGAGGAAAAAAAAAACCUACUCAGAAAGAAAACGACAAAAAAAAAAUAGAAACCCAUGUGACUUAAAAAAAGAAUGCAUUUUCCAAGAUGUAAGUAGAGACCAUUCGCCGCACGUAAUUAACUUCGAAAAUCCAUCUCCCCACAGUGUUGUGUACAGUCAAAGCAUAUUAUUAACUCUUUAGAACAAGUUGGUGCUUGUUCAAAAGUUGGUCUAGGACUCUAGGUUAGUAGCUGAAGACUGAAGUGGACCACUUGUUUGAGAAUUUGACAACUGAGGGGCCGUUCUAAACUUCUAAACCAUCAAAAGCAUUUUAUAAUACUGAUUAAAAAACACUUAUACUCGUAAACGGUUGUAUUAGAAGGAAAAGACAUGGAUCUUCAAGGAUUUAGGAGGAAUUCUUCUUCAAGAUAUCUGUUUAUGGAACUUCGUGACCGUUAACGAAACCGUUCGUAUUCAAAAAUUAAUAUUUAAAGAUAAUUUCUACAAAAAAGAAAACAAAAAGAUCUUGUAAUCAUUGAAUAGUAUAAAAGUAAAUGUUUGGUAUUGAUAAAAAUAUUAUGAAUCGUCUAUUUAUAUAUUAUAUUUGAUUUACUAAACAACUUUAAUUUCAAUUGAUUGUUUGCACAUAUGAUCUUUAUAUAUUAAUUUUUAAUAUAAACAGUUAUGAUUAUUAGCACGAAGUUCUGUGAAUCGAUCACAAAGUAUCUUGAGGAGAAAAUCCUCCUCAAAUUAAGGAGUUAAGCUUUUUUAUUAUUAAACACUGUUUAAGUGUUUCUUUUUCAAAAAGUGCUUUUAUGACACUAAAAGCAUGUGUUGGUUGCCAUAAAACACUUUGAACCCUACUAUAAGCAUUCACAAACAGACCAUUAGCAAAAGUUCAAGCAUUGCAUAAAGAAUCACUUGUCUCGUGUAGCAAGUAAAUAAUUUUAAGUUUUUUUUAUUAACGUAAUUAGAAACACUUUCAGUUAUGUUUUUAAUCAUUAUGGACGAAACAUGAGAUAAUCCCACAUGCUUUAGGUGAUUUUGUGCGAAAUGAUUAAUGAAAUUAAUCAAGAUUAUGCAUCAAUCAGUGACAAGAUAUUUCAUCAAUACUAAAGUACUUUCUUGGAAUGUUGUGGGGCUACUUGAUUAGUGUGAGUGGAUGUGGUCCGUGUCCAUUGAUUUGAUGAUGAUGAAGAAUCGCGUGGGUUCGGGAUUUCUCUACCGAAUCGAUAAGAGAACGGGAUAAUUGAGAUUAUAAUAAUAAUCAUAAUAUUAUUAUAAUAAUAAUAAUUAGUAGUUGAUGUUCUAUUCGUAACAAAAAGUACGAUAUUCAGUGAUACGAAAAAGAAUACGUACAUAUAGGAGGGUAGGGGUCAUUUAAUAUGGACCUCAAUAAAAAUUGUUGAAAUGUCCCACAUCGACCGUAUCAAUGACAAAAAGAAGAGUUUAAAUAUCAUAAUCCUACUCCAACUAAUACCGACGCAUUUUGUAUUAAAAUCUCACACCUGACUGAUUGAGCAGGUGGCCAAGUGGGGACAGUAUCGGUAUUGUUGGAGUGGGCACAUGGCCCGUCUACCUGAAAUUUAAGAUGGUAUCAGAGCCAGGGAGCGAGCCCGUACCGUAUUGCCAAGUGAUGGGUGGGUCCCCUUGGCCCCGCACGAUGAUGGUGGGUCCCUUGGCUCUACGUGAUUGUCGAUGUGUGGAUCUCUCACGUGUGACCUGCUAAUUGGGUCCCACGUGAGGGGGCGUGUUGAAAUGUCUCAUAUCGACCAUAUCAAUGACAAAAAGAAGAGUUUAAAUACCCUAAUCCCACUCCAACUAAUACCGAGGCCUUUUGUGAUAAAACCUCACACCUGACGGAUUGUGCAUGUGGUAAAGUUGGGGAUAAUAUUGGUGUUGUUAGAAGUGGACCGUAUGACCCGUCUCUCUGAUAUUUCUACAAAAAUUUUGUCAAGAAUUUCAACGUGAUCAAAGAGAAAAAGAACUUUUCAUGCUACCAAAUUACAAAAUUGUACUAUCCUCAAAAGUAAGAUAUGUGAUUGCAUCGGAGUUCCUCAAACCAAAUCAUUUGUUGCUCUAAACCAAAUAAUUUGAUGAUCUAAAAUGACAGUCCCAAUCGUGCCAGCCUAUGAGCGACCUUGUUUGCCUCCCGUCGAGUACGAGAGAGCUUGGUUUGAAUGAAAAUAGGAAGAAUAAUCCAGCUGGUGGUACUGCUACAAAAUAAUACUGCGUUUUUGGGAAUAUUUGCUUUUGAGUUCUUCCACAUCAACUAUGAAACUACAGCGUUUUGGGACAUUUCAUUAUCAAGACAUGGCUCCACCUGUGACUUCGUCCAACCCAUCCCUUUGUUGUACACUACAUACCCCUACAUGGAACAUGGUGCAUGUAUUUCUAUUGUUUUGUUUAUUGAUACGAGAUAUUUGACUUCCGAAUUCCCUUCAAAAUAAUCGAGAUUGUUGACUUCAAAACUUCCUCCACCAGCCCCUUCCUUUGUUGUACGCACCUCCAUCGUACAUGCAUUUCUUUGUUUCGUUUCUUUUCUAUCGAUCAACGACGGAGUGUGUGUAAAAUUUAACUUUAGAACCUCCUCUAACAUGAGGGUAAUUUCAGCAAGGUCACAUGAUUAAGAAACUCUUACACCAGAUGAGAAUGUCAAGUGAUACCAAAAUACAAAAAAAGUCAUAUGCUUUUGCGAGAGUUGUUUCACAAAUGGCGUGAUCGGAUAUUCCUCGACAGUUUUAUACAUCAAACAGUAUCAAGACCUUGUUUAAUAGGCUCCUCCUUUUUCUUAGUAUAUAUUUUUUUCUACCCCAAAAGUUUAGGCUUUGUUAAAUUAACGUCACGGGAUUCACAAACCUGUGAUGUGCGAUCGGACGAAGUGGCCCAAGGUUGUGCUCCCCUUGCACAUAAUCCACCCACGCACUUGCAUUCUUGAUUUGUAUUUUUAUUCGAGUUCAUGAACAUAUAAGGGCCAACGGGGUCCGCCAACCUUACUUCCUUCGACUUCGGUUUGCUACCGGCUCCAACAACCGAACAGCGUAACGACGACGAAUGCGCUCCCUCCUCCCUCACAUGUUUCUAUCGUUACGAAAUUAUCACAUCAAUUUGUUAUGAAAUGAGUGCACGAUGUGAUUGAUGUUUUAAGAAUAAAAUAUUAUAUAUAUAUAUAUAUAUAUACAUAAUUUAACGUGUUACAACAUAAAUAAAAUAUUAAAAUCAGUACAACCGUUGGGGACAUUAUGAUUUGAGACUUCAAGGAGACUUGAGAGCUUCAUUUGGGCAAAAGAAAGAACCAGUCGUUGUCGCCUCUCUAAAUAUUUACCCAAAAAGCAACACGCUUCAUUUUUUAUGUGCCCUAACGUUCUAUAUAUAUAUAUAUAUAUAUAUAUAUAUAUAUAUAUUAUUAUUAUUAUUAUUAUUAUUAUUAUUUUUCUUAGGAACAUGAUGGUCGCAUAGACAAUUUGGACAUGAAAAGGGCAGAGAUUUCCCAGCCUGUCCCAUGCUCGUACCAUAUGGUUCAGAUUUCAUAUUCUUUCAACCUAAUCAAUAACAGCCUAGAUCCCCGACAGCCAUAUCGAUGUCGCAUUUCGAGGAAGAAGUGGGAUCGAAAUUUGCCUUCUGUGGUUUUCAUAUUUUAAACAAUUAAUUUAAUUUUAUCAUCACAAAAUGCAAAUGAUGCUUCGAUUGCCUGUGGCUGGGAAGAACAAGGCUUCCGUUUGUUAGGUCAAGAUUUGUUGUAAGAUCACAUACAGACCGACUACACUGUCACGGUUGUGUUAUAUUGCUCCUGAUCAUGAACGGCAUUGCAACAAUGUAUCUGGUCCAUCUAAGUUGCUUACAAGAUUUUUGCCGAGAAGUUAUUUUAAUUGGAAGGAAUUGUGGUCCCUUUUCUUUCUUUUUUCUUCAAAAAAGAAAUAGAAUAUGUUUUAAUAACCGAAAUCAAAGACCCAUCAGCGGUUUUAUCUCCUAUGUUAAUUUAAUUUUCAGUCACAUGCAGGAAGUCGUCAUGGGCAAUUGGGUAUGGAUAGGUUCCCACAUGCAAACAUGUAAAUUUGUAACACUCUUUGCUUACUCAAGUUUGACAGCACUACGAGAAAAAACUCACCUAUCUCAUGUUGCAUGCCGCUUUCUGUUUCAUGCAAGUUUCUCUCUGCCAUUGGUGCGCUUGACCAAUUAGGGAGUCCAAAUAUAACCGGGUUAAAUCCAACCGGAGCAAUUUCACCGCAGUUAUACUAUGAAUAUACUGGGAGCCAUUAGGGUUUUUUUUUUUUUUUUUUUUUUUUUUACAAGGAGCUGGUUAUUAACAAGAGGGAUGAAAAGAAAGUUACGAUUACAGUACAAUAGCCUUGCAAGCUAUCCAGAAGAAUAAUAUGUUACAGCAAAGUGAAAAUCCGAUCCGGCGAUGGCGUGCGAAAUCACCUUUUUUUACUUGUGUGAAAGCGUUGUGUAUAUUUCUCCUUGACACUUUCUAAGUACUGUUCAACUACAAUUGCACCCAUCUUUGAUAAGCUCUCCUGGUCACCAUCAGUGUCUUGAUCCAAAUGCAACAACUGAAAUGGCCAAAACAUGUCGAUUUCCGUGUCGUCAACUUUAGCUCGAUGUAGCUUUGUGUCCCGAGGCAGAUGAUCCACCAAGCCAAAACCAACCACAAGUUUGGCACCUCGGAUACUAUUUGUUGGUGAUGUCUGAUCAAAUGUGGGUGUAAAAGAAUGUAGAUAAAAGGCCAGAUCCGCUGGCUUUUAUAUGGUGAUAAUGCUGCCCGACCUUUACUGUUUUCUGCGGCAGGUAGCAAGUCGGACAUUGCGACCACAUUAAUUCUAAGUCUCUCCGAAGCAAGCGCCACAAGUUGUGCUCACCGCUCUCUCAUACAGUCCUUUUUCGAGAGGGAAAAUCGGCAAAUAGUUGAUUUAAUUGUGGUCCUUUUUGCUUCUCUUUAACAUCAUUGACAUGUGAUUGAUGUCCUCAUGGCCCAUUUGUGUUCCACUCACCAGCCACUGAAUGGCCUCCGCUGCCGCAUCUUUUUCUGCACUCUUCUUGUUGUUACAUGGGUGGCCCAUAAUUUGCAUUCCGUUAAACUCCACUGUAGCUCGGAACUGGCUGUUCUUCAGUUGCAUAGUUUUGUAGGUAGGAGCGUUGUAUCCUGCUCGUGUGAGCAAUGUCUGGAGCUGACUCUUAGAAUUGUCACCCCCGGGUCCACUUUCAGUUCUUGAAACCAAGGCUGGCUGUGCUGCCACCACAGAUGGCUUUGACUUUGAGAGUGCAAGGACCUGGCGGCCAAAUACAAAUCUACCUUCGCCUUGAUCCUCCGAAAGCAGGAACCGCAUUGCAGAAAGAAGUUCAUGGUAACUGUGUGUGUCCAUCCUGGGGUUCAGUAGCUGUUCAGGAUUCACAAUAUUCGACAUUAGCCAGAGGUAACAUGCAGAGAAAAUAUAUUCAAACCUCACAUCAACUGCAACUGGGAAAGUAAAUUAGAAAGAGACCCGAAAUAAUAAAAUAUAUAUUUAUACAUAAUAAAUAAGUAAACUAUAAGAACAGAAACAAGGUCAAAACUUAGGAGAAACUAAGUUCGUAAUAGCUUCACUUACUUUGAUUUGAAUUAACUGGUCAAGUUCCCCUUUUAAGCAUUGAUACAUUUCUGCUACAGCAGGCUUCAUGAAGAAUUCCAAAUAUCCUCCCAGCAUUUUCAAGUGUCCAUCCUACAAGAACAGGAAAUAAAUCACACUAUAUCACUAAAUAAGGAGCAAUAACGAUAACAGAAAACAGACAUAAUCGAGCAUGCAUAAGUAUGUCCCCACUCCCACAAUCAGAAAAUAAGUUACUUGACACAUCCAGAAAACAACAGAAACGAAAUACGUACGGUAUCCCCUUUCGAAAAACUUCCACCAAAUAGGAGGAGCACUGAGUCAGACACAGCUGUUGAAUCCCGUAGGAAAACAGAGUUCACCUUUAUCUUCUCAUUGAAAACCAGCCACGGAUAUGGAAUUUUGGAAUCCCUAGCAUUGACAGAGUUCUAAACAAAUGAAAAAGAACAUGAGAUUAAAUAGAAACAGAAUUGGGGCCAUAUUUUUCUUAAAUCUAAUGCACAAGAAUGCUUACCGAGUAUAGCAGCACCUGCCCAUCCUCCAUUGUUUUCAGUGAAAAUGACUUCUCAUUGUGCUGCAUAUCAAAUUAUGCAAGUCCUCAAGAAAAUUAUACAAGAAUUCAAUCAUGCUUAUGUGUAUCGGAGAAAUCAUACACAUGAACUCACCAACAAACACUGAAACUGAUAAAGCAAUUUCAGUUACAUUCGUAUGGCUAACUUAACUUUCUUCCCAAUUUGAUUAGUAAGACAUGGGUUAAUCAUGAGAUAACCAUCAUGAAUCCAACAGAGGGAGGAGAGUGACAGCAUAAAUUUUUUAGAGAAGUGAACAGCUUAUAUCUUGCUUAAUUAUAAUCGGAAGGAAAAGAAAAUGGAUCUGUGCUUACCACAACAGAGCAGAUUCCAGGAUACAGGCCACAGCAAAUAACUGCACGGACGAGAUGCUCAUCAUAACUCCAUGCGUUAUGAGUGGUGGUGUUGGCAUCAACAAGAUCAGUAUCCCUAAGCAAAGAGAAGAACUCCUUCCUAAGGGAAUCAAUAGCUUUCAUCGAUUGUGCUGAAAGAAAAUUCUUCCAGCAAUAGUCAUAUCCAGCAAAGUCUCUUUCAGCAACCUUCCAGCCCUCAUAGGCCCGCACAAGUGCAAGGUGAUCACUAUUAUCUCGGGAAAACUGAGAUUUUGCAGCCUCAGCAAGCUACAAAGACAAACAAAUACAAUAACCUUAAAUUGUUUCCAAUGAUAAUGACACAGUGGCAAAUUAUAAAUCUGAUGCAACUUUACGAUCUUGCACCUCCACCCAAAAAGACUAAAACAAACUUCAGCCAACAAAGCAUUUAUCUCAAUUUGCCUCCACUCCAGUUCUGUCCAAGAAAUAAAGAGCAUGAUAGAUAUAAUGAGAAUGGAGAGUGGCUUACGUCUUUCUUGUCAAAUGGUGUUAGGAAAGGAUCUCUGACACUAAGCCCAGAAACAAUAGUCAAAACUGGAUCCAGGCAGUUGAAAAUGGCGCCUAGCAAGAGCAUCUUUCCAAGUUUUGGCUCCACAGGAAGCAUAGUUAGAUAGCGUCCUGUCAAGUGAUUUCGACUUUAUGACUUUCAAAUUUAAUCUCUCAGCCAUUACAAAGAGUUGCAAGCAUCACAGUGCAUAAUUGAAAUAAUACAUAUCUUCCCACCUAAAACAGUCAGAUUCUCUUUCUCAUCCAAGGCCCCAGUGAUCUUUAAAUACUCUAUGGCGUUUUGCACCUGUAAAAGAUAUCAAGAGACAAAAUGUGAAUUGCAGACAAGCAGCAAAAUGUGAGUGAGAAUAAGCACAACAUAAUUUCAGGAGGAACAAUUUGGGGUAAGCCUUGAGCUGCACGUGUGCAGGGUGCAACUAAAACACCAUAUGCCACUAAGAUAUCAUGACAGACAUUAAUAAGCAUCUGCACUAAAUGCUAAGGAAUUAACAAGCUUAAUUAGCGCAAGAAAGUAGAGCUACAAUGAAAAGCAAAUUACAGCUAUUCUCAAUAAGCUUUUCAGCAACAAAAAAUUGUGCAACUGAAGAUUUAAGUUAAAAUAAUAUUAGGUAGAUAAAUAUAAGAUAGACUUUUACCGCAAGUAACUCUGGUGACUGCAGAGCCCUAGAUAAGAACUCAGAAAUGCUUCCGAGGUUUAAACUUUUUAUUUGCAGACACAGAGACUGCAGAGGUGUCCUCAAAAUCUCUGGUAACUGAUACUCUGCAAAUGCGUCAUACACACAUCUAGGAUAGAGAUGAUAACAUUCCCCGGGCUGGACACGUCCUGCUCUUCCUCUUCUCUAUAAUAUAUAAGCAGAGAGGAGCGUAAUUAAUCAAGGUAACAGACUGAAACUUGAAAUGUACUGAACAUUAAGGAAAAUCAAAGUGGCCCACAUGAAAUCACAUAAGCAUGCACACACAUAUAGAAAGAACAACAUGUAAAUAAGCGUUUAUAGCCUGUCGCCCCUGUUGGGUGUUUAGUGUUUACACAGAAACUCUAAUGAUCUCAAGAGAAUUAUAAAGUAAAAAUGUUAAUUUAAUGGAAAUUGUAAUUACAAAAAUAAUUUCUGCUACUCAUUCUACCACACAUGCAUGCACACAAUGAUGUAGGUCAACAACCGAGGAAUAGAUUUCAUCUAAGAGACAAAAAUCUUCAGCCAGAACACAUCCUUACUUGUUGGGCAGAAACCUUGGAAAUCCAGGAAGGAAGUAAACAAGGAGUAUUAUUCAGUGCGUCAUAUGAAGUCUCUUUUGCCUUUCCACAAUCAAGUACAAAAACAACAUCAUUAAUCGUGAUGCUUGUCUCAGCAAUAUUAGUAGCCAGCACUAUUUUCCUCACUCCAUCCUCAGGCUCAUCAAAUAUUAACCUCUGCAUGCAGUCAACAUGGAAAUGAUAAAAAAAAAGAAGAGAAACCACCAUAUGAAACUGGCCUAGAAAGUAGAUUUGGUAGUAAUUCUUUCAUUCAAUAAAGGUGAAGACAAAUUAUGGCAGUAGUAAUUAAUUAAUUACCAUUAACUAAAAUAAAUGCCUGAACAGCAUACUACAAGCAUACGCAAAUAAAUUAUGCUAGAGAUAGUACAAUUAUCAGGGCAUUAAAAAAUUACCUGCUCAGUACUCGCCAUAGAACCAUGGCAUGCUAGUAACAAGACUCGGCUUGGAUCACCUAAUAGAGGAUUGGCAUGUAACUUUUCCUUCAGAGAAUUGAUGUCAUCCCACCCAGUCAUAAAAACUAGAAUGGCACCUGGCUUUUCACUCUCACAGAUAUUGCACAAGAGAUACUCGAUGAGAUAAAAACCAAUACCAUCAGGAUUCCAACAUGCUAGAGACUCCUGAGUCUGUAGACUAUACCCCUUAAAAUUGGCUGCUUUAAGUGCAUCCUGAAUACAUUACAUGAGGGCAAAAAUGAGAAGACAGAAAAUGAAAAAGAACAAAACCAUUUAUGCAGUAACUUGUAUACCUCAACAACAAAAGCAAUUUGGCUUUUCCUCUUUCUUGGUGCCUGUUUGCUCAUUUUCCACAUCUUAUCUUGACCAUAAUCAUCAAUCUGAUUGUAUGGAGUUAAUUUGCAGCCCGUAAUUUCCAGAACAUCCUCCAGAAAAUGAGUUUGAACUGGAUAUGUAAAACCCUAGUUUAGAGGGAAAGCAACAAAGAUAGACAAACCAUAUCAAACAUUAAUAUCUAUCUCCACAAUCGUCAUUAAGACUUCCCUCAUGAAACAAACAGAAAUAUGCAUUAAUGCAUAACACCCCUCAAAUAUAAAAGGUAAUACACAUUGUUAACGGAAAUGCACUGGAAUUUUAAACUUACUGGAACAUGAAUUAUCUGAGCUCUACCAAAGUAGGAUGAGAAAAGCUCAGAAUCUAGGGUUGCACUCAUCAAAAUCAGCCUCAGUUCUGGUCGCCGAGGAAGGAGAUCCUUGAGAACAAUAAGCAGAAAAUCUGGCAUCAAAUUAUUACAGUGAGAAAUCACCCUUCAUAUUGAAAACUUGAAGCCUUGAUCUAGCUCUAAUUUACCUUCAUUCAUUCCACGUUCAUGAAUUUCAUCAACAAUCACAUGAGUUACACCUUUCAAAUUUCUAUCAACUAGCAAUCUUCUCAACAAAAUGCCAGUGGUGCAAAAGAGAAGGCGAGUGUCCCUCCCCUUCAUACCUUCUAAGCGAACCUUAUACCCAACCUAAGACCAAAGGAAUGCAAGGAAAAGGUUAAAAGAAAAAGAAAACAUCAGAGGUUCUUUUUAUCUGAAGGGUAAUAAUUUGAUCAAGUAUCUGAGGAAACUCACCGAGUCACCCAAUUUCUCCCCUCUCUCUGAAGCAACUCUUUCAGAAACAGACAUAGCAGAUAUUCGUCUAGGCUGUGUACAUAUAAUACUACAAACAGCUCCACGAACAGCUUCUAUCUCAGAUUCUAAAAUGAAUUGUGGAAUUUGAGUAGUCUUGCCACAGCCAGUUUCACCUGAUAUGAUAACAACCUACAAGUACAAAAGUGCCAAAAAAUUAUUAUAUUGCCAUGUUACAGACCACCUUUGCAUAAUUGAACUAAAAUAAUUGCGUGAUUCAGCAUGUAUCCAUAUCUACUACCUUACCUUUGAAAACAACCCAAAAGAAAGACAACGACUUAAGAGAGAAAAAAGCUGACCAUCAACACAGGCCAACUACCGAAUUGUAAAACUACGACCAAAGUCAGAACAAACGUCUCACAUGAAUUUUCCUGAAAAUUUAAUUACUAACCUGAUCUCGUGAAAUUGCUGCCAAUAAUGCAUCCUUCUCUUUAUAAGCAGGAAGACUUCUGCGAAGUUCAAGCAUUUUUCUACCUUGAGGAGAUUCCUGAAAGAAAAAAAAUAUUACAAAUACAUAGAACAAAACACAUGAGUCAUCGUAUGAGUUAUAACUGAAUGCAGUCAAUCAUGCAGAGCAAUAUGCCAAGGUAAGACAAACCUGCCAAGCUUGUUGCUUAUCACGCAUCUGCGUACUUGUCCGCCAAAGAAGCUUUUCCAUAACACCCUUACUUGACGCGAAUGAUUCUGGUUGCUCAAAAAGCCCUUCAUCAGUAGCAAUGCUGCCACUACUGUUUGAUAUCGAAAAGGAAAGAUCUUCCUUUGUCCUAGACUUCUGGGAAAGGAACUCUCCAAGAUAUCCCUCAACUCUCCUCAGCAACCCAUGAGGCAAGGUCACCUUUCAAAUUUAAAAACCUUCACUUAAGAACCGUGUAGAAAGAAGUACAAAGAACUCACACAUUAAAAACAUCAUGAGGUGGAGGGAAGCUGUCCUAAACUCCUAGCUAAUCCAUUGUUACAUUUUCAUAUAAGUAAACUAAUCCGUUGGGACAAAUUAAAAUAAGAAACAUGAAGUCAAGAAAUAAGGGUUAUCAACAAAGGGAAUCACCAUUAGCACUGGAACUCAGUAAAUUAAAGGCAGUAUAGAUGGCUGUCAACUUCAAGAGUACAAUAAACAGAAACUUCAACUUUAAGGAAAACAAAACGAUCAGAAUUACCUCUCUCUGAGGGCGCCUAUCAUCCAGAUCAAAUCUGUAGUUUGGCAGUGGGACCUUACUAAAAACAGCAACUUUCGAAUAUAGAUGGCUGUCAAAAAUGCGUACGGUCAGACUUCUAUAAAGUUAUCGAAACACUUACAUGCUGACAAAAACCAAAGAUACCUAUAAAGCCCCAUUCUGCUUGCCAAAGCAGCUAUUUUCUCAAAGUCGCAUCUAUCUUUUUUCUCCCUCGUAACCAAUUCUUGCUUCUCCUUGUCACGUAACAGCGUGGUAAAUUUCCGUUCCCACUCAUUAUCAGAUGAGUAAGGACUCUGUGUCUGCAAUAUUCAGAUAAACAAAUACCAUAAGCAUUUAUAUAUGUUACACCUUUCAACUGGAUAGAAAUCUCCGUAAACAUCAUGCCUUGAUGCCUUAAUAAACAGUCAUAAUGGUACGCCUUGGAUUAACUUAAGAGGUAAGGGCUUGAAAAGGCUAAAUUAGACACAGUAUGCAUUUCGAGCCAUUAGCAGUUGAUAAGAACUUCAUACAGGGUAAAGGAAGACACUCCAUCAUAUACUGUUUCCAUAAUGAGAGGAAAAUGAGGUUGCAAAACUCCUCAUUCCAACCGGCUAAAAUGACUUGCUUAUCGGUAAAUGCGGACUUGAAAUGCCUUUGAGUAUGCAACGGGAAGCAGUAAAAAUGAAAUUGAUAGACUGAAGCAGCUUCGCAUUGAGCUGCUAACCUGAACUCCACAAAAUCUCUCCACUACUUUCCAAUCACCAUCCGCAACCUAAUCGCAUUAAGCUUCUCAUAAACUGCCAGCAAUGCAUAUCGAAAAUCGACAUAGCAUUUCACAUCACACUAAGUAAACGACUCAAUCAACAACCAAAUUAAAAGCUAACAUUGAAACACUCAACUACUACCACUUCAGAACUUCAGAGUCUGAGGCCUAAUUGAAACCAAAUUACCAAUUCACACUCAGUAAACGCGCGGAUUCCCCAAUUAACAACUCUAAGCGCGCACACAAUUCACAUAUAAAAACCUCACCGGAUACGACGGCAACUGAACUUCGCGAUCGGAGCCUUCCUCGGAAACGCCGUCGUCGUAAGCAGAAGAGUGCUGAAGCUUGGGCUUCUGAAAAUGCUGCUGCUGCUGCUGCUGAUUCUGGUAGUACGCCAGAGCACCAAUGGUGCUGCUCCUCUGGUUAAGAGCAGCAGCAGUCUGGUUGUCGCGGAGCUUGGAGCCGACUGAAGUAGGGGAGGUGUAAUUGGGGGUGGUGAUGGCGGAGCGGGGGCGGUGGUGGGGAGGGACGUAGACGGAGCCGUACGAGGAAGGAGGCCGGUCCUUCAUCGCCAGGAGUGAGGUUUUGGAGGAGGAGGCAAUCGGUUUGGGAGGUGAAGGCGACGGCGACGACGCGUAUGGGAAUUGCAGAGACGGAGGAGAUGGGUGGAGGAGGAGGAGGAAAGCAGAGGGAAUGCAAGGUGAGGCAGAAAAGUGGCGUCGUUCGAGAUCAGAGAAAUGUCCGAAUGAGUCUCCCCUCCGGAAGCGAAGAGUUGAGUGUACUUCGAGUUCGCACGUCAGCGCUGCACUUUCGGCUUUAAACUGCAUCUUUUCAAGAUAAACGCUUUCCGUAUUCUGGUAUUUACAGUUUUCUUAUUUUUAUUUAAAAACAAAAAACAAAAUUAAAUUCCCUCUGUGCCCGAAUUUUUUCAAGAAAAUGUACAUGCGUUUUCAGUUUUCCUAAUAAAAAUAAUUUUAGAUGACAAAUUAUGUGCAAGGUAAAGAUGGGUAUGCUGUCUUUAGGUACUCGCGUAGUUUUUAUUUGUGCGUAAGAAAAUUGAUAAAUUUAGAGUAAUUAUGAUAUUCGCGUCGGUUUUAAGAAAAUAAGUUGCUAAUGUCGUCGAAAAAUGUAAUCGUGGGAGAGAAGUGCAUGACGACUUUUUAAGUGUCGAUAAUAAUUCUCUUGAGAGAAAUGUCAAAAAAUAAGUUACGUUCGGCAAAACAUAUCCUUUUAUCACCGGUCUUAUUCAAGCCCUCGAGUCUUCUAACGGGAAAAAAAAGAAAUCAAAAACUUUUACUCAGCAUACAUGAGCUAAUACCGAAAAAGAAACUGCUGUAAAUUACACCCGUCUCGAGUUUCAAACUCCAAGGAGAGGAAUGAGUUGCCUCAGACUCCGGCUUCUGGAGGCUUAGUACGUAUAGCCCUUGACGAACAUUCCUUUCUUGGCUUCCUCGUCCUCGCCUGCAGCAGAGUACUUUCCUAGCUGAGCCAAGGAGUUUGCCUUUGCUCGCACCAGAAGUGCCUUUUGUGCAGCGUCCACGUUCUCAGGAUGUCCUUGCCAUGCCUUAAGGACAGAGUUCUGCAGGGCACGUGCGUACGAGAAGGAUACGUGCCAAGGGUUGGGGCUUUGGUUCAUUGCAUUUAGGUUGAGGGUCGCUUCUGCUUCGGAUUGUCCUCCUGACAAAAACUGUUAAGUGAAAGGAGCAAAUAUGAAUCAGCCUUCAUAGGUCAAUGGUAACAAAUAUCAUGAGUAUUACGUUCUUGAACUAAUAUUUAAGGCCGUGUGAAGCUAAUAGGCACAGGAGGAAUAGCGCAUCAGUUUACAGCUAUUGCAAAAGUGAUCGAGCAAUUUUACCAUGAUUCCGGGUACCGCAGGAGGAACUCUCCUUUUAAGAACUGUGAGGGUAGCCUUUGCAAUGGCUUCUGGAGUAGCCUUUUCCUUGUGUUCAGCCCCUGGGGUAACCAUGCUGGGCUUAAGCAGGAUUCCUUCGAACAUCACAUUGUUUUCAGCCAAGUAAUAGAAGACUUCGGACCAGACCUUCUCUGCCACUUCAAGUGUCCUUUCGAUUGGGUGGUCCCCGUCGAGAAGAAUCUCAGGCUCUACAAUGGGUACAAGACCAUUGUCCUGCAAAUAAUUUUAAAGCAAUGAAUCACACAGGAUCAAAAAUACAUACCAAUUCAUUGUUAACGACUUUUUAAACAAAAAGAAAAAACUAAUUUUUAUGUUUCAGAUAACAAUAGAAAUUUCACUCUUACAACAGAAAAUGUUUUGCAAAAUCCAACUAGCUAUCUAAAAGUGAACAUACCUGAGAAAUGGCAGCAUAACGAGCAAGUCCCCAUGCAGCUUCCUUAACUGCUAGAGCAGAAGGACCACAAGGAAUGCUAACAACUGUACGCCUGCACAUUUCAACCCGAGGACACUUGGAUAAAUUUAUCUGUCAAAUAGAAUUAUACCAACUGGACAGAACAAUAAUAGGACCUCUAUGGAGCAGAUGUCCACAAGAGAUUAAAUGACUUACCAUUUAGCAAAACGAGCACCUUGCUUGUAGUACUCAGCAGAUCGUGAAGCCAAUCCAUCUAAGCCUUGGCACCAAGAUUCAUUGUUUGAUCCCGGCAGGGGAACCAAACCCUGAACCACGGAAAAAGUAUGCAAAUAACAAUUAGGGAUCUAAUUCCAAGUAUUUCAAGAAAUUAAUCAAGCUAUAGAACACAUAUGUCCUAGUGGCCACAUACCUUGUCAACUUUGAUUCCAGGUACAAUUUUCUGGUCACACAACACAUCCACAAAUUUCUUCCCAUCGGUUGUAGACUGGUAAAGUGUUUCCUCAAAAAGAAUGGCACCAGAAAUGUAUUCGCCGAGGCCAGGGGUGGUCAACAAAAGCUGCCUGUAAGCCUGUCGGUUAACCUCGGUAUUGUCCAACCCAAUAGAGUCUAACCUCUUUCCACAAGUUGCAUUUGAUUCAUCAAUGGCAAGUAUACCACGACCAGGGGAUGCAAUGGUUUUCUGUACCAUCCAAAAAGAAGCAAAAACAAGUUAAAGGAUAUAAUAAUAAAGCUGCGACGGAGAAAUCAAUUAAACCCAAAUACAAGAAGUCUUAUAUCAAACUACAUAGGGAAGCAGAAACACAAAUUUCCAAUUUGUGGUAACCAAAAUCUUCCAAAUACAAGCAGUGUUAUAUCAAACUACACAGGGAAGCAGAAACACAAAUUUCCAAUUCGUAGUAACCAAAAUCUUUCAACGGUUACCAAAUACUUUUCUUCUAUUUAGAAAAUCCAUAAGAAACAAGAACAAAUAUAUUAAUCAAUCAAAGAGGAAUAGCACUGGACCACACGACGGGCCAUAAUAAUUAGGUAGGAAAGUCACCAUCUGAGGGAGUCGAACAUGAGACACUUCCAAGUGAAGCGGAAUACGACUAGAACUUACUAGUUACUACUUAGUGAUAGUGACCUAUUAAUAAAUUGAAUUAAGCAAAUCAAUCAUAGUGGAGAAACAGUUCAUUUCAAUCUUGAGUUCGAAUUCACAAAAGUCUAAUUCAACAAAGCAGUGAAAAUUAAAAUCAAUACUGAAACAAACAAAUCAAAUCAAAUCACAGAAAAUAAAUAAAUAGUAAUUCAAAAAAAAAAUUCAGUCUAAUAUAGAUUCAAGCACUCAGCCACCGAUGAAAUCAACAAACAAAAAUUUCAUUUUGUGCAUAAAUAUCAGCAAAUUGAAACUAAGUUAAAGAGAUGCGCACAGCGGUUAGGACGAGUUCGUCGGUGUAGGCCUUGGCUCGGAUCGGGACGGCGACUCGGCGAGUAGCGAGGCUAGUCGAUGAUCCUGGGCGCUGAGUGAAGGACUGCUGUCCGAUCCACUGAGAUGACGACGCAUUAAGCUUCGCGAAGCUGGAACAGGCCAUGGCUUCGAGCAAAGACGAUCGAAAUUACUUUGGAGAUGUCGACUGGUUGUUUGUUUCCCGAGAAAAUGUGGGUUUUCUUGCUGCUUUAAGUCUGACGGGGGUAGGUGGCUGCGAAGAGAAAGAGAGAGUGAUAAAAAAACAAGACGUCGUUAAUCUUUGGAGAGUCCGCGGUUGGCGUUACGGGUUGUAAUGGGACAACAAGCAACGUGCGAGGCUAAGUGCCAGUGAGUGAUUUACCAGAUUACCCUCUCUUAGAGCAACUCCACCCAUGAAGCCCUCCUCCUGGCAAUCUACUAUUCAAUCCACCCUAUUUGAACAGUAACUGCCUUAAAUGAAUAGUAAUUACCAUUAAUGAACAGUAAUUGCCAUUUACAUCUCCACCUUUGGAACCCUCCCCCUGACAAUAAGCAAUAAAAAUAAUAGUUUUUUAUGUUUGUUUAAAUAAUAAAAAAUUACAAAAACUAUCUCUCUCUCUCUCUCUGACACAAAAAAAAUAAAAAAUUACAAAACCCUCGGGCCACAGGCCCGUCGACUCCCCCACCCCCCCUUCGCUCGACCUCCCACCCUCACUCGGGCCCUUCCCCGCUGGAUUUGCUCCCACCGGCCCAAGGGCCCUUUCUCCUCACCUGACGCCCGAGCAACCAGCAAGGCUGGAGUUGCUCUUAUAUGACUACAUUGUCCUUGCACGCUGCCGAGGAAAAGAAACUGGGGGCAUCAAGGUCAUCUUCAACCGAGCCGAUUAAAGGGUUAUAGGGUUAAAAAUAACUCGGAAUAACAUGAAAAUCGUCUUCAACCAAGAGUUAGGUCAAAAGGCUAGUGGGCCCCACCUAGCUAAAACCCCUAAUCAGGCCAGCGAGCUGGCCAUUUCUAGCUAGCGCCAGCUCUCCAGCUCAACCCAUUUGAAUGUCAACGGUUACCUGGUGUUAGCAUGAUGCCAGCUAGCUGAUGUCAUGCUACCGUCAGGUUACCGUUGGAAUUUGAUUUUUUUUUUUUUUGACGAAUUGAAGAAAAAAAAAUCUAAUUUUUUUUCCUAUAAAUACCUUAGGCAUUCAUACAUCAUUUCUCAAAUAAUUUUCAUCAUUUCAUACUAUCUUACCUCAUUUUAUUUUAAUUCUUCACAUUAUAUUCUCUUACCUCUUCUAAUAAUCUUUCCUUUAAUUUUUUCAAUAAUUUUCAAGUAGCCACAUCUGCAAUGAAAGAAAGGGUUUAGACCCGAAAAGAAAAUGAAACUUUUUGCAAGGCUUAUAGAUUGGUCUCAAAAGAUAGUGUCAAGGGUAGUUCUCAAACAAGUGAAGGUGUUUGGACUUGAACGUCCAAAAAGUACUUUGAGUUCUACGAAUGCACCACUCCACCGAAUCCCCAUAACCACGAGAGUUGUUCUUCAAGAUGGAAAACAACACAAUCUCCAUCCUAGUACUACUUAGGGGAGUUAUGCAAACUUAAACAACAUUAAACAAAACAUUUAACAAACAUAAAACUUAAACGCCUACUCCAUUGUUCUUUUGGCCCAAAUAUGUGGAAUAAGAUCCUGUUGUAGGUACUUGUUUGUGACACGCGAACGUAUCAUCCUAUGACGUCUCAUGUACUUAUUUAAAGAGGUAUUACCAAUUAUUAGAUCCAAAGGCAAAUUAGGUCCAUCAUAUAUUUUCGCAUCAGCUGGGGAGACAUAGGCCAUCAUUCGAAGUGCAAUAGUAACAUUUUGAUGAGGUGAGAAACCAGAGCGGCCCGCUCUAUCUAUCUUCUGUCGAAGGUAUGGAUUGACAUUUUAGACAUCAUGAAGUAAACGCUCAAAGACACGAUGCCUCAUCUGGAAGCGACGUCUGAAAUCCUCUUAUGUGUACACCGAGUCACCGAGUUGGAGUUAAACUAGUUGUUCAUCAGAGUAUGCGAUCUCUCUAUUUCGUGGUUUGUAAGAGUGACCACCAACAGAGCCACCCCAUUGAGGUUGUUUUUCAGUUUCCUCACACGUCAUGACCCCAGCCAUUGCUGCCACAUAUAUUGUGUUGCGCCAUGCUUCAUCUUAUUCAUCGGACUCCUCAUCUUCUCGUCUCAUCUGCGCCCAUUUAUCUUUCUAUCUGAAAAUUUAUUAAGAUUACAUAAAGAUAAGAAAUUUGGAGAGUUACUCACUCAAGCGACACAUGUUAUUCAAAAUUAUAUCCGAAAAAUUAUUAAGAUUACAUAAAUAUAAGAAAUCUAGAGAGUUACUCACAUUAGCGACACAUGUGACUUUAAAUCCUGUCCAACAAAUUAUUGAGAUUAUAUAAAGAUAAGAAAUCUAGAAGCUUAUUCAUUUGGAGACAAAUGGCACUUAAAAUAUGUCAAAAAACCUUAUUUUAAUAUGGUGGUUUAAUUUAAGGGGUAAAUGAAUUUUAAUCCUUGUAUUGGAUUAAUUUUUUAUUAAAACCUGGUGUAGGAUUAGAUAUCUGAUCUUAGUCCUCCAUGUCAUCAUAAUUAUUAUAACUCAUAUUUUGUUAUUUUUAAACUCUUUAAUAGCUCUUUUUGUUCCUAUUGUGCCCCUGUAAUUAAUUAUUCGACCUUCUUGGUAUGUUCUAAAUUAUUAGGAACUAAUUUUGACUUUGAUUAAUUUAUGCUUGAUUUCUUCCAUGAUUAUGGUGCCUAAAAAGAUUUUUCAUACCAUCAUGCCUAAAUUACAAGAUGAAAAAAGUUAAGGUAUCACAUGCAUAAUACAUCAAAAAAGUGUAUGCAUCUAAAUAUUAGUACCUAACUAAACACACCCAAUUAUAGUACAUAGUUGAAAACACCUAAUCAUAGUACCUAAUUGAAUGCACCUAAAUCAUAGUACCUAAUUGAACGCUAAAUCAUAGUACCUAAUCGAAUGCAUCUACAUUAUAGUACCUAAUCAAAUGUGUCUAACUUAUCGUACCUAAUUGAGUAUAGAUGCAAUAGAUCAAACCCAACUCCAAACUCAACAAUUCAUACACUGACAAAAUGAUCAAAACCCGAUAAUAAAAUCAACCAACAUAAAAUAACAACAAAAACUAAUAAAAUAAGAAAUAUUACAAGCACAAUGCCACAAAAAAGUUACUGACCCCAUUCUCUUCGUUGCAAAUCAUUGGAAUCCACAUAGAUACACAAGCCAUAUACCAUUCAAAACCAACAGAAAGAAAAUAGAGAGAGACCUACUACAAAUGAUGAGAAAAAGGGGAAAAUCAUAAUUAGAAGAUGUGUGUGAAUAAAUCAGCCAAUACAUGAAUGGUUUGCCUAAUCCCGUUUUCAAUUGCAAAAGCCUAAUCUUUUUUUUCAAAGAAGCCUAAUCUCUAAUUCCUUUGAUGUUGCAUCUUUAAAUGCCGGAUGCUCAUUUUGAAUUAAAAAAAAUAUCAUUCAAUUGUGAACCAUUUAAUAGCAAUAUUUAGGGGUAAUAUAGGAAGACAAAACAUAGUAAAAUUACAUAAAAGAAAUUAAUUAUGACGUGGAAUAUAAAUGAUGAUUUGGACACGAGUCAAAGGACUAAAAUUAGUUUUUAAUCUUACUUAUGGUAUUUAUCUAAAAGUAAUCAUUUUUAAGGACUAAAAUCUAGUUUUCUAUUAAUUGGGUUAAUUCAAUUAAAAUAAUAAAUUAGUCGGAGAUGAUUUUUUGUCAAAGCGUUAUGUUUGCCCUUUGGCCCCCUUUAUUGAAGAUGAUAUAAAAUAUGACAUGAUAAUGUUUAUUAAAAUAUAAUUUCUUUCAGGGCUAUAGGGUUAAAAAAAAAGUCAUUUGACCCCAUUCGAUUCGAGAUGACCUAAAUGGGUCGGGUCAUGUUUACCCUUACCUAACAAUUGACAACUUGCAAAUGCGGCUUGCUUUAGGUUGGCGGAGAAAAAAAAAACAAAAGAGAAAUGUUGCGCAAUCUCUUUACAUUUUGAUUUUUUUAUUUCAAAAAUAAGAAAUUUGCUUUUGUCUAAGAAUUAAAGAUAAGUAAUUCAGUAUUGGGAUCUGGUGGUAUUCCUCUUCACUUAUGAAUGAGAGAUCUUAAGUUUAAAUCUCGUGAAUGAUGAAUUUGAUACUAAAUUAGGCUGCCCAUUAUGUGGCUUAACUGUAGUAUAAAAAAAUAAUAUCAAUGUACUAAAAAAAAAGAAUUAAAGAUAAAAAAUAAAAAAAUUAUACGUAAAAGUUAUUGUUUAUGUGUUAUUUUUAUUUUGCACGUUGCUUUAGCGCGCAAUGGCACUAUGGCAGAAAGCAAUUAUCUGCCCUUUUGCGAGUUUCAUUUAUUUUGGCUCUCCUCUCUUUAAUAAUUAUUGUUUAAACUAUUACCGCUAUCACGCUAAUAAAAAAAAGCUCUAUUUUUAUUUAUUUAUUUGUUAUAGAAAUGUAUGUAUGAUAUUUUUACUUUUAGAAUGACAAUUACAUCUCUAAAUUUGGUUAAAAAAAUGUUGCAAGUAUUGUUAAUUAUGUGUUUGUCCACUUGAGGCGAACAUAUAAUAUCCCAAUACUUUUGCACCUUUUUAUGUAAAUCAUAAGUCUAUAAAUAAGUACUCUAAUGAAAAUGAAAGAUGACCUUGAUUUCUCCUUCACUUUCUCUCUUGUAUGUCCUAUUUUCUCCGACUCUACACUUUAUUUUUAAUACAUUAUCACCACAAUUGCUUAUCGAUUUUUCUUUCUGUAUUAAAAUAGAAUUAAACACCACAAUAACAAUGCAAUGAAGAGGAAAAGAAAGCGAUCUCCCAUCUCUUUCGUGAUUAGGGGUGCAACUUGAGCGAGUUGGGCAGGUUGGAAGGUCAACUCAAUCCUAACUCAACUUUUACAAUUCGACUUGGAUUCGGGUUGGGUUUCAUUCGGGUUCAUUUGUACUCAAGUUUAAUUGGGUUGCCCAACUUUUUCAAGUUUAAUCUUGUAACAACUUAGUUUACAAGAAUUCCUAACAAAAUUAAGCCCAGUAGCAUCAAAGCUAGCUAACUCUAAUUUCAUAAAUCAAUCUACUAUAAAGCUUUGAUUUAUAGAUUACGAAUAUAGGCUAACUAAUCAAAGUCUUUUAUUCCCUAAAAGCUUAAGUAAUUAUAAAGGGUAAUUUAUUAAAAAAAUAUUAGAAAGGGCGUUGGUUUUUGGACUUGGCACACUUGGGUGUAGUAUGAUCAUUAAUUGAUAUGAGUUACAAUAUGGUUAGAUUAGAUUUGGUUAGUCGGGGCUAGGUUGGGUUGGGGAUAGACGGGCUGAUCAACCCAACUCAACCCAAUCAAUGAACGGGUUGAAAUUGGGUUGGGUUCGGGCGGGUUAUAACUAAAAAAUACUCGUUUGUUUGGGUUUAAAGUCAGGUUGGACAUGGACGGGUUCAAAUUGACCUAACCCAAAUUGCACUCCUAUUCGUAAUUCACGAUUCUGAUGCUUGCACGACAAAUUUGACAUAGGCCAAAUGAGGCUUUAUUUUAUUUUUUUGGUAAAGGCCAACGAAAAUCCUUGUUAUGAAAAUAGUGAAUUAAGUAAAACAUGAUAAUUUCCGUAAAAAAAAAAGGUGGCAUUUACUUUUUAUAUGAUGUUUUCAUUCAAUCAGCUAUAUUAGUUCAGUUAAAGUUACUUCAUACUGAUACAUGUGGUCUCAUCUUUAUUAGAGAAGUCAUCCAAAUGUAUAACAAUUUUUGUUAAUUAACCGGGUUCGGAUCAUAAGAUUGCAAGUACAAUUUUCAAAAGAAAACAAAAUGUUUGACGAAUUAUUGUGGAAAAAAAGUGUGGGAAAAAGAAGUAAUGCACUAUUUGAAAAUUUGUGGAUAAGUUUCCAACACUCCACGUCAGAGCGUCCCCACAACUAAAAAAAUAAAACCACCCCACGUCAUCACAGUGGACCCUACUUUUAGAUCCAGCUGGCGCUUUCACUGUUAAGCGGUUAACCAACAAACCACACCACAGGGGAACCCCAAACCCUAACCUGCAGCUCAAACUUCAUGUUGUUCAUUUUUCAAUUAUUCAACAUCUAUCUCUCUGAAAAUCCCCAAAUCUCUCUCACGAAGAGUCGAAGGCCAUGGCUACGGACGGCGCGGCGGACCGACGGAGGCCACCGCCGCAAAUGCUGAGCGCAGGCAACAACGGGAACUGCGUGAUGAGCUUGUCGAACAGGUUGAGGCUGAUGCCGAACAAGGAGCACAAGGCGGAGAGCUACGAGGACCUACAGCAUUUGGAGUUCAGUCCCUUGCUUUUCAGCUCGCUGGAGCGCUACUUGCCUCCCACCAUGCUCAAUGCCUCACGUGACCUCAAGCUCCAGUACAUGAGGGACAUCCUCCUCCGGUACUCGCCCGAGAGCGAACGCACUCGUGUAAGUCAUGAGACUCUAUCUCUUUAGGAGUGGAAUUUGGCAAAUGCGGAAACUGAAAAUGACUUUGAAGUUUGGAAGUUUUGGAUUUCUUGUUAUGUGAAUUUUAAUUUAUGGAUAAAUGUGUGAAAUGUGUUUGCUUCAGUUGCGAUUGCGGAAGAAUGUGUAAUUUCUUUGAAUUCUCCAGAAAUGAUUGAUGUGGAUUUUCAAUUCCUGUGUUAAAUUUUGAUGCAUAGACGAGGGAGAUAAGGUUGAGUAGGAAUAACAUAUAGUCAGAACAGGCAGGGGCAAUGUGCUCUGGUUAAUUAGUCAAUGCGGCGUUAUUGUGCUCCUGAAAAGCUCAUAUGUUUCUCUGUUUGAAUAAACAGGUUCAACGACAUCGAGAAUACAGGCAGAAGAUCAUUGCACACUAUCAGGUGCGUUUAAUGGGUAAUAUGCUGUUGACGUUUAGACACUUGCUGUAAUAUGUAAACAACACAUUUAUGAAUUGCCGUCGAGUGUUGCAGUCAUUAAAGCUAAGUCCCUUCUUUUGGUACUCCUGGAGUUGAGGGCUUGAGUUUUGUGCAUAAGACAUUUAGUCACAAUUGCAUGUCAACAAACUGAAAUAAUUUCCUUCUUAAUCGGUCCUUCCUCUUUGCAGCCUCUACAAAGGGAGUUAUACACGCUGCAAGCUGCAAAGUUCUUUGUCCCCUCAUUUCUCAGAGCAAUCAGUGAGAACACAGAGGCUAGCUUUAGAAAUAUACUGUCUGAACCCUCUCCUGGAGUUUAUACCUUUGAAAUGCUUCAGCCGGAUUUCUGUGAAUUGUUAUUAACUGAGGUAUCAUUUUGGAUAUAAGUUAAUUUUCGCUUAAGCUACUUUUUUCUAUUUUCUUAUCAAAUUCUGAUUUCUUAGGUGGAAAAUUUUGAAGGGUGGGUCCAUGAGACAAAUUUCAGAAUCAUGCGACCAAAUACAAUGAAUAGAUACGGUUGUGUUCUUGAUGACUUUGGUCUUGAAACCAUGCUUGACAAGUUGAUGGAGGACUUUAUACGUCCUUUGUCUAAAUGUAUUUCAUCUCUAAUAUUGUGAAAUUGUAAUUAGAAAAAGUUCUUAUGUGUGAAAGAUUAGAACUAAUGUUAUACUCGUUUUUUUGUUUGUCUGGGUUUAUGUAGUUUUCUUCCCAGAAGUUGGCGGAUCCACACUGGAUACUCAUCACGGUUUUGUUGUUGAAUAUGGAAGCGAUAGGGGAUGUAGAGCUUGGUAGGUGCUCAUCCAUCUGGAAGUUUUGGAUUUAGUUUUUUGAAAAAAAAGUAUUUGUACUGAAACUAAAAAAAAGCAUUUGUACUGAAGCCUCUCUCUCUCGGACAAGGAUUGUCUACCCUCCCACUUCCGGUGCCCUCCCGUGCCCUCCUGUUUUGUGUGGUCACGGUUAAGCCACGUCAACAUUUUAUAUUGUUUUUUUUUAUAGAGAAAUAAGACAAAAAUGAAUAGUAAUAUAAAAUGUUGACGUGGCUUAACCGUGACCAUACAAACAAGAGGGCACGGGAGGGCACCGGAAGUGGGAGGGAAGACAAUCCUUGUCCCUCUCUCUGCGCCAUUUCCACUCUAUAUUUCUGCCGGUUAUAAUUAUUUUCUCAGAACAGUUUUUGAUUGUUGGUCUAGCUGAUAUGAUAUGAUUUCUCCUUAUUUAUGUUUUCAUAAUCGUGUCCAAUUUAUUUAUGUUUUCAUAAUUGUGUCCAAUUUGUUCAAUAAUGUAUGUCUGUCUUCGUCUUAAACAUCUGUGCGCUAGAUUUAUAGCUUGUUAAGCUUUUAUGAAUCCACAACAGCUUUAUAUUGCAGGUUUUCAUGUGGAUGAUUCAGAAGUCACCUUGAAUGUUUGCUUGGGAAAGCAAUUUUCUGGUGGAGAUUUGUUCUUUCGAGGUGUUCGAUGUGAUAAACAUGUUAAUUCAGAGACACAAUCUGAGGUAUGCUGUUCUUUAUGAUCAAUUUUAGGUACAAUUUUUUAUUUAGGGUCACACUUUUCAUCUUUUAGUAAUACAAAUGCUUUGGAGUAUCAUAUUUGAUAUCAUAUUUUUUAUUUAGGGUCACACUUUUCAUCUUUUAGUAAGUUGCAUGUUUACUUUUUUUAGUUAUAUUUUCUUCAUUAUAAUAUAUCUUUUUAUUUUUGUACAGUUUACCAUGUAUGUAUUGAACUUUUUCCUUGGAAUUUUUAUAAUUCUACUUAUAGGAAAUCUUUGAUUAUACUCAUGUUCCGGGACGUGCCAUUCUUCAUCAUGGUCGCCAUCGGCAUGGUGCUAGAGCCACAACAUCGGGGCAUCGAGUCAACUUACUAUUAUGGUGCAGAAGGUACCUUUCUCCACCUUUAGUCCCCCACACAAGAAAUUCAAGAAACCUAAACUAAUGAUUUUAUGGAUAUCACAAUCUCCCUAACUUUUUAGUACCUGCUCUGUGUGGAAUAAGUAUCCAAUGAAUGCAACUUACCAAUUCAUUCAUGGUUUGAUAUCAAUUAAUGUUGGUUGCGUACACAAUAAAGCAUGUGCAAAAUCAACAUUAAGAGUACUGGUCUUUAAGUAGAGUUAAGUGAAAUGUUGGAAUAUGCGGGUUUCACACAGUUGAUUUCUCCUAAACAUUAGUUCUCGAUUGUUUUCUCAAUUGAUUGCGCACAUUGUAAUCACACUGAAUGGCCUUGUAAACAUACAUUACGGAAAAUAUCAUCUAAGAAAUUAAUGGAAUUAUUUAAGGCUAACCUUUGGAUCUUGGUCUCAUUAGGUUCUAGGAGUUUUUUUGCCUGUAUGCUGGUUGAUGUAAUGACAAUUAGUUUUGCAGAAGCUUUUCUAGGUAGGCUUACAGUAAAAUUGUCAAAACAUAGGGUUUUACUGCAAGGAUUAUCUCAAUUAUGCAUUCUUGUUUACCAAUUUACUUGCUUUGUAUCCCCAAUCUUCUUGUAGUUCGGUGUUUAGAGAGCUGAAGAAAUAUCAGAAAGAUUUUUCCAAAUGGUGUGGAGAGUGCAAACGUGAAAAAAAAGAGAGGCAGCGUCAAUCAAUUGCUGCAACCAAACUGGUACGGUACAUUUGAUAUGAGACAGAGAAAAAUCAGCGUAUUCGUAUAUUUAACAUUAGUUAAUCUUUUCACAUCUGAUUGUAUUUUUCAGGAAAUACUCAAGAGAGAUGGACAAACCGCCUCUUGAGCUGCUUGUUUUGUAUGUUUUUACUACCGAUACUUCUUGAUCUGUUCAUCAUGCAACUUUUGCUUGUGAAGUUGUAAAUUUACUCAUCCUUGUCAGCACAUAGAAGUUUUUCGUGUCUGUUUUCAAAUUCGUACUCCAUCCAUUUAUAGAGACUACGGUUGGGCUAUUUGUUAGUAAUAUGAAAGGGGCCGGUGUUGUUGUGUUUUUACGGUGUGCUUCAAUGCUUUUGCGUACACAGCUCGACAAGUAACUGUGAUGUGUUGUAUUGAUUAUAUUUUAAGUCAUGCAUGCAUUGAUAUAUAGGAAAGUUAAGGUAUUUGACAUUGCAUGAUUGAGUUGGAUACCCCCCGACAACGGCAUUUCUGUUGUAAGUUUCUCUCCCACCGUCCACAUACAAAUCUCGAGAAUUUCAAAAUUCAGAAAACCUGCUCUGAUACCAAGAAAGACCAUCUAACCGUCUAUUGGAUCGUCCACAUACAAAUCUCGAGAAUUUCAAAAUUCAGAAAAUCUGCUGUGAUACCAAGAAAGAUCAUCUAACUGUCUAUUGGAUCUUAUUCAACGGCGUCUUUAGUUUGACCAAAGUAGUAAAGUCAAACAUGCUUUCUCUGUUUCUCUAGGUCUUUUUCUCUUAAGGAAUUGGUUUAAGAAAGCAAGCGAGUAAAAGAGUUUUGAAACCAAAUGUGGAUUGGUGCUGAAAUCCACAUCCCAAAGGUCGUUAUGCGUGCAUGAACCUUUCAACAUUCUUCACACAUUACCGCACAAAUGGAACAAUGUCAUCCAUCCGAUCACAAUCUCCCACCUGAAUAUGAGAGGCGGUGAUACUUUUGACUCUUUGAGAAACAUAGUGACUUAGGUAAAGUAGUGUUCAAUUCCUGAAAUGAGUAAAAUGAUACUUUUUAAGUCACACAUUAUAACCGGAGAAAUUUUUUCAAGUGGCCGGUAUUUAAGCGGAUAUUUUACGUGAUAUAAAAUAGGUGAAAGUAUAUGAAAAAAUAUAUCAUUUAUCUCACAUAUAUUAUGAUACGUAAAGUACUACUUAAACACCAACACCUAGAAAAAUCUCUCACAUGAUAGGUCAAGGUCAAAAUAAAAGUAGUUUUAGUGCUAUUGAUAGGGUGAAGUUAUAAGGAUGGAUUAAUUAAUUAAACACAAUUGUUAGACACCUACAAUUAGAGAAACGGAAAGGGAUUCUCUCCGGAUCCCUUCCACCUAAUCCUCCUCAUCAAAUAAUUCAGGCCCUUGAAAUUUGAUCUAACGGUUAAAAUUAUUAUAAUUUUUAAAGUAGACCCAUGUUUUUAGUUGUUAGAUCAAAUUUUAAGAUCCCAGAUUAUUUAAUAAGGAGAAUUAGAUGAAGGGGAUCCGGAGAGGAUCCCUUUCCUAGAGAAACAUAAACAUAUUUUAGUCAUAUGUAUUAAUAAAUUUUCUACUUCAGGUGGCCGCUGUCAAGUCAUACCUAAGUAGGGAAUGAUCUUCCAAGUCAUCUUCUUUUACCUAAUAAAUUUCGUUGGGAUUCUUGUCGACUCUCGAAGGAUCUACAAAGAAUGCAUCCGAAAGGGAUUCCUGCUAAUAAAUAUAUCAUUUUCCUUCUCGACUGUUCCUCCGGGGAUGUGAUCGUACAAUUAUAAUAUGAUUUCAAAGCCCCUUCUUGAAGUAAUUGUGAUUAAUUUACUUUAAUUCAUUGCUACGGUGUCCAAUAUACCGUCCUACUUGUCGUCGUUCUCAUUGUCGCUGUCGAUAUCAUUAUUUCUCGUCAAUCAUAUAUUGUCUCGAUCCUUCUACUAGGAACAUCUUUUGACUAAAUUAUAAUAUGUGUGUGAUUGGCACUUUUUGGUCAAUUAGACGAUAGAUCGGGCACCCCUAUGCACCUUUUGUUUAUGAUAAGGUUUUGAUUUGAUACAAUAGGAGUGUCGAUUAUUUUCGCUUAAAACAAGUACAACUUGUUGGAUUAAUAUUAGAAAAUAGAAUGUUUUAAUGAAAAUUCUAUAAUACUGUUCACUUUAAGGAAAAAUCAUAUUUUUACAUUAAAAAGUUAAACUUGGUACUAUUUAUUUUACUCUUUAUUUUGUCCUUAUCAUUAAAACUCAAAGUUUUCAAACCAUUUUCAUAAGUUUUCUUUAGAAAAUAUGAAAUAUAACAAUAUAAUUCUAAUGAUAAUAAUUACAAAGAAAUUCACAACAUCAAUUAUAUAUGAGAUUAAUAUAAACAACUAGAGAGAAAUUUAGAAAAAUUGACAAACUUGGAGAUUGAGGCUUGCAUAAAUACAAUGUCCUAAAACAGAAUUUCGCCUCUACUUUUGUGCUUGUAAUUCAGUAGGCGUCUGUCUCCCAAUAUUCAAUAAUUUAUAAAUCCGAAGUUUAAACACUUCAAUAUUCGAACUCAGACGAACUUUAUAUAUUUCGUACUCUUAAGAUACGACUCGGAAUUUGACAAACGAAGAAUGAGAGAAAUAAAAUGGAGAAACCUUAUUUCUCAAGAGUAAAAAUUAACUCUAAUUUUGUGUAUUUAAUGAUAAUGGAUUUAUGGGUUUAUAUAGAACCCAUUGUGUUGUUUGGUGUAAAGAUGCAACUUUGCAUCUAUGUAACCUACACCACUCAUCAAACUACACGUCCCAAAUUACAAAUAAUAUGAUGCAAUUCUUUGCAUUAGACGCAACACUUAAAGAAUAAACAAGAUUAAUUUUUUCAUUCAAUAUUUUGAAAUUAAAUACUAUAAUAUCUAAUAAAUAUUAUAAUAUAAAUUUCCAACACAACUUAGAGAGCAAGUUGGUUUAGCUCUUCCUUUGCACACUUGAUGUGAAUAGUAGAGUUCCCUCACUUCAAGAUGAACUUGCCUUUUGCACGUGUUUUCUCGUGUGUGAAAUGUUUUUUUUUUUUUAUUAAAAAAAAUAUAAUUGAGCAACACGCGACUUACAUAUUUUUUAGCAAUUCUAUAUCAAGUUUGCACCAAUUGUUUAUCUAUGUUGUGAAAAACUUAUAUGCAACUGGAAAGUCAAAAUGACAGUAUUCUACACCUAUUAUAUAUUAUAUAUUUUAAUUACUAACAUGAUAUCGCGUAAUUAAUUUGUAAUACAGUUACCUUCACAUGUAAAUUCUCUUUCUAAAUGCUUAAAAAGAAAGUGAUAAAAAGUGAUGGUAGUUCAACAUUGCACCCAAAUACUAAAAAGGCUCUUACUUUUGAAUUAAAUUGCCCACAUUUCUUUUUUAGGUAAAUUACAUAGUAACCCCUUAUGUUUGAGGUCUAUUACAACUCCAUACAACAUUUUUAAAACAUUUUACUUUUAUACCUCACGUACUAUUUUAUUUCAAAAUAAUACCUCCGUUAGAUUUUUCAUCCAUUAACUACCAUAUUUGUGCCACGUGGCUGCCAAAUGUGUGCCACGUGGCCAAAAACUCACUCACCUUCCCCCGUUGCUCUUUCCAACUCUCAUAUGCGAUAUCUAUCUCUCUCUCUCUCUCUCUCUCUCUCUCUCUCUUUUUCUCUCUUCAAUCCUUCUCCUUCUUCCUUUCAUCUUUCUUGCUCAUCUUUCAUUUCCCAAAACGCCUAUCUCUCUCCCCAAAAUUCCCUCAAAGUCUGCCUAGCAGACUUCCCCAUAUCCCUCAACUAUGGUUUCCUCGAAAAGUAUUAGGCUUUCGACCUCGAUUCAUGCCUCCAAACGGACACCGACCACCAAAUCUCUGAUGCGGCUGCUGCUAAAGCUGGACUCGAUGCCCGGGGUGGACCUCGCUGUGAGGCAAACGAGGAGAAAUGUGAGUCGUCGGAUCGUGGGGCUGCAGGAGAUCGUGGACCUUCCCUUGGAGUCGAUCUCGUCGAAUCUUGUCAUUGUUGAGGAUGAGCAUGAUGGGCGGUGAUGAAGAGGUGGGGGAUGAUCUCGACGGAUCCGAAACGAGGAAAGUCAAAUCUGAAUCGGAGAAAUGUGGGGGAGAAUGAGAUUUGGGCGUUUGUUUGGAUGGGAUGAGAGGUGAAAAGAGUGAAGGAGAGGGAGGUGGGCUGGGGUUGGGGGGCUGGCGGGGGAGGUGGGGUUAGGGUGGAAAGGGGUGUUUAGGUUACAAGGAAGGGGGAUGGGGAGGGGAAGAAGAUGGGUGGGGAUGGGUUGUGGGGAAGGUGGGGUGUUGGGUUCUGCGUUUUUCAUUUUUUUUAAUUAAAAAUAAAUAGAAAAUUGCCAUGUGGCACAAAUGCGGCAACCACGUCAGUAUUUAACAGAUUAAUGGAUGGAAAAUCUAACGGAGGUAUUAUUUUGAAAUAAAAUAGUACGUGAGGUAUGAAAGUGAAAUGUUUUUAAAAUAUUGUAUGAGGUUAUAAUAGACCUCAAACCUGAGGGGUUACUAUGUAAUUUACCCUUCUUUUUUAAAGAGAUUAUUAGUAUUAUUCCGUAGUAUUUUGGACCAUCGUUUGGAGUCUGCCAUCAACGUUGAAGGGACAAUGCCUAUUCUGUUGAAAAAAGGAAAUGGUGAUCGGACUUGGAUUGUCUGCUCUCCCCAUUCCAUAUCCUCUCCAUGCCCUCCUAUUUUUGUGGUCACGGUUAAGUCACGUUAAUAUUUCAUAUUCUCAUUACUUUUUGUCUUAUUAUUUCUAUAAAAAAAAUCAAUAUAAAAUGUUGAUAUGGCUUAACCGUGAUCAUAAAAUAUAGGAGGGCAUGUGAAAUACAUGGAAUGAGGAGGGUAGACAAUCCAAGUCCAUGGUGAUCGACCUCGUGGACCUAUGAAUACGUCCAAAGCUAAAAGAAAGUUGACCAAGUAAGCAACAAAAUAAGGUGGACGUACGGGUACGGGGGCAAAAACAAUAAUGAGAAUUGAGACUACAUACAUAGGAGAUCAACGGCUUGCCUACUGUGCCGACGUUUUGAACCGAUAACGCAAUAUUAUGUCGACAACAAAAAAUUUUACAUGACAUUAUGUAUUUAGAGUGAAACGUCACGCUAACAGCGAAUUCAUUUUAUAAAAAUCUUUCCUCCAUUCUUAGGGUUAAAACUUAUAAGAGGGAAGUUGACAAGCCAACAUAAACCCAAAAUUUACACUUGAUCAUUUUUAAUUGCAUAAUAAUUAUUAAGGUUCUAAAAGACGUUAGGAGCUAGUCAGACGGAGGAUUGGGCCUAGCGCCUAGAAGGGUGCCUAGGCAGACUAGAUGAAUUUAAUUAAAUAUAUUAUAUUUCGUGUAAAUAAGUGUUUAUUUAUACUUAAAAUAUAUAUAAUUUCAUCAUAAACUACAAAAUAGAAUGACAUAUAUAUUAUGAGCUAUUGAAACAUAAUGAAAACAUGGGAAACAAGCAUAUAAUGUUUGUUCAUUUAAAUAUUCAACAAGUCUCUUACAAUUUAUUGAAAAAAUAAAUAAACUGCAAAAUGAAAAUUGUCUAUUUUCUGUCUAAAUGAGUCGCAACCUAGGCAGGUGCUUAUGCGGGCUUUGGUGGGUUAGGCCAGUGCCUAAGCGGGUUAGGCGGGCGCUUGCAACCUAGGCAGGUGCCUAGGCGGGCUAGAUGGCUGCCUAGGCUGAUCUUGGCGGGUGCCUAGGUGGUCUAGGUGCCAUUUUUUAAUUUUCAAACACCUAGGCAAUAAUCGGGGCGUGACUAACCGCCUAACGCCUAGACAGAACCUAGACGACGCUAGGCAGAAAUUUUUAAAACAGUGAUAAUUAUUCUCAACAGCAAAACAGCUUCUGCCUUUGGGGUAUCUUGGAAUAUUAAAAAUGGCAAAUUGGCAACUAGGAGCCAACGGUAUGGUCGGCGGAUACGUGGAUCUUCGUGGACCCUAAUUAUAUUAUUUCUCUCUUUCUGAUCAAUUAAUAAACACACACGGGGGUUACUAAUUAUAAUUAUAAUUUAUAUGUAGGUUUAGUCCUCAAUUUUUAAUACAUAUACUUGAUUAAUUAGUCGGCGGAGAUCAGGAAAAAUCUUACUCCAUGUCUUUGAUUAUUUGUCUAAUCCCACCGCCCAACGCUUGUCAUUAGUUGAUCACUAAUUAUCGUUGGAAUCACACACGUCUGUUUAUAUACAAGUUGGAUAUCUUACCGACAAUUAUUUUUCAUUUUCAACCGAUUUUCCUACCACCCAAUGCAGCUGCUGUGCUGGAUAUGUUCUUGUUUCUACUUUUUUUUAUAUAUCAUUUUUAUAAUUUUAUUAUUAUAAAAGGGAUAGAAGAGUUUAAAAUUAUUACAAUAAUUUAGGAGAAGAUGGAUUUUCAAACCUAAAACGCAUAAGUGAAAACCAACACCUUGUUUACUAGGAUAUUUGACCACAUGUUCUUGUUUCUACCAAAUCUAUCAGAAAGAAACAAAUAUUCUUGUGGUUAAGGGUGAGAAAAUUUUAGUUCAUACACAUAAUGUCGUGGAUAUGGAUAGUUAUUAAUGCUUUUAAAUUUUUAUAAAAGCGUAUUUUAUAUUAAUUUAUUUAAAUUAAAGGGAGAAGAUGUUCAAAAGUUAAGUGUGACAAGACAAGUGGAGCAUUCUGUCGCACCUCUAAUCAACUUAAUUAAGUUCAUAACAGUUGGUCACUAUUUCUUAAUGUGGUUAAUUCCAACUAAAAUUAGAAGAAGAUUUGACUUUUGUUAUCAUGCUUAUUUUUAAUUGUUAGUUUUUUCCUUAUCAACUUGCUAUCAUCUCUUUUCAAGGUAUGUAAAUGUGACCUUUACCUGUUGAAUAAUUUUAUAUUGAUUACCACCUAUAACGCAGCAUGGCUUUACCAACAGUACAUAUAAUUAUUUUGAGAUAAAUGCUAGGAAGACACUUUUAAAGUGAAUUUUUUUGUAUAUUUUAUGUCACCUUAUAGUUUAGUGUCAAUUCUGAUGACAACAUUAUAAAAUAUUGUGCCAAAAACAUGAGGUGAAGAAAGUUCAUAGAAAGUUUCACUUUUGAGAGAGUCCCCUUAACAUUCUCUUAUUUUAAACUUAAUUUAACUAAUAAAUUACUCAAACCAUAGUGUUUUGCCAAGGAAUCAAUUUAUUUUUUUAAUGCGAAUAAAAGAAAUUAAAUGGAAAUUAAGUAAAACAAUCCACCGCUUACCAAGAAAUCAAUUUAUUCUACACUAAUCUAUAUAGAAAAGAAAGAGUUUAAACCCCGAAAUUUAGCGAGUUAAAAAAAAAGAUAUUAUAAUUAUCAGGAUAUUUCACCACUUACAUAUAUAUAUAUAUAUAUAUAUAUAGGAGCUUAAGUUAAAUAAACGAUGAAGAGAUAUAUAUAUAUUCCUUUAAUAAUAUCUUAUAAAUAUCAAAUGUACAAUCACACAUUAAUGUUAGGAAAAAUAGGUUUUCUUAACUCAAAAGAAUAAAAUGGUGACUAUGCGAAACUAGCUAGUGGCGAUAUGGGCCAUGCAUGGCCAUAUUCAGACUAAGACAGGCUGAGCUACCGUGUGAUGCGUGCAUCGAAAUUUCAAAAAGAUUAAAGAAACUUUCAUGUUCAUUAGGAUUAUGAUUGGGAUUUGGUUAGAUUUUAGAUAGAGUAUAUUGGAUGGACGGCAACUCGUAAUUUCGUACACAAGCUACAUUCAUUGGUAGUGGCGGAUCCAGGAAUCUUACCCCAAGGGGUCGCAGUGUAAAAGUUCAAAUAAAAAUUUAGGAUGGAAAAACAUAUUGAAAAUGAAAUCAUAGUACUUUCAUUCAUAAUUCAUAAUGGAAACAAUAUUACAAACUAUAAUUGUCCACGACGAGGUUUCAUAUUUUGAAAACAAAGCAUUAUAGCUUCAUUUUCAAUACAAGCAAAAAUAUCUCUCUCAAUAUAAACAAGUGAGCUAUCACUCAACCAUUGAUCUCCCAUUUUGUUCCUAAGUGGACCCUUAACAAUAUUCAUGACAGAAAAUGUUCUCUCCACUGAAGCAGUUGCAACUGGUAAAACUAAAGACAAUGUAAUGAGCAAAUAUACAUAAUUGAAUACUUGAUGCAUCCUUGUCUCCACCAUUUUUUUUGCAAGAUCACCAAUCCCUUCCAAUUGAGAGAAAUCACUACUGGAACACACAUAAUGAAUAUAAAUCUCAAGUUGAUCUUCAAGUGCCAAACGAUCUUCAUCCGAAAAGUCUUGAGGAUAAAAUUGAGCAAGACGAAGUAACUUUGGUUUAUCAAAAGCUACAAAUGAAUCUUUCGGACUCAAACAUGCCAUACAAAUAAGCAACUCGGUAUUUACCUCAUUAAAGCGAUCCUCUAACUCCGUAAUUUGCUCAUCAAUGACAUAAAUAAAGAGCUCCACACGAUAAUGAUGACGAUUUGUCUUUAUUGGAGCAUAACGCCUUGACCUCCCUGGAAGUAUAAAUGCCUCUUCCAUGUUAGGAAUCAUCAAUAUGAUGUGUUUUUCACAAAAAGAAGAUACUUCAUCAACCAAUGCAUCGAACCCAUUAUUCCUCAUCCAAUAUAGCUUUUCCUUGCAUGAUUUCACUAAAGCCAUUGCAUUCACAAUUUCUUGAUCUUUCUUUUGCAAUGCUUGUGACAAAUCAUUUGUGAAGUCCCCAAUAUGACUUUCAAAUCAAAAAAGGUGAAACACAAACUCAAAAAGUAUCACUCUCAUUAACUUAUUUGCUUCACCCGCACUUUCAUUGGGAUUAUCAUCAAUAAACCAUUUGAAGCACAUGAACCACGGAUGAAAACAUAGAAAUGAUGCUAAUCAAGGUACCAUAGUGUGAGUUUUCAUCGUGUGUGUCACCGGCACGUUUGAGACUUGUUGAUUUAUUUAAGCCUCACCCCGUUAUAAGACAAUCAUUUUCAAAAGCUAUCACAAGCUCUUCUUGAAGUUGCCCUCUAAGUGAAUCACGCCGCUUACAAGAUGCUCCAACAUGAUUAACCACACUAUUAGCCGUUGCAAAUGCAAAAAAGAGGCGGCAAUGUCUAUAUUCUUCUUUGCUACGGCAACAAGAGCUAGUUGAAGUUGAUGAGCAAAGCAAUGAACAUAAUAUGCACAAGGUUGUUCUCUCAAUAUCUUUGUUUUAAGGCCAUUCAACUCACCUCUCAUAUUUGCUAGCACCAUCAUAACCUUGUCCUCCUCAUAAAUGCUCAAACCGUUGCAGAAGAAAACAAUGUGUCAAUAGCAAAUUAAUCUUGUCUUUAGUGAACUUUGAAUUACAAUGUAGAACUUGUAGUGGUCGGUAACAUGUUGGAUACCCACAAAUCUUUCAAUUACAUGCCCGUUGUCAUCCACAUAACGCAACACCAUAGCCAUUUGCUCUUUCACAGACACACAUCACGUGCUUCAUCCACCAAUAUUGAAAAGAAUCUAUCUUUUAGACCAUCCAUGAUAGCAUCAAGUGUUUUCAAGGGCACAUGAAUUCACAAUUUCUUUUUUUAAUGGAAGGAGCUAGUAAUUUGAGAUUCCCCGGAGCAUUUUCCAUCACAACUUCUCUAACUUUAUCAUUAUUAUCUGCAAGGAAUUGCAAUAACUCUAAGUAAUUUCCCCUAUUGCUUGAAGUGGCACUUUCAUCAUGGCCACGAAAAGGAAGACCUUGUCGCAAUAAAAAAACUUAGUGCACUUGAUUGAAGCAAUAAAGCAUGUGCGAUAAGCCUUACGAGCUUGGUCAGAGUGUUUGCUCACUGCCGUUCCGUUUCAAUAUGUGUAGCUUGAUUCAUCAAAUUUGUAGCAGCUUCUCUAGCCUUAUUAUGAACACUCCCAACCGGUCCAACAUGCAUCUUAAAUCUUUCUCUCCCUUUCUUCCAAUUCUUAAAUCCAUCUCCAGUGAAAGCUUCACUACCCACUUGUUCAAAAUUGGUUUUUUAAAGAGAUAGCAAUAGAGACAAAAUGCCGCAUCUUUAGAUACACUAUACUCCAACCAAUCAAACUUAUCAAACCAUUGGGGAAUGAAGCGUCGAUUAAUUCCCGACACAUAUUAGUUAUUGGGAAAUUAUGACCUCUAGGUUGACAAGGUCCUUUUUGUAGAUAUAAUCUUUCGGACCUCAUCUCUCAUAUUAGCAUCAUAAUCUAUUAUUCGAGUUCUUAAUCCAGGAUCCGCUUGAAGAUUACCCCAAAACAUCAUCUAACUGACUUUGUCUUGAACUUGGAGUUUUUGAAACUACCAACAGUAUUUGAACUAUCAACAUUAUUCGAACUACCCGAACCCGAUGAUGACUUUCUCUUAAAAAACCGUUCCAUUAAUAAUGCUACAUAUACAAAAUAAAAAAUAACAUUCUACUUUACAAUAUAAAUACAUAUACAAACAUAAAUAAUCAAAUAAAUAUGAAUUGAUUUCAUUAAAUUAAAUAUCUCAUCUUCAUUCAUACAUAAAUAAUAAUAAAAUAAAUACUCACAUAAUAAACAUCAACCAUUCAUAUAUACAAAAAUAAAUAUGAAUUGGAAUUUCAAUUAAAAAAUUUUUCAAUUAAAUACAUAAAUAUCAAUAAAUAAUUCAAAUAUAUAUAACACAAAAUAUUCAAUAAUGAAUAAAUAUAAUUGAACUUCAACCAUUCAAAAUAUUUCACAAUACCAAAAUAAUUAAAAUAAAAAUCUCACAUAUAAACAUAUACAACAAAAUAAAAAAUCACAAUAUAAAAAACCAUCAAUAUCAAAAAAAACAUAUAAAUAAAAACUCAAUAUCAAAUAAUUAAAAUAUCAACAAUAAUAAAAACUCACAAUAUAAACUAACAAUAAAUAAUUAAAUUGGCAUCUUCAAUUCAGUAUAUUCAAUAUAAAACAAGGCUCCAAUAAACAAAAAAAACUCACAAUAUAAAGCAAUAAAAGCAGCAGCAAGGGAGGAGAGGAGUGGGUUUGGGGCAGCAGCAGCAAGGGAGGAGAGGAGUUGAGGGUUUGGGGAUUGAGUUAGGGUUGGAGGAUGAGAAAAACAAAAGAAAUUGGGGCUUUUGAUUGUAUAGGAGUCGGGUAGGAAGGCUGGGACUGGGGGGGGACACGGUGGGAAUUUCCUUUCUUUUUUUGUUUGUUCGGCCUGGCCCAAAACGACGCCGUUUUGGCCAGGUCAUUUAAAAAAAUUUCCUGGGCCAAAACGACGCGGUUUUGCCCGUCUGUUUUGAAAAAAAAGAAGCGCGCGCGAGCGCUGCUUCUUCUUCCUCUUCCUGCCGAGUCUUCGUUCAGGCUUUUUGUCGAACAGUUGGCGUGCGAGUCCGACCCCGACGACCCCAGCUCCAAGAGGUCGCAUAUGGGAGCUUCAAGGUUGUUUCCAUGGUUUCCAAGGGGUCGUGCGACCCCGACGACCCCACUGUGGAUCCGCCACUGUUCAUUGGUUAAUCGUUUCUUUUUGGAGAGCAACUUACAUGAUAUUAAGUUGCUCUCUACAAAAGAAAUCAUUAGAGGGUUAGCCUUCGUGCAAAAGAAAGGGUGCUCUUUUGUGAUUAAAGGAUCACAGGUUCAAAUCGUGGAAACAAGUUAUUUACAGUAAACUAAAGAUAAGACUGUGCACGAUAACGUUCCUCCCCCGAACUUCACAAAAAAAAAAGAAAUGUUGUUGGCUUGAGGUCGCUCUUUAAUAAUAGAUUAGCGCAUGGUGUCACAAUACUCAUUAUAAAAAUCCUUCUCGUAUUGUCAGGAAUCAUUCAAGAAGACCCGGAGUAGAUAUGAUGAGAAACCACAUGGAUGGACAUGCAUGAUUAGGCUUGGCAGUUGGCAAUUUGGCAUGCACACCUGCAGUUUCCCUUUAUUUUUCAUGUGGAGCGCGGAUGAAAUUAACAUCAAUCUAAUUAGCUAGGGUUUCGUGUGGUGGUUUUCAUGUACCCUAGAUAUUUUAUUCACAACUUGGAUUAUACAUAAGUACCAACUAGCUGCCAAUCAAUAGGACGGUAGGGCACAUGGUCAUACCUAAUUACAUGAUAAAACGGCAUUAUUUCUGCAUGCAAACGUCAUAACUCAGACCAUUUAUUAAUGUGGACAUUUGAUAUAUGUCUUUGUUUGAUUUUGAACACUGAGCAAGAAAGAAAUACUAAGAAGAUACCAAACGCUUGCAAGAACUUACCAUUAAAUAGUCUCUCGUAUACGAAUAUUAGUUGGUCGAUCGAUCAGUUUUAUGUGGAGUUAAACUUUAAGUAAAUUAGGGUUCCAAACUCUUGUUUCUUUCUUUUAAAUCCAUUGUAUCUCGUACACAUCUGACAAUGAAAGUAGGACGCGCGUAAUCGGAAGUUUCUUUCUUCUUUAAUUUGAUUAAUUUUCUCGUAAAGUGGUGCAAUGGAGGUCCAGAAAAGGAUUGAUCUAUCAGAACUGAAGUAGCCUGUCAAAGUACAUAAGUUUUAGUUCUUACUCAUACGCACUUCAGCUCGCUUGGUAGCCGAUUGAGAUAUCGAUGUCCAAAUAUCUGGAGGAAAUGUUGAGAACAUGAUCAUAUAGUACUUAUGUAGGGCUGAGGAAUGCCUUGUUUGUAGCACACGAUUAUAUAUAGAUUCCUCCACCAAAAUUGCUCCAAAAGAUAUUUUCUAUACUUGGUGUACCUUUUCAUAUGUAGAGUUAAAUGACGGCUCACGGUGGGAUAAUUAUGCGAUUUUGAUUAUGUGAAACUUUUAAUAGAAAAUUUCAUUUUAAUCUUUGGUAAAUAUGAUUUUUAGAUUAAAACUAUGAGUAAGAUCAAAAUCUAAUUUUGAUCAUAUAUUAAUAACCUCAUUUAUUAAUUAUAUUUUUCUUUUUUAAUUAAUUUUCUUUUUCUUCCUAAUUUUUAAUGUAUUAAUUUUAUUUCAUUUUCAUUUUCAUUUUCGCUUCAUUUAAUGUAAUAUAUGUUGUUGUAAACAUUUGGAUAAACUAAUUUUUGUUAUACAAUAUAUUUCGAUGUACUUUGUUUUCUUCAUUCAGGUACAUUAAAUUCAUUAUAAUACAUUUCGGUGCAUAUAUUUAGGUACACAUAUUUCGGUACAUACAUUUCGAUACAAACAUUUAGGUAUAUUAAUUAAAUAUAAUACAUUUCGGUACUAAUAUUUCAGUGCAUACAUUUCGGUACACACAUUUAAGUACAUUAAUUUAAUAUAAUACAUUCCGGUGCAUAUAUUUCGAUACUAACAUUUAAAUACAUUAGUUCAAUAUAAUACAUUUUGGUACACAUAUUUUGAUACUAACAUUUGGGUACAUUAAUUGAGUCUUUUAAGUUUGAAGAAUGUUAAAUAAAAUUAAUAAAUUAAAAAAAUUCUUUUUUAGUCAACAAAAAAUAAAUUAAAAUUUGUGUAUUAAUAAAUUUAAAUAUUUAAUGAAAACAUUAAUAAAAUGCACAUUAAUUAUUUUGAAUUAAUGACACAUCAAUGGAUUAUAAUCAAUAUGUAAAUUAACAUCAGGUUUAUUUUAAAUUUCAAUCUUUUUGAAUGAUUAAAGUUAAAAAAAAACCCCAAAUUUUAAAUUACUUGUAAUGUUUGGGACUCCAGUAUUUUGAUAUUUUCGUUCCAUGUAGCUCUCCCUUGUUAGAUAAAGUUAUCUAUGAAGCUGCUCUCUCUCAGAAGGAAAAUUUACGAUAAAAGGUUCACGUGCGGAGUUCACUCAAUGUGAAAGGAUUGCUUUAUACAACGAUCAGACAUAAGAAGAAAAUGAUUUAUACACAUAUUUGUUCUCACACUAAUCUUUAAUCUUCUUCUUUUGAGAUGUUAAAAAUGAAAAGGUGAAAAAUCACUAUCGAAAAAUGGUGAUGCGAGGAACAAGGAAGAAAACAAAUAAGAGGUGGGCAGUGGGCACCAACCUAACCCACAUGGUGACGGUGCAAAUAGGAUAAUGCUUGUGUCCUUUUUAUGGAAAAUAAUUAUUCUUUUAGGGAAAAUAAUUAUUUUAUCAAUUGCGAUUACACAAAUAUUUAUCAUCUAAUUAUUAUAAUUUGACUUGUUAAUUUUUUUAUCAUCUAAAAAUUAUAGGGAAGUAUUAUUGGUACUCCAAAAAUCUCAUUCUAUACUCCUCACAAGUGUAUUUUUUUUUCUAAAUAUAGAAAGUUUGGACUGUAGGAUGAGAAUUUUGGAAUGCCAAUAACAAUUCCCAAAUUAUAUAUGUAAAAUAUUAUUUAAUUUGGCUAUUUUUUAGCCAUUAAUAUGCAUAAAAUAAAUAGAUGGUUCAUCAUGAUGAUGUUACUUGAUAUUGCAAUUAUUUGUUAGUUUAACAUGUAUGGAUGACCAAACCAUGUCCAAAUUGAAUGAUUUUUUGUAUAUGAUCUUCAACAUAAUAAAGAAAAUGAAUGAUUCGAAUUAUAAUGUUAGAAUAAUAAAGAUUAGUUUUUUUAUAAGUAAAAGAAAAAUUAAGUUACAGAGGAGACACAAGCAUUAUGUGUGUGUGUAUGUAUAUGCACCCGAUUUUUCCUACUCACAGAACUUGGUUCCUAACCUCCUCCAAUCAUAUCUCCUGUUUCACACUCGGCCUUCUUUCCUUCCUUCCUUCCUCCUUCCUACUCCAAUCACAAAACUCAAACAAAACAAAAGAAAUCGAAGAAACCUUUGAGAAUUUGAGAGGCCUGAAAGUUGCAAUCGUAACAUCACACCUUCACAGACACCUACCUCUUCCUGCUGCCUGCUGUCCUCCCCUUCUUCCCCCCACGUACUACGCAGUACCCUCACUGUGUACUCUCUUUUUUCUCUACUUUUUAGCUUUCCCCCACCUGUCGCCUUUGCCCUUUUGGUUUCCUUCCCAUUUUUCCCUAUUUAUUUACCAAAUUGCCAUCCCCUCCGGCCUCUGCCUAGUAUUUCUCUUAUAUAUAUAUAUAUGUACAUUUAGCUGUAUAUAUUAUCCCACCUUCACAACAUAAUCAACUACUUUUCCUCUCACUCCAAAUAUAUAUAUACACACACACAUCCACCAAAGGAAAAAUGUAUGGCCCUUGAGAGUUAACAUAAUAUUACCACAUUUUUUAUUACAUAUAUGUGUGUAUCUAUAGACUAUAUAUAUUGUUGUUAUAUAUAGAGAUACAAAGAGAGAGAUAACAGAUUCAUACUUCGUUAAUUUAUUAUGGGGUUACAAAGCCAGCUCAACGACGUCUCUUCCGACUCCAUCCCGCUCUUACUCAUCGCACUCAUCGCCAGCUCCAUCAACCACCUCCGCUCCUCCCUCCUCGCCCUCCUCCAUUUUCUGGGCCUCAGCCCCCAUCCCAAUCCUGGCUCAGACUACGACGAAGGCCUUGCUGCCGGCCCGGCCGUGGGCUCGGGACUCGCGGGUCUCGUUAUCUUGUCCGACCAGCUCGCCCUCAACCGUCACUUAUCCUAUCCAUACGACCGCGACGACGCCGUUGCCACCGCACGGGAUUGCAAUUGCGUGGUGUGCUUGUGCACCUUGGGGGAUGGUGAGCAGGUCCGCAUGCUCCAGUGCCGCCAUGUGUUCCACAAGCACUGCUUCGACUCCUGGCUCGACCACCUCAACUUCAAUUGCCCUCUCUGCCGCUCUCCCGUGGUACACCGGGAUGGCGUCGCGCUCACGCGCCGCCGACUCUCCCGCGACCUCCUCCACUGGUUUUCCAUCAGCUGAGAAUCAAUGGAUGUUAACGUCAUAAAUAUGUUCACAUGGUAUCCAGUAUCCACCACUGAUAUCCACUCUAAUCUGCCCAUGGAUUGUGAGUCGUGACGAUUGCCGGUGGUUUCUUACGUUUUUUCCAUUUUUCUUUCUUUUUUUUUUAUAUUUUAGAGGGUUGUUGGCCAUAGACUUUCUUUUUUAUUGUUUGGUCCCUCUAAUUAUUUUUCCUGCGGCUGUAAAUAUUUCGUGUUGCUAAUUAAAUAAGGAAGAGGGAUUUCUUUGUGUUUACCGCCAUUUUUUUAUAUAUUCUGUGAUGAAAAUUAAGAUUAGAAACGUUACUAAAUGGUAAAUAAAAAUUAGGGAAGCUUACUAUAGGAGCAUAAUUCAAGCUUGUUUGAAAAAGUUUUUAAAAUGACUAGAAACUUAUUAUUGGAACAUAAUUCAAGCUCGUUUGGAAGAGCCUUUAAAAAAAAUUAAAAAUUCAUUUAAAGAAAAUGUUUAGUGUUUCAAAACAAUUAAAGAACUUUUUGUACCAAAAACAAUUUCAAUUAUUUUAAAAACACUUCCAAACAAACUCUCAUCUCUUACGGAAGCAAAAAUGAUGAGCGUCUUUUCAGCUAAGAAAAAUGGGUCUAAUGUGCAAUAUGUAAAAACAUAGGAAAAUAUAUCUUUUUGUCCUCUUUGUAUAUAUUCUUUAUUUAUUAUUCUUUUAUUUUUCGUAAAUAAAAGUGUGCACGCACAUAAAAAUGCAUGUUGAAAUCUCUCCCAAAACCUGCACUCUUUUCUAUCCCACUGACGUUUUUAAAGAGGGUAUGAAAUCCCUAGGAGAAGGUUAAAAAUGGAAAAUAAAAGAAAGUCAAAAAGUAUAAACUACGAAAGGAUUGGCCCCUAAGAAAGCGGAAAUUUUAUUUAAACUCAUAUAACCUAUUUCUACACAUAACUUACUUUUUGCACCAAUUUGAUUUUUAAUUACACUAUUAAUAUCUCUUUAAACCCAAAUUUGAUACCUAAUAUGCCCCCAUAAAUCCAAUUCAAUAUAUGGAUUUAUUAUAAUGUUUGGGUUUAUUGAUAAAUUUAAUUAUAAUGUUUAAGCUUUUGUAAAGAGAGCUAUUAGGAUUUAAUUAUAAUAUUUGGGUUUAUUGAUAAAUUUAAUUAUAAUGUUUAAGCUUUUGUAAAGAGAGCUAUUAGGAUUUAAUUAUAAUGUUUGGGGUUUAUUGAUAAAUUUGACUUUUAUUAUUAAUUUCAUUUUGUACUUAAUAGUAAUUAUGCAAUAGGAUAAAAUAGACAAUUAACAUUUAAAAUUUAAAAUUGGGUGUAAAAAGAGGUUGAAUGGGUUUAAAUAAAAUUUCCUUAAAGAAAACAUGUGUUGGGCCAGUCAUUAAAUAAUGCAAAGCCCAAUAUAUAAUGGUAAAUCCAUAAUAUUGCAAAGCCCAAAACAUUGUCAAAAAAACUAUACUCCUACCAACGUCCUAACGAACUACAUGCAAUUAUUAGCGAACUACACAUACCAGUUGAUUAAGUAUUCAGCACAUCAAAGAUAAGCAAACCAAAACUUUCAAACGUACCACAUGUCUUUUUUUUGCCGUUUACUCUUGAACUUCUUCUCUAAAUCCAAAUUCGAAUCCAAUUUAACAAUGUAUACAAAGAUGGUCUACGUCUUGUAAAAGUCAUCUCGUACAUGUAGGAAUGCAUGAUGACAUUUUUGUAGUACUGAUAACAUUUCUUAUCUUUUAUUUGAGACGAUAUAUCUAAUUAGAUGGUUUCGAGAGGCAAAAUGUACGGCCGUACUGUAAUCUUCAAUAGUACUAAAAAUGAAUUUGGAUGUUAGUUUGGUAUAUAUCAUGAGGACUGAGCAGGGUUCAAUCUUAAUUUACCAGUACCUCAACUACUACCAUUCUCUUUUCUGCGCUGAUUUUUCUAGCUUUCAUUCAUCUAACUGAGGACUGAGGAGGACUCGAGCAAGAGAUCUUAAGCCCGUCAAUUGUUCUACUUCGUGCCGAGAGAUCCAAAAUAUCAAAUACCCUUUUCGUCUAAAGGGCGAUCCAUCCGGCUGCGGAGAUCCUGACGAUGAAUUUGCUUGCGUGAACGGAAAAACCAUCUUAGAAAUUUUCCCGGGAAAGUACUACGUGCACAACAUUUCAUAUGAUGAUCAAAUCCUCGUUUGGUGCACGUCAACUUCGCCAACGGAAGCAGCCUUCCGUCAACGGAAGUGAAUGUCAGGGAUUAUCGGUUCCAAGGAUAUGACACCAGCUCUACUAGUUUUAUCGAUUCGUCAAGCAAUACGAUGCAAAGAAUAAUUCCUGCCUAAGCGGCGGUAGGCUAGACCUCAACCAUUGAAGGCUAUUUCAUCCCAUGGCCAUACACUUGCCAUUGAAAUUAUGAGUAUAAUAAGCUUAUUAUCUAACUCUAGAUGUUUGGUUGUAGUUUGUAAUAUAGUUGUUGUGUGUAUUAAAUACGGGUAAAAAAAAUUUGUGCAUGACGUUUGUUCUUUGUUAAAGAAUGGAUUUUAUAUCAAUAAUGUAAUUUACAGCUUAUGAAAACUAAUCGUGUCUACCAAUGUUAUCGACAGCUUAUCAACAGUUGUCUGGUCUAUAACGUCACGUCCAGAAAAUAACUUUUAGUAGGGGCUUAAGAGAGCCUAGGAGGAAAUAGGGCAUAUUGUGGAAGACAAGCAGCAUGUGCAGGUGGACAAGGGCACUGGCAAGUGUAUGCCUAUGGGAUGAAAUAGCUUUCAACAGUAGUCUUAUUGUGCUCGUAAUUUGGUAGUGUCCUAUUAAGGGGUUUCGUAAACGCCAUGUUCGGGCCAAACACGAGCAUGUUUGAAACUGCAUAUGAUAGGGUUUGAAACAUUGUUCGAUAGUUAUAAGCGCUGGUGAUUACAUUUUACAAAAAAUCUUAAAUUGCUUAUAAGAUCUUAAAAAACGUUUUCUAAAGGUACUUUUCUAGAAUAUACCCAAACUUUUAAUAAAAGUUUUAGCAUGUUCAUAUGAAAAAUCAUCCCAAAUGAAUCAUGGCUAAAUCAAGAGUGCCUAUGAUGCUAAACCCAAGUAUGUUGCACAUUGAAAACUGCCAGCUAGAAAUUUUUAACUUGCGGCAUGUCCUAUUCUCACCUUUUACCCUGGACUUCUACAGACUUCUACUCUAAAUCCAAAUAUUUGGAAGAGAAUUCUCUCUCCUCCUAAUAUUUGAAUGCAACUUAGCAAAUCUAUGUAUUUGAGAAGCAAUCAUAUAUAUUUGGAUAGUGAUUUUUGCACUCAUAAUUUCUUUAUCUAUACUGCUCCUUAGUUUGUGACUUGUAAUUUGAUUAUCUUUUUUUUUUUUUGUUCAAUUCACUGGAUUAAAAAGUUAGGAGUAUGAAGGUAGAAAACAGGAGUGCGAGGGUAGAAAAUAGACUGACACCUGUAAGGCUGCACUACUACAAUCUUCAAUAGUAUAAAAAGGGAAUUUUUUUUCUUUAAAAAAUUGAUCAGUUGGCUUCACCAUGAUAGUUUAUUUUUUCGGUGCUCAGAAGACUCACAGAAGCAUUUCAUAAUUUCUUGACUAGCAUCUGUAAUUCACAUAGUGUCAGAACGUGUCGUGUGACAUGGAAUUGGUUUCUAACCAUUGGUGACUCUGUGGUGAGUACAAAAAAGAAUUUUGAUGUUGGUUUUGUUAGACUAAGUCAGACUUCCCAUUUUCAUUCAAACUAUCAAGUCUUCUUCCUUAUCUCAAAGAGAGUGUUAAGUCUAGGAAGAUUAUGAAUGUUUCUUAGUUAAGUUUACUAUGCUGUUAUAAAGUUUGAAUUUCACACUAGCGUGUAAAUAGCUUGUUUUAAACCCACUGACGUAAAUCUCUAUGAUCUUAUAAAUACAAGCAACCCUAGAUUGAAAAGGGUAUGCAAAAACAACUAAAAACCUAGCCUACUAAAGUUUUAUAUGGUAUCAGGUUGUUCCAUGUGUAAAGUCAAACAGUCAUACGUGCUCCACACUACUCUGUUGUGUUGUCCACGUGUUAGACUUAAAAAUUUGUCACACGUGAGGUGGCGUGUUGAGAAUGAGUCUCACAUUGAUGGGAGGAAGAACUUUCAUGAGCUUAUAAAUAAGUUGAAUUGCUUCUUAUAUUACCAAUUAAUUUUAUAGUGGAACCUCAACUUUAUUCAGGUUUGUUGUGCAUCUCUGGACUCGUAAAAAGAUACUUCAUCGCUGACUCUGAAAUUUGGCAUAUUCAUGAAAACUUAUACUCGGUUGUGUAUUGGCAAAGGAAUGAGCCAAUUAAGGGAGCUUAAUUGUCGUCGAUCUUUGAAUUCUAUUAGAAUAAUAUGGACAUUGUUUUAUUUAUUUGAAGAUCAUCCAAAUUGCUUUAUUUUUAUUAACUCGAUCGAUCUCGACUUAAGACUUUUUGAAUCAACAACUUUCACAUAACGCGUUUCUGCACUAACUUCCUUGAUUCUAAAAUCAUUACGUUAUUAUUUCAUAUAAAUAUAAUAUUAUUAAUUAAAAAAAAACUGAAGAAAUAAAAAAACCCUAGCAUGGAUGGAGCUCAAAACGUACUUUGGGUGUUUGACACUUUCAGUGGUUGACUAUCUGGGAAAUAUAAAUGUAUUAGCUGCUUGUUCCGGGAUUACUAUGAUAUUUUCCAAUUUUGAAGUUCAUAGUUAUUCUGCUAAGACAUACGUAUAUAAUAUACCAUGAGGAGGGUUCAAUGUUCAUUUACCACUUCAACUAUUAUAUUCCCUUUUCGUCUAAAGGGCGAUCCAUCUGGCUGCGGGGAUCCUGACUAUGAAUUUUCUUGCGUGUACGGAAAAACCAUCUUAGAAAUUUUCCCAGGAAAAAUACUACGUGCACAACAUUUCAUAUGAUGAUCAAAACCUCCGUUUGGUCGACGUCAACUUUGCCAACGGAUCCUGCAGCCUUCCGCCUGGAUCUGUCAAAACAGCGGACGGGAAAGUCAUGGAUUUUCGGUUCCAAGGAGCUGUGAUCUAUUAUGCUAGUCGUUUUCGAUUCAUCAAGUGCUCCAAAAACAUCAGCAGCCUGCCAACAGCUGCUAAUUAUACAAGGGUUCCAUGUUUGGCCGCAACAAACGGGAGCUAUUUCUAUGCUGUUUAUGUCCCCGAGUACUAUUAUCCCCCUCAACCGUCAUGCUCGCUUGUUGCAGUGGCUCCGGUAGAUUUUCAUCCGGACAUGAAGUUCACUUCUUACGAAGCCGUCAUGAAACUAUUGCAGGCCGGGUUUGAUAUUGGAUGGUCGGUUAAGUGCAGGGACUGCUCUUUGGCUGGUAAGGGAUGCGCAGUAAGUUCAUGGGUUAAGCCACUCACCUACGAAUGCUACACAGGUUAGUAUCCGAUCCCGAACUACUACAACAACACGUGAAAGUACGUGUGACAGUCACGUAAUAGUUCAUCACGGAUCAAUAUACAACUAAUUAUGUGUAUGCCUUAAGUUUAUGACCGCGAUUAGUUUUAUCUCUUGCUUAUGUAAAGUCAUUGUUUGAGGUUGCUUUUGAAUUAGUUAAAAAUGUUCUCUAACAGUCGAAAACGUUUUUUUCACUUGAACUUUUAAAUAUUUUAACGUUUAGUAUUGUGAUUUUUGUAGAUGCAGAGUACAAAGAACCCACAGAACUUCAAAUAAUCUUAAUAUAUGUAGCAAUGGGUGUGGGAGGUAUUCUAUUUAUUCCAUUGUAAUUUUUCUUGCAAUUUUAUUAUGCCAUAGCAGUCUGCAACUGAUAGAAAUCUUCUCUCUGCAUUUUCAGCUCUAAUUGGUCUGUUGUGUAUAAUUCUUAUACUGGUGGUCGUAAUCCGAAGAUGUCGUAGAACUAGAAACGAAGCCAAGAGAAAUCUCCAGAAUCAAAAUCAGCAGUCCUUGACGCCAUAAAUCAACAGUUCUUGAGCUUAACAUUUGUAUGUUGAUGUGUGUAAAUUCAAAUGCUUUUGCGGUGUUUGUUGAUGUGUAUAAUUCGGAUAUUUGGUCUUGUUCAUUAGUUAUUGGCCAUUGAGCCAUGUAUAUAUUUCCAAAUGGGCCUCAUUUCAUUGGGCCACUUGUUAUAAACUGGUUCUUAAAGAGUGAUCUCUUACCGACUUUAAAACCGUUUUUUAUUAUAUUUCGUAGGAAAACUUAAAAACGCUUUGGGAUAUAGAAACAACGAAAAUGCUUUUCCAUGAUACUUUUUAGGUUUUCGUUAAAAUGUGUUUACAAUUAAACAAAUUUAACCAAAAAAAAAAACACUUGUUAGCAUAAAUACUUUCUACAAAAAGCGUUUUUAGGAAGUGCUUUGAGGAACUUAGGUCAUCUCCAACAGAUCCAGCCAAGGGGUUAUAGGGCUAAAAAUAACCCGUUUUACAACUGUCUCCAACCGAGAGCUAGACCAAAUGGCUCGUGGUCCCCACUCGGCCAAAAAUGGGAGAACCGGCCAAAGGGCUAGUCAAGAGCAGCUAGCCUACCAACCCUAUAGCCUAGCCCUCCAUCGCCAAAAUGUUAAGCUUGACAUAUGCCAAUUUAUUAACAUUUGAAGGUGUUUGGAGGUGUGUGAAUUCUACCCCAAUAUCUAGCCAAUUUAUUAACAUUUGAAGCUGAAUAUAAAAAGUGUCACAUAAAUAAGAAUCAUAUAUAAAAUUUUCACAAUUAAUUAUAUAUCGGCACUCGAAAUCUUAUCCAAAAAAUUAUUAAGAUUACAUAAAGAUAAGAAAUCUAGAGAGUUACUCACUUUAGCGACGUGUCACUCAAAAUCUUAUUCGAAAAAUUAUUGAGAUUACUUAAACAUAAGAAAUCUGGAGAGUUGCUUACGUUAGCGACACGUGUCACUCGAACUCCUAUCCAAAAAGUUAUUGAGAUCAUAUAAAAAUAAAAAAUCCGGAGGCUUAUUCAUUUGGCGACAAGUGGCACUCAAAGCAUGUCCGAAAACCUUAUUUUAAUAUGAUAGUUUAAUUUAAGUAAUCAUAUUAAUUCAAUUAAAAUAAUAAAUUAUGUUUGGCCUAUCUCCUUUGGUCCCCUCGGUUGGAAAUGAUUUUUUAUCUAAGGGUUAUGUUUGGCCUAUGGCCUUUUGACCCCCUCGAUUGGAGAUGGUAUAAAAUAUGGUCUAUCACUAUUCAUUAAAAUAUAAUUUCUUACAAAACUGUAAGAUUAAAAUGAAUCUUUUAGCCCUCCUUCAGUUGGAGAUGAACUUAGCUUUUGGCUUUGGUAUUCUUUGGAAGAGGGAAUGACUGAAAUUCAGCUUUGAUUGAUGAGUGGCGUCUUUGGAUACGGACUAUGGAAAAUGAAGAAUUGACUUUGACCUUUGAAAUUCUCAAUCCUAGGGUGGAGGGGAUAGUUGCAUAUUAAAAAAAACCGAGGAUAAGCUAAUAAAUUAAAAAACUGGGCAGACAAAUGACAAAAAGUGUGCUUAUCCAUUCCAAGACACCGAUCUUCAGUCUUCCAACUUCCAAAUGACGCGUUUGUGACAUAAAUAUGAGUUAACGAGCUGCACUCAAGUUUAAAUUUUACGUACUCUUUUAUCGAGGGAUUUUUGACGCUGCACGAGCAUAAAAAGGAUAUCAACGUAAGUCUUUAAAGAAUAAUGUUCUGAAAUUCAUCAGAUUUUGAAAAAUACUAUUUGAAUAAUUCUUAAAUGUUUAUAACAUUAGUUAUAAGACUUAAACAGAGUUAACUCGACUCUUGAGAAGUUUAGAAGAGUCUUAGGGAAUGUAAAAGAAGUAACCGGACAUAAAACAAAACGUCCGAUUUUAUUAGAAACUUUAAAAUUUGGUUUUGGAAGUCUAAACGACGUCGGAUGGCUUUAAUUCAUUGUGCUUCAUAGCAAAGCAGUGUGGUCAAUCUAGGACGUCGUGAGAAAGUAUUAUGCACGUAAAACGGAGUCGGACUCUAAAUCUGUAAGUAUAUAGAUUCCUGCUGCCGGUGCUGCGUCUUUUUGUCUUCCUUUAGUCUAUUUCAGUUUCAAUCCACUUGGUCAUUUGUUUUACCUCAAUUUUGCAAAUAAAAUUAUGUUUGUGGCACACCUUAUAAUGUCUAUUAUGUAACUAUUUUAAUUAUUUGAACGGUUUAUAUGUCAAUUCAUUAUUUAUACAUCAUUCAAACAAAUCCAUAACAACCAAGAUAUUCAACAGUAUUGUAGUGAGCAAAAAUAGAAGAAUGUUGUGUUUUAUACAAACACUAAAAUGACUAUCAUUUAGUUCAACAAUCAUAUUAACUUCGAUUUGAUUGUUUUUUGUGUAAAUAACUUAAAGGAAAAUCUAAAAAAUAAAUGGUUAAAUUAUUAAAAUAUAAUGUGGGUGUGGACUUUACAAAGAUGUCACUCAACAAUUUUAACAGUUAUUGUAGGCAACUAGUUACAGUCAUUAGGAACCGGAUCCUCUCCGAAUCCCAAUAAUAUGAGCCUAAGGAUCAAAUGAUUUAGAUUGUUGAAAUUUGAUCAAACGGUUACAAACAGAAACCCCUCUAAAGUUAUAAUAAUUGUAACCGUUGGAUCAAAUUCAACAGCCUGGAUCAAAUGAUCAUUCGGCUCAGAUUAUUGAGUUCCGGAGAGGAUCCAGUUCCCAGUCAUUACUAUCUUUAGAAAAAAGACAAAAACCCACAACACGGAGCUGGAAGUUUUGACCCUCUCCCUUUCGUUGACUAACAGAGGAACAUCAAUGGAGAUUUCCUUUAAGAAGAAGAUGGGCCAUGGCGUUCCAAACUUUGGAUAAAAAUCAACACGCCUAAACAAUUUUGAGGCGUUCCAGAAGACUAUAUAUAUAAUCUACGCAGAGCGUCAUCCGAAAUUAUUUACCCAAAGUUCUGAGAUUCAUAAUUUUUCUGCAAAAACAUAUAAUAUAAUCAUGAGGACGGUCCAAUAUACAUCUUCUCUUUUCUGUUCUCUGCUGAUUCUGCUAUUUUUCGUUCAAAUUCAAGCACAAACCAACUGUUGGUCUUCCUGCGGAGAAAUAAAAAACAUCAGCUACCCUUUUCGCCUCAAGGGCGAUCCAUCCGGCUGCGGCGACUCCGAUUACGAGCUCUCUUGUGUCGACAACAAACCCAUCCUAGAGAUUUUCCCCGGGAAAUACUACGUGCGCAACAUUUCCUACUAUGAUCACACACUCCGUUUGGUCGACGUCAACUUCGCCAACGGAACCUGCGGCCUUCCGUCUGGUCCUGUCGAAACAACGAACGGGUUUGUCCGGGAUGCUCGAUUCAUGGGAUAUGGGUGGAACCCAGGAAGUCGUUUCCGGUUCGUCAAGUGCUCAACAAACAUCAGCAGCAUGCCGGAAGCUGCUAAUCACACAGUGGUUCCUUGCCUGACAAGAAACGGGACUUACGUCUAUGCUGUUUAUGAUGGCGAUUACUCGUAUUAUGAGCCUCAAAAAUCAUGCUCUGUCAUUUCGUUGGCUCCUGUCGAUCUUCGUAAAGAUGUUACGAAGUUCAAUUCUUAUGAGGCCGUCAUGGAACUAUUGAAAGCUGGCUUUGAAGUUGAAUGGUCAGUUACGUGCAGAGAUUGCUCUUUGGCUAGUAAACAGUGCGUAGUAAAAUCAAUGGAUAAGCCAUUCACCUAUAUCUGCAAAAAAGGUCAGUUCCUAUAUUGCGUUUGAAGUUGUUUAGAUUCAUCUGUUAAAUUUUCUAGAAUAUUUAACCGUUAAAUUACGCAAUUCGCUUCAUGAUUAUGUUUUCGUUUCUCUAAUGUUAUACUUUUUUUUUUGACAUGCAGAGUACAAAGAACUGACAAGAGCUGAAGGAAACUGGAUAAUUGCUGCAAUCGUUGUGGGAGGUAAUAUUACUGUCGCAUUUGUACAAACAUUGACAAACUUGUUAUUUUCUUUCAAUUUUUCGAUCUCUUUCCCGAGUCAGCUGAUAGAAAUCUUGUUUCUACAUUUUCAGGUCUGAUUGCUCUGGGAAUUAUCAUUGGUAUAAUUGUAUUCGUCAUACGAAGAUGUCGGAGAAGACGAAAUGCAGCUGAUAACACGAACAAGAAUCCGCAGAAUCGAAUUAGUGCUUGAGCCAACAACCACCAAUUCUUGGAUACAUGAAUUCCAUGAAAAAAAAAUUUAUUUCGUUCUUUCUUUUUUGUAAGUCAGUUAAAAGAAAUUAACUCCAUUUUUUCCUUCUUUCUUUUUGGAUGUAUAAUUCAGUUAAAAUACUCUGUAUUUAAUACCACGUGAAUUACAUCACUUAUUACGGAUAAAUUGCAAAAACACAAUUAACAUAAUAUUUUGAUUGACAUAUUUGCUAUAGAGCAUAACACGUGAAAUAUCUCAAAUUCCUUUAUAAAAUUAUCACGCAAAACAUCACAACCAACACAAAAUGUAACACGCGAAAUGUUUUACAUGCCCAUGUGUAUAUACCAUAUAAACAACACAAUUGACAACAAAAAGUUUGAACAUGGAAGUCUACACGCUUGAUACAUAACGUCUGUAAUGUCAAUCACGUUGAUUAUGUUUUUUUUUUUUUUUAAAGAAAAUCAGUUGAUGGCUUCGCUACGAUAUAUCAAUCAUGUUGACUGUGUAUUUUUAUGUUUUCUUUUUUAAAAAGAGAUUAGUUAGUGGUUUUGCCACGAUCGUCUACUGUUCCGAGAAUUUGAAGUAUUUCAACCUCUUCUUGAGAACCAUAAUGUGAUUCAUCAUCACCAAAAAUUGAAACAAAACACAUCGUUUAAAAUACGGGUCACUUCGUCUCAAUUACUAAGUUACGUUGAUUGUAUAGUUUAAAGUGAGACAUGAGACCAUUUAAAGCAUUAAACUUGUGGACUGAUUGAUCCAAGUCCUUUUCUAUUGGGCUGACCCUCUUAAUGACAUAAAGACUUUUAGACCGUUUGAUUUUUCAAACGUUUGUGUCUAUGCUGAUUGGCGAAAAAGAAUAAGGAGGGAGAAUUGUCUUAAACACAUUAUUUUAACAUAACGCGUAACCUUUCAAACUCUGGCGUUUUUAUAGACGCCUUAACAGUUCAAAGUUCAUGAUUCAAUUAUUAACAUGUGAAGAAACACACAGAGCUAGCAGGGAAACUCUGACUAAAUCCCAAUAUCUCAUCAGUUAAUUGCAGGGGAACAUGUAUAAAUACAUAUCCUUUCAACACUUACUAACCUCGGCUGUACGAAAAAGUUUAUUUGAUAUAAACAAAAAAUUGAGACAGUCACGAGAACAUAACUUUACCUCUCACAACAGAAGAAAACCAAAAUACAAAAAAAAAAAAAAGAAAAAAAAAAGAACAUAAACCUUAUUCCUGACAGAGCAAAACAAAAUGGAAAUUUCCGAAAGGAUAAUGAGAGGAUUGAGUUAGGAUUUCAAUUAACAUCUUGUUAAUAAGUUUUUCAAUUUUAAAAUCGUCAUAUGCUAACAUGUAAUAAUUUAAUAUUAAAAUAAUGAUACUAAUAUCUGGAUAUUUUAAAAUCAGGCGGCUACAAUAUUUGAUAAAAUAAAAGUUGGUGAUGGUAGAAUGUCAUCUAAUUAAUUAAUUUGUGAAAUGUUGAAAAUUCAGUAGGAUUCAGGUUCAGAGAUACGGACAAAGAGAAGCACAAACGAAAAAUGAAAUCUUUGGGAGGCCUAGAGAUCAUUCUUUCAAGCCUUCUGUGUCUGCUCCUUCUCUUUGCUCUCCUCAAGAUCUUUCACAAUCUAUGGUGGUCUCCCAUUCGACUACAGAAUCUGGUGGCUCUGCAGGGAAUCAAGGGCCCUUCUUACCGAUUCGUCCACGGAAACACCAAAGAGAUCUCCAGCAUGCAAGAGGAAGCCAUGAGCAGGCCCAAAAGCUUAUCACAUGACAUAUUUUCUCGAGUUCAACCUCACAUCCACUUGUGGACCAAGAAAUAUGGUAAACAAACUUUUACCCGUUGAUGGUUUUCAAAUCUUUGUUCUAAACAAAACUUUUACCUGUUUGAGUUAACAGAAGACUCGAUGCAAAAUCGAGUACAGUGGCGUUUUAGAAUUUAUGUAGCUAGUCCUACUUAGUGGGAAUUGUUGCUGUUGUAAUCUAAAUUUAUUUCGUCUUUGGCAACAGGAGCAAAUUUUCUUCAAUGGUAUGGUUCUCAAGCCCAGUUGGUCAUCACAGAGCCAGAACUGUGCAAAGAGAUACUUACUAACAAGAUAGAGCUUAUCCCAAAAGCGAGCCGAAAAGCUAUCUGAGAAGGCUAUUAGGAGAUGGACUUGUGGUAAGUGAUGGUGAAAAAUGGGCUAAGAUGAGAAAGUUAGCCAACUAUGCCUUCCACGGAGAGAUCUUAAAGGUAAUGUUACUUAUAUAUAUGGAUUAAAUUAGUUGGUCGAGGCAGUGUGCCGUUCUCUUUCACUUGAUUCUGAAUUCUUGUCGUACAAUAAACUAAGAGCAAAUAGGGAACAAAUACGUUAAUUGCUUUUGCUAGGGUAUGGCUCCAACAGUGAUAGCUAGUGCUGAGACGAUGCUAGAAACUUGGAAAGAACACGACGGCCAAGAGAUCGAUGUGUUUGAAGAAUUUAGGUUGUACACCUCAGAAGUGAUUUCCAAGACGGCCUUUGGCAGCAGCUACUUAGAAGGGAAGAAAAUUUUCGAUAUUCUGGAGAAGUUAGGCUACUUAUCAUUCAAAAAUGCGUUCAAGCUCAGGUUUCCCGGCAUUAGGUAAUUGCUUCCUUUUAACUAAUUCAUCAUGAAUUGGAACAUUGCAUUACUUAGGUUCUGAUGUUUAAUCUGUCGUUGAUCAAUGCUGCAGUAAGUUUAUUAAAUCCAAUGAUGAGAUCGAAUCAGCAAAGCUCGAGAAAAGUAUACGCGACUCCAUCAUGGAGAUGAUCAAGAACAGAGAAAAUAAGGCAAUGGCUGGAGAAGAAGACAGUUUUGGGAAUGAUUUUCUUGGGGUACUUUUAAAAGCUCAUCACGACACCGACGAGAAAAAGAGGAUUUCGAUUGAUGAAAUUGUUGACGAGUGCAAGACAUUUUACUUUGCUGGACAAGAAACCACUAAUAGUGCACUUGCUUGGACUGUGUUUCUUCUAGCAAUCCAUACCGAUUGGCAAGAGGAAGCAAGAAAGGAGGUGAUCCAAAUAUUUGGGAAACAAAAUCCGAAUCUUGAUGGCAUUGCCAAGCUAAAAACUGUAAGAAUGUCAACAGCUCAAUCAAUUUUUGUCUUUGUUACGGCAUAUAUGUUCUCUCGCACUCAAGCUUAUGUGUUCGAUUAUUCAUUUUCAUGCAGAUGAGCAUGAUCUUCAACGAGUCGCUAAGGUUAUAUCCACCGGUAGUUACCAUUGAGAGGAAAAUUCGAAGGGAAGUUAAGCUGGGAAAACAUGUUCUUCCUGCUAAUGUUGAAGUAACCAUUCCAUGCUUAGCCCUUCAGCACGAGCCUCAAAUUUGGGGAGAAGAUGUGCUACUUUUCAAACCGGAGCGAUUCUCAGAAGGGGUUGCUAAAGCUACAAAGAACAACAUAGCCGCAUUCUUACCAUGGGGAUUGGGACCUCGGAGUUGUGUGGGAUCAAAUUUUGCAGCCAUUGAAACAAAGAUUGUUCUGUCGAUGAUUCUACAACGCUUCUCGUUCACACUUUCCCCAGCCUACAUCCACUCCCCCUAUCGGCUUCUUACAGUUCGGCCGCAACAUGGAGUUCAAGUAAUGCUGCACUCGCUUACAUGAUGAUCAAUGUAUCAGCACUGCGGUUUAGGUUACAAAAAUGCAAGCGCUGCUUUGAGCUUCGGUUAAAAGGGAAAAAUGAGUAAUCUUAUUCAUAUCAUGUUUUUAUACCAUAUUUUUAUACCUUCUUAGGUGGUAUCUAAUGUGGACAGUCACAUCAUUUGAAUUAAUCAGAUUUUUUAAUUUAGUUAAACAUGGUAUGAAAAUGAUUAAUUCUUGGUUUUAUGCCCAAUAAAAAAUUUGCAAAACCAAGGAAAAAAAAAGAUAAAGACUCCUGGCAUACCACAAUCAUCAUUUAAUUAACUAAUUUUCUUAAUUAUUAGUUUAUUAAAUAAUAAACUAAAUUUAAAAAUAUGAUUAAUUCAAAUGAUGUAACUAUUCACAUUAAAUGCCACAUAAGAUGAUAUGAAAAUAUGGUACAAAAACAUGGUACGAAUAGCAUUACUCGAGAAAAAUAAGAGUUGCAAUGGUAAAUAGCCACAAUAUUUUUCUUUUCCUCUUGGUUUUUGGAGAAUGUGGAGAUUAACGAUAAUGACUCUUUUGGAACAACUUCUGUAAAAGUACUUUUGUUUAGAAGUACGAUUUCUAGAAGUGAUUUUACUAAAAUACGUUGAAAUGUUUACUAAAAAUCUAAGUGGUCUAUAAAAAAAAUACUUAAAAGUGAAACAUCUAACGUUUACACGCUUUUAUUUAUGACCCCAUAAUAUCGAUGUGGGUUUUUGUUCUGUUGAUGUCAACCAACAUUUCGUUGACUUUCAGUACAUAUAGAGGGCCUAACGCGUUUAAUCCUUCACUGCUGAAAAAAUGAAGUCAGUUCUAGCCCAAACAUAGUGGGCCUAUAUCAAAGUUUCCCUCCGAACCAGGGAACGUGUGGUCCAGAUCGAGGCACAGAGACAGAUGUUGUAUUUGGUUUUUGAUUCUUUCAAGUUUAUGAAUAUUAUCAAAGAAAAUCCUUUUGACCUUCUUCCUCCUUCCAAUAAUAAUGCGAUGCAAAAGUUUAACUAUAUCUGGGGAAACAGGAACUCUGUAAAUAAUAUAUAAUUACACAAAUAAUAGUAUAUUUUGAUAUACAAUUCACGUUUUGGUAAAUUGGUAAGUUGGUAACGUCAAAAGCAAGUCACCAUUAGACAUAAGAGAUUGCUUCGUGUUUAGACACACUGAAAAUUUUCUUUAAUUACGGAUUUGUUAUUAUAUUAUAAUAAACCAUGAAUACAUGAAUUAUGAAGGUCGGGAACAAUGGUCGAUUUUUUGCCCUUUAUGUAUAAGAUACUUUUUUCUGUUUUUAGGAUGGACAAAAAUUCGCUUCUAGCGAUCUCGUAAUUUUCGCCCAAGAUCUGGAUUAUCAUUAUAUUUGGUAAAAUUACAUAAAGUAAUUAACGAAUAAUUAUCAAAGUAUCAAAGUGCAGAAAAGGGAAAAGGAAAGCAUGGAAUUUCCGUGCUGUCAUGCUUUCACAGAAAUCAGAUUCUACUUUGAAUCAGCAUCUAGCUAGAACAAGAGAGACAACACCAGAAACAAAAAGGAAAAGAAGGUUAAAGAGGGAGAGAGACAAAAGAUCGAGAAGAAAAUUAAAGUUCUUAAUUCUUGAUAACAAACCAAAUUACAUGAUAGGUGUAAGUGAUGCAUGCCCAGCAGCUUUACAAACAAACAAGAACAACUUAAUUAAACAGACUGGCUACCUCGUAUGCAUCUCUUACAUCCCAUGUUUUACAACAUUAAGCAUGCAAAAAAGAGAAAAAUAAAAGGAGAACUAAUCGAGAGCAAAGACUUACAUAUUCAAGCACAAACAGGCCAAAGUUAAGUAAGUAAUAAAAGAAAAAUUAAAGACCUAAGUUGUUAAGGUAAACUCGGACCGCUACCCUCAAUUCCCCGCAAUGCAAUAAUACACGCUCUCCCGACUCUGCCCGACACUUUUGUGGUAGCAGGCUAGAGAUUCAGGACAGCGCGCAAUUGCAAAGCCUGUUUUGUAUGUUGUUCUUUCGUCAUUUUUUAUUUAUAUUUACAACACAACCCUUCUCCUCCACGCUGCUGCCGCUGCCAACCGGCACCAUCUUCACGCACUUCACCCAUGUAGACGAAAUCCCACUGGUGGCAGCUGGCCAUCAUGGUGGAUUUUGCGUCGUAAUUGCCAACGAGGCGAAAUUUUAUGGGUAGAAAGAAAGGAGGACUAGAAAAAGAGGGUGAUGAGUAUAGAGCUGAGGGGACAUGAUAGGUCGUAUAUAAAGACGAGACUGUAAGCUUUUUGUUGAAAUAUGAGUGUCACAGUUUUUUUUUUUUUUUUUUUGAUAAAAUUUAAUUUUCGAAAAGUGAGGUUGAAACUCUUGGUCCAAGCUGGUUAAGGCAUGUUUGUGGGGAAUACAAAUAACUCCACUAACUCGGUUUCCAAGGCUCUUGGAAUUUUCAUAUUAUUCUCUCAUGGGAGAGAAAACAAAAGAGAAAUGUAAGGGAACUCUGUAUAGACUUUUGGAUACUGUUAAUAUUGUAAUCAUUAAAUUAAAAAUUUGAGGUAACAAAGAGUCGAGUUUCACUUUUAAAAGAAUCAUCUUAACAUUUCCGAAAGAAAAAAAACAUUAGAAAUGGAUGGGGUUGAUUUUUCAGUGUGUGUAAACGUGGCUUGUUUUGCUGCAUACAAAAGUUGGAAAUAGAAUCUUAUUCGGAUUGUUUUUGUGAGAAUUCAGAUGAUCAAUCAUUUAUGUCUGUUCAUUAUCUAUUGUGCGGUAAAAAAAUUUUAUUUAAAAUUGAAUAAAAACAAUACUAAUAAAACUAAUCGCACGAUAUAUAAUAACCGUACAUAAUGAAUUAAUCUUUUAGAUCCUCACAAACAUAAUUCAGAUAAAAUCCUCAUCCCAAAAGUUGCAAAUUUUCCACAGAGAUCAAGACAAGAAAACAAAUAAUAAUAAUAAUGGCCAACUUUAUGGAUUUAUUACCUUAUUAUUGUUUAGAUAGGGUUAGGGUUUAGGGAGGAUGAGGUGAGUACGUGGUGGGUCAUUUGCAUGGAACCCUGUGCAUGCAUGGAACUUCGAAGCAGACAAAUGGGCCGGAUAAAUUUCAGCCGAAUGGAAAAAAGGCUGGAUGAUUGAGAGCAAUAAAACACUGUUAGUUUAAAACAUGUAUUUAACGUUAAUUAUAUAAGAAAGCUAACGAAAAGUUCUUAAAAAUUUUAGUUUUUAAUCAAAAUUAUACAGUAAAAGUGUAGAUGAAUAGUAUCAGAAGUGACUUUUCAAGGUAAAAAUAUCCUUAACGUUAAAAGUGAACAAUAUUGAAAAUGUUUCAUUAAGAUUUCCUAAUUAUAUUCAUCAAGAUUAAUGAAGCUAAUUAAGAAUGAAAUAAUAAUAAACAGGAGGGAAGGAAAAGAAAGGGUUCCCAACUUAAGCAACGUUAAGAUGAUCCUUUCUGCAGAGUUAGCAUGCAUAUUCCUACCCCCAUCAUCAAACCGUAUCACAUGAAGAUAAUAUAUAUAUAUAUAUAUAUAUAUAUAUAUAUAUAUAUAUAUCGUUUUGCCCAUGCACGUUUGAUGCUUCAAACUUUAUAGCUAAAUCAUUAUAUUUUCAAUUUCAGUGGGUUUAAUGAUAUAUACCUUUUCUAAUCAAAUGUCCUAGGUUUUCCUCUUUUCACACUGUUUUAGCAAGGAAGGAGGUAUAAAUGUCUUUUCACACUAUGCAUUUUUCACACUCCUCACAAGUAAUGGUAAUACUCAUCAUUCUACUUAUUAUUAUUGGAGAGUUUAAAUUUUAAGAUUUGUAUUUAUUCACUACACAUAUCUCACAAAUCUUGAAAAAUUAAACUUGUCCAACGUUAAUAAAUACAAUGGUAAACUCAAGGGUGGUGAGCAAAUAAAUAUCCAUAAAAAUAUCAAUGGUUUAUGGGGGUGCAACUUGGAUUGGGUCAACUCGAAUCCAUCAUGCCUAACUCGAUUUCAAAUUCGACUGGAGGGUUAAAAUAUAAAUUAAAUAAAUAAACUCGCCCAAACCCAAUUAUUAUUGGGUUGGGAUGAUGCAUUGUCUGCCCAUGUCAACCCAAACCGAUUUUAGCCCCAAUUCGCUCAUGCACAUAUUACCCAUCCCACUUCAUUAUGUAUAAGUUCUGGAAUGACUAUAUACUUGAAGUUUAUUGUCGGUUUUCAUAUGGAUAAUGAAUUAUAGUGUUACUUUUUUUUUUCUUUUGGUUGAAGCUUUGUAUACAUCAUGUAGUUUAAUUUCAACUUUGCAUAGUUGAAAUAUAGUCUCCAAGUUGUUUGCUUAACUUUUGUGUAGAUGAUGAUGUGUACAUGGAACUUUAAUUGAUUAAUAUUGAUGUUGUUUGGUUUGAAAUUUGAAAAAUCAUGCUUAUAAGAUUGAACAUGACAAAAUUGGUCGAACCCAAACCCAAACCUAACCCAAAUAAGUCCAAACUCAACUCAAAUUGGAAUUGUGAAGAUUGGAUUAAAAUUGUGUUGACGAUCGAUCCAACCUGCCAAUCCGCGGAGUUGCCCACCUAAUGGUUUGAACAAAUGGUUGCAUUAUUAGAUUAGUUGAUUACCUUAAUGCAGACGGAAGCAAACAUUUGAGUUUGGCUUAUACAAUGGGGCUAAGUUAAGUAAACCAACAGACAAAGAAAAUGGAUACAUCUAUAUGACAUGAUAAGGCAGAAGUCUAUAAAGACGAAGCAUUAGUCAGCGCUCAGAUUCUCUUUCUUCCAAAAAAGUUUUAAUUAUGACGGAAACACGUGUGGUACAUUACAUGUUUUUAUAUUAGAAUUUUUAUUUUUUAAGUUAUUAAUUUUUUAACACAUAAAUCUCACUAUUUAUAAAAUGACAUAUAAUGUACCACUUCAUGUGAUAAUCACACUGAAAAGUCUCUCAUUUAUUUCUCUUUGCCUAUUAUUUCCUCUAUUAAUUGUAUAAAACAAUUAUUUCGCAUUUUGAAUUGUCAAAGAACAGAUGGAUAAGUUGGUGGAAGGUGAUCUUGAUCAAACGGCUUGUGUUUUGACAACAAUUAUGUGUGGUAAUUGUCGUGAAAGUUGACAAUUUGAUACAUCAUGGAGCAAGUAGAUGGGACCCAUUACGCAUUAAGGUUUGGGGGCCCCAGCUUCUACUCGUAGAAUUUGUGGACUAGCAUUUUUCAUGCUGUGCCUCACUGAGUGGCCUCCUACAGUCCUACUACAUCUGGGCCGUCAAAAUACAUUUAAAAGUUGAUCAUAGUCGUUAAUUAAAUUAUUAAACAACACCAUGUUUUAACUUUUACGUCUUGAUUACGUCAUUUUUACAUCAAUUGAACACUGAUAACUUUUAAAUUUGGGGAACUAUAACGAAAAGCUCAUAGUAUUAUUCAUUUUAACGAAAAAUCACAUUUUACCAUAUUUUUGUACUAUUCAAUUUACUUUUUAUUUUGUCCUUACCGUUAAAACUCAAGGUUUUCAAGUCAUUUUCAUUAAUUUUUCUUUAAAUUUUUUAUUGUGAAUGUAAUUAUGGUAUUUACUCACGCCGAUCAAUUUUCUAAGAGUGUAACUUAUAGAUAAUAUGGAGAACCUAACUGUAUUAGGAGAAAAGAGAGGUGAUCAAGAAUUUAGUUAAUUUUCUGCAUCUAAACACUGCACAUAUAUUCAAUACACUACAUGAAAUUCAAGUUUAAGAUUUCAGAUUUAAGUUGCAAGGCAAAUGAAUAAUGUGAAUAUGAUUAUAAGAGAAAUGCUAGUAGUACUAUCUCAAAAGUGAGAUUUGUCAUUGAAUUUUUGUCAUAUUUCUAACAUAACGUUUUAUAAUGUUGGUACGAGAUUUAAAGUUAAAUUUUACAAAGAGUUCAUAAAGAGUCACCUUUUUGAGAGAAUCUCUUAGCAUUCCUCCAUCUAUAUUCAAGGAAGUAAAAUGCUAAGAAGACUCUCUUAAGUAAAGCUGGAUUCUUCAUGGAGUCUCUGACAUCUCAUCUUUUUGGCACAAUAUUUUAUAUUGUUAGCACGUGAAUUGUGUGUCAAAUAUAUGGAGUAGAGAAAAAUCGUAAUUUUGAGAGAGUAUUCUUAACAGAAAACUAAAUAACAAAUUAAGAUUAUCCAUCAACAUCCCGAGUCCCAACCCCAAUUUCAGGAUUCAACAUCAUUCCAACCAGAAAAGGGAGGAGAGAAAGCAAGUAACAUCCAGAAGGAGUUAAUAAAAAAGAAAAUAAAAUUACAAUCAUUGGAUACUCAAGAUAUAUCUAGUUGCCGUCGUCCUCGUGAGGAAAAACCAAUAAAGCGCCAUGUGUCCCUUCACUGUCCAGGGAUUGGUGGACAGGAAGCGGCGCGUGAGGCCUCGAUUAGUCCAUUUCAUCUAGCACGGCGUGGGUUUCCACUCCCCAACCCCCGAUUUACCCGUUUCCGGUCAAAUACGGCGCCAUAUUGGACCAGAAAGCAGCGUCCAACCGAGCCAACACGCACGCUUCCGCAUUGGAUCCCUCGUAGGCUCAUAUAGAUCAUAGGCAUGUAAAAGCCGAAAUAAACAAAGAAAAAGAGUUACUUUUCUUCUAUUUUUUUAACUGUGGUUAAUGGAGGCCACGUAACACUGCCCACCAAAAACUCAACGGUGAUAAUGCAUGUGUCUCUUUGUACUAAUUUGUGCGUUAAAUACUGUGACACAUUUUAUAAUUAUUUUUUUGUUAAAGAAUUAUUAUUGACACUUCAAAAUUCUUAUUCUACACUUCAAACUUUUAUAUAUUUAGAAAGAAAAAUACACUUAUGAAAAGUGUAAAAUGAGAUUUUUAUAGUGCCAACAAUACUUCCCUUUUAUUAUAUUAAUUCAGAGAGUUUUAACGAAAUACUUCAUGAUACUAUUCACUUUUAAUGAAAUCCCACAUUUUCACAUUUAUCUGGUACUAUUCACUACAUAUUUAUUUGUCAUUUUUCAUUCAAACUAAAGUUUUUUUGAACGUUUUGUUAGUUUUCCUUUUAAUUUAAGGAAUUAUUAUUAGCACUCCAAACUUUCUAUGAAUUUAUUAUCUUGGAUUCUGGAUUUGGAUCCUCUAUGAGGCAACUAGUAGGGAUCCUUCUUACCAGUGUUUGUGGACCGUUGAAUUUUUAUCCAAAGGAUACAAACAGAAAUGUCCUUUAAAAAUUAUAAUAAUUAUAACCGCUGGAUAAAAAUUCAACAAUUCACGAACACUGAUCAGAAGAAACAUGAUCAGUUGCCUCAGAAAUGAUCAAAAUCCUUGGAUUCUUAGGCUUUGAAGAAUGAUUUGCUAGAUUAUAAAUCCCAUCUUAAAAAUAUAUUUACUUUACUUGGCCUUCCCCUUUCAUUUGUGGGGCCCUAUAUUUAUUCGUUUGUCUUGUCUUGGAUUGCAUUGUCACCUUUGAUAUGAUGUAUCAUUGUACACUAUGCCAACAUGAUUCGGGUAAUAAUAAAAUUGAUUAAAUCUUUUUAUUUUUAAUCUUAAUUUAAUUGUAUUAUAACACUUAAUGUAUCAUAAUUAGUGUGAUUUAACUUUGAAAUAAAAAAAGAAUUGGAUACUAACGGGAGCAAUUUGUGUGGAAUUAGUUCACCGCCAUCACGUGGUUUCAUCCUGAACGUGACGUGACACAAACCCCAUUUCUUAUAUGUCAUACUCAGGGUUAAUUGGCACCGCUCAAAGCCCUUGGUCUUUGGAUCCGUAUAAACUCAUCUAGCAACCAGUAAUUAGUUUUUCUUCGGAAAAUAAGAAAUGAUUUCAGAAAACCUUAAAACAACAAAUAAUAAAAUUAGAGAGUAAAAAAAACUAAUAAAAAGGAUUUGAAAACUUUGAGUUUUAACAAAAAUAACAUAAAGGUGUUAUAAAUGAAUAGUACCAUAAUUGAACAUUUUAGAGUAAAAAUGUGAUUUUUGUGAACACUACCGAGAGCUUUUCGUUAAAGCUCUUAAAAAAAAAGAAUUAAUGAAAAUAGCUUGAAAACUUUGAGUUUUAACGAAAAUGACAAAAUAAAGGGUAAAGUGAAUAGUACAAUGAUCGAAUUUUUAUUUUAAAAAUAUGAUUUUCUGUUAAAAUUAACAAUACUGUGAACUUUUUGUUAAAAUUAAAAAAAAAAGAUAUGAAACAAGUAAUUAUGAAAAGAAUAUAUGUAAAGCUAGAAAAGUUCAAGAGGAACGUUUAAAUAUGAGAACUAGCUCAUAGUCACCUAUAGGCUAUAGCAUUUCAGCACGCAAGUUGUUGAUGGAACAAGUAGGAAAAGAUACAAAAAGAGGGAAAAUGAUUGUCGUCGGGUUCUUUUUUAGGAUGUGAUGUUGAUCAUUCAUUUCAAAAUUUAAAAUUUAAAAUUAAAUAUAAAUAAUAUUUAAUAAAAACUGAUAGUACCAUUUAUCAUCACGUAAUUCCUCGGAUCACCAGGAAAAUGAUCCAGCAACGAUCAUUUCCGCAAAAAUAUAUCAAAACACAGGAAAUCACCAGCUUUCGUGAUUUCAGAGAGACGAGAAAACCCUACUAUAUCAGAAAUCUAAAAUAUUAAGGUAUUCCUCUUUUUUCUAACCCACCGAAGCCGAUAACUUCCUGUCAUUUCAUUUUUCCCCCCUUACUGCUUGCUCUAUACAGCAGAGGUCGCACUUGGUGCGAUGACAAGUGCCUUCGCCCAUGAGCGGUAGGUCUCGGGUUCGAGACUUGGGAGCAGCCUCUCCAUAAAUGGGGGUAAGGCUAGCCGACAUUCACCUCUCCCAGACCCUGCGUAAAGCGGGAGCCUUGUGCACUGGGUACGACUGCUUGCUCUAUACUACUUCCCCUCACAGUACCGGCCUAAUUAUUGAUAGAACAAACUAAGCAGGAAGAGUUAAGGAAAGUGACGAGGGGGGCAUGAAAUCAUUGUUCUUUUGAUGGUUUUCGGAAGAGAAGAAUAACCCAUUAUAUCGUAAAUAGUAAGUUUUCUCUUCUUCUUAACCCGCACAAGCCAUUUCUGUCUUUCCCUUUACUCCUUUCUCUCUAUUUUACUGCCCACUUUUUUUUUUCUAAGCAUGAAAAGUUAGUGAAAGAGACGAAAACGCAAGAAGUCAUUGGCCUCAGUGUCAGUGGUUACGGAAAGGAGGAGCAAAUGAGGAUAGACAUGGAGUAAUUUGGUUUAGUGAAUUGAGAAGAAAAAACAAAGGAAAAUUAAUGAAAAUGAUUUGAAAACUUUAAGUUUUAACAAUAAGAAUAUAAAAAAAAGGUAAAGUAAAUGGUACCAUUAAUGAUUUUUUAAUGUAAAACUAUGAUGUUUUGUUAAAAUAAACAGUACCGAAAGACUAUAUUUUCGGUGAAAGAGGGGCAUAUACGGUGGAAGAGAGAGACAUAGGAGUACAAGGGGUUGGUGAGAUUUUUAGUCCCUGAAUUCAAAAGCAAUGAAGGUCGCAUUUACUGUAUUUGAAUACAUGCAGACCUGCAUGCAGCUGGCGGAAUUGGAUCCUCGCCGGAUUUAAUUGCUGGGGAUCCUAGGGAUCAAUUCACGUGGACCGUUGAUAAAAAAUCGUGUCGUCACAAUUAAAUAUUUUAAAAGUAAAACAGUUUCGUUUUGCGUGAAAAAUAUAAAAAAGAAAAAAAUUGUGACCGCACGAUUUUUAAUCAACGGCCCACAUGGAUUGAUCCCUAGGAUCCCCAUGAAUUAGAUCCGGCGAGGAUCCAAUUCCGCAGCUGGCCCCUCUGCCCGGGAAGAUUGUGGGAAGAUUGGGGUCUUGACUUUUCUCUCUUAACUAAUUUACCUUAGCUUGGGCUUUCUGUUUUAAAAAUAACAAAACGUAGGCCCAUAUACUGUUGGUAUUUGGGAGAUGUAGACUAGAUUCAGAAACUUUAACGAAAAACUACUGAUACUGUUUAUUUUAACAAAAAAUCAUAUUUUUACAUUAAAAAAUCAAUCAUGAUACUAAUCAUUUUACCCUUUAUUUUUUUCUUAUCGUUCAAACUCAAAGUUUUCAAAUCAUUUUCAUUAAUUUUCCUCUAUAUUUCUCUAUUUUUUAUGGAAAUAAAAUCAUUUAGUACUAUAUAACUUAUUUUCCAGGUAUGAUUUUUAUGGUCAAAUGGUUUUGGCCAUUUGUUAUCGAAUGCUUUUGACAUAAGGCUAUCGAUCCCCCUUCUUCUUUUGGUUCCCACCCUUAGGACUUGGUUUUAUAUGACGUUUUGUUUAUGUUCUACUUGAUAUGAUUCGAAAAUGUUUCUCGUUUAGAAAAGUAAAUGGGUAAAACACAACACAAUACGGUGCCACAUGUUGUCAAAUUUAUAACUAGGCACGAUAAGUUAACAUGUUCGUUUGACUUUGAAGCGUAUCUCACCUAACAUGAAUAUGACUAGUGAUAUUGUUAGCUAUGAAGAUUUUAUGAAAUCUACUUCUGCUAAAGCCCAUAAUCUCAUGCAACAAGAUAUUUUUUAGUGUAUCUAUAAAAUGAUGCGAAAAUGUAAAAAAUCAUAAUAUAAUUGGUUAACAUUUUUUCUUUCAAGUUUCUAAUUAAUUGUAUUACUACUCCAUGCAACCUCACGAAAUAACAAUAACUAAGGAAAGACAAUGGUUUUGCGGUGUGAUGGAGGAUGUUUUUGGGUCAAUUUCACUCACAAAUAAGUAGUUUUAUUUAUUAAAAAAAAAGGCGGACACAAGCCAAACUCUCCACUUACCAUUACAAAAGUUAACUUAUUUAAAAGAGUAAAUUAUAGCAAUAGUUCCUCAAUUUUAAUCAAAUUGGACCAAUAGUCUCUCGACUAAAAAUUCAUUACCAUUGAUCCCUCAACUCAUCAAAAUGUGUAGCUAUUGUCAUUUUCGUUAACUUUGUCAGAAUAAAUUAUUUUGGAAUGACUAUUGCUACAAUUGGGAUCCCUCAACUCAUCAAAACGUGUAGCUAUGAUCAUUUUCGUCAACUUAGUCAGAAUUUUAUCAAAAUGAGUUAUGUUGGAAUGACCAUUGCUACAAUUGAGUUAAAGUUGAGGGAUCAUUGCUCUAAAUGAAUUAAAGUUAAAGGAUCAUUACUACAAUUUACUCUAUUUAAAAUGGUAACGUAGAAGCUUUACAUCGUCAAGAUAAUAUUAAACAAUAUGAAAUCAGAAAAACAAUCUCACCAAAUAAGACUUUUUUUUUUUCAACAAUCAAACAAGAAUAUUAGAACAGGAAUCAUAACUGACUGAAAAUGCAUUUGGGACUUGACUUGCAAGGUUGUCAUGUUACUGCACAUUUCAUUUUUUUGGUACGCCAAAAAUACUGUUCAGUAUAUUAAAAUGUCAUAACAUAAGUAAUUGAAAGGGAUAUUUUGGAUGUAGUCCUUAAUCCUUAACAUUCUUUGACUAAAACCUUAAUGCUAUGCAAAGUUUGAUCAAAGUCUAUUGACUUUGUACACCUCAUUAUAUUACAAUUAAUACUUAUAUUUUUAUAGUUUUGACAUUAAUUGUUUGAUAUUUUAUGAGAUUUAUAUUCCUAUAAAUUUAAAAUUCCUCAUUAUAAUACCAUUAGAAACGGUUACAAUAAAAAAAUUCAAACAUUUUGAUUGAAUAAAUGGAUAAAAACUGUUGAUACAUAAGACCGGAGGUAUUGGAACAACGUAAAUCCGACCGUGAAUCUGCAGGAAAUGUAAAUAACAUAAGAUGUAUCGUGGUUCACCCCAAGGUUUGGGCUACGUCCACACUGAUAUUGUAUUUCUGAGGGAAAGAGAGCUCUGAGAGUGAGAGCUUUGAGAGGGAGGAGAGGGCCUAGUAAUUGGCCUCCUCUAAUUGUGAGGGUGAGAAGUCCUUUUAUAGAAUAAGGGUUCCUCACUUAUUACAUAUUUGCCCUUUCUUUUAUUACAUAAUUACAUUUAAGUCCCUUGAAUAUUUAUACGAUGUCUAAAUACAGAAACCCUAAGUAUGGUAUAAACAAAAACUAUGAAAAAAAUGAGAAAUAAUAAAUGGCAAAAGAAUGUAUCCAUAGUGUUAAAAAAAUUGGUACAUUUCACAUAUAACAAAGUGGUACAUUAAUAAAGAAGAAUUGGUACAUUAUAAAUAAAUUAAGAUACAGAUAAAAGAUUAAAAAAUUAUGAGUACAAAUGAAUUUUUAAAAAUAUAGGCACUAAAAGAAAUUAAUAAAUGGGUACAAAAUAAAAUUGAAAAGAAAAUACUACAAAUUUAAAAAAAUGUUGCAAAUUAAAAGUGGGUACAAACUAAAAAUAUAAAUAUAUGAUACAAAGUUUAGGCAUAAAACAUAAAUAUACCAUAUAUAAUUUUACUAUCAUUGAUUAAAUAUACAAUGUCACGUGACGGUAUACAUAUGGGUACAAACACAAAUCAAACUUUAAAAAAUAUGGGCACAAAAAAAACUAAUAUAUGGGUACAAACUAAAAAUAAAAAUAUAUGAUAAAAGAUUUAGCCAUAAAUAUAAAUAUACUAAUUGUAGCAUUUUUAACACUAAAGGAAUAUAUUUAAAAAUAAAAAAUAUUUUAUUAUUCAAAUAAUUAACGAUGUUAUUAAUAUCUAAGAACGUUUAUCAAAAAUAAAAAUAAAAAAAGGAUUUUUGUCAAUGAAUAAGUAAAAAAAAAGAUAUGUACCUAAUUUUUUCUAAUUGAAAAUUUAGAAAAUAUUGAACUACCUAAAUUACUGUAUCAAAUCACUUUUCACAUCAGUAUUUCACUUUCACUUGCCCAUUCUGAUUUCAAAAGGUACCAGACAAAUUCAUUGGAAUGGCCACAGACAGGCGUGCUUUGUACGCCACCACACUUUUUUUUUAAUAUUUCAUUUGCAUUUUUACCUUUCCAAGAUAUUUGAUUCGAAUUCUUGAAUUCUUUUGAUUCCCAGAACAAAACGUAAUACGAAAUGGAAUAGGAUCCUUUUUGUAGAGAUCAAAAAAAUCAAAUCGUGUUUGCACAUUUUCCGAUUAAAAAUUAUUUUAAAUUUUUAAUUUAAAAUUAAAUAUAAAUAAUGCUUAACAAAAAUUAAUCUCGAUACGUGCGUGAAAAAUAGACACAAUUGAUUAAUUCUUGAAUCUCCACAAUAACAAUUCGGAGAAGAUCCUUGUCCAUACGAAAUAUUCGGUUAUAAAAAAACAUAAAAAGUUCGAGUAUAAUAGAGAAAAUCGGAGUGUCUUCUACCUUAAGGAUUUAGACCCACUAAAGACUUUAGUGUCCAAACCCUAAGGUUUAAUUCAUCUUAACUACUGAACUAUUGAUUGAUGUGUAAAAAAAUCAAAACCGUUGAUUUUGAUCAGGAAAAUGAAUUAAUGAAGACCGUUAGAUUAAAUUUAUGCGAUCCAGUUGUAUUCGGUUCUCAUUAAAGUACGGAAUUAGAGUCUAGUAUCAAUACAUCUGAUUUUUAUGUUUAGGUAUCAACACAAAAAUCUGAACUGCUAAUCGGUGUAUUGAUAGCUAGACUCCGAACACUAAAGUCCGGUGCCGGAUCCAAUUCCGUACCUUUAUUAACUAAGAGCAUCCACCGUUACAUACAUAUUAAGACCUAGUUUGGGAGUGAGAUGCUUAAAAAAAAAAGCACCUAUGAAAAAAAGCUGUGAGGGUUUUAAGUGUUUGGUAAACUGAAAAAAAAUGGCUUAUUUUGGAAGCUGCUGUGAGAAUAAGCUGAAAUCAAAGGAAAAAGCUGAAGCUGCUAUUUGCAGCUUUGGAAAACUGGCUUUUUUUCAAAGCACAUGGAGCUACAGAGCUCCUUUAAUGAAAAGACCCACUAUCAGACUGCUUUUUUUUCCAAAAGCACUUUUACAAAAAAAUUUACUCUCUGCUGCUUUAUUUCACAGCCGCUUAUUCUCACAGCAGUUUUUUUUCAAAGCACAGCAAUACCAAACCAGCCCUAAGAGUAUUCGCCAGCAUCUGAAUCGUCAAAAAUUCUUGACUAUUAACGAGGACAGGUUCAUCUUUAAACUAUUUUUCCUCUCUAAUAUUUGUUUUGUUCAAAUCCCCUGUGCUUCAGUUUCUUUAGUUUAAUAUAUAUUAUUCUAAUCACAUCAUCUAGUGAUAUUCUUCUUUAUUUAUGGUAAGUGAGAUUUAGGCUCGAAACUCAUCAAAACCAAAUUUAAACUACUUUAAGGUACAUUAUUGCAUGUGAAUCAUGAGACUUAACUUACUAUCUACUUAAUUAACGUAGAUAUUAUCAUUUUGUUAAAAACAAAUAAAUAUAAUUAUCCUAUUAUUUGUAUAAAAAAACCAAAAGAGAAAUUGAUACUUUACGGGAGGAAAAUCUGGCGGCUGGUCCAGUUCCAACCAGAAGAAAAUGUCUUAAUUUAUUUGACCUUCAAGCAAAAUGGUCUUUGCUUCUUGCUUUAUCUGCACUAGACGGACUUACUAAUUAAUUACUCUAACCGGAACUAAGUCCUUGUGGAUUUAAACGACGCAUAAUAUGGGCUUAGAUUAAUUAAUACUAACAAACAUUCGCACAACAGUUUGAGUUGAGAUUAUGAAUCCUUACGUAGCGAACUUUCAAGUGUUUAAAAAGAGUUCAAAUGACUCCCCGUAUUGCCAAUCGGAUUCUAUAAUAGAACCUCAACUUUAUUCAUCGUAUCGGAUUCGGGAAGCUGCAAACGUCUUGUAGAUUUCUUGAAAAGAGAUUCAACACAAAUUUUUUUAGCAUAAGAUAAUUGGAGAACGUAACACAGAAAUAUAAUUAAGAAGCUGCAACGAGAUAAAAUUCUCACAAUUAAUAAAUAAAUUAGAAAAUGGUAAACAAGGCAUAAGAUCAGAAAAUGGGCAAAUUAAAGUAACGAUUAACCAAAAACAGAUCAAGCAAAAAUAGCAUUCUGCAAUAAAAACACAGAUUAAAAUAAUUAUGAUAAAAUUAUCAUACAUUCUUACAACUUUUUGAAACUCAUCUCUUUCGCGUUACUCGGUAAUUUUCUCUUUUCGCUCCUGCUUCCUCCCUCAACUGAAAAAAAACAAACAAACAAACGAUUUGCUAGUAUGUAUGUGAAAAUAUGCAAGAGGAGAAAGGGAAAGGGAGAAACUUUAGAAAAUUGAAGGAAUGGGAGGGAUAGGAAAGAAAUUUUAUCUCUUGAAUUUGGAACAUACAAGAGAAGUUUCUUCUUUCCUACCCUUCCAUUCCAACAACUUCCUUAAAACCUUCCAAUCCCACCCAUCUUUUCUAACUGGAAUUAUGUGGAUUUUGUUCACCUCCUCCUCUUUAUAUACGCAGGGAAUGGUUGUGAGGAAGAAAUGCGAAGCUUCCCUUUUUACCCUUUAUCAUGUUGCUACUGCCCACCAAACCCUAAUCUUUUAAAUAUAUAUUUUUUUUUUUACCCUUUAUCACGUUGCUAGUUGCUACCCACUAAACCCUAAUCUUUUUAAAAUUUUAUUUUUGACAGAUUAUAUUCUGUUGUAAAUAUUAUGUGGAUGGUCCACAUGAAUAGUUUGUUACUAUUUAUGCACAGUAUUUUCACUAUUCAUUUGUGGAAAAUUUGUAAAGUGAAUAGUGCUUUCUUUUGUUUAUAUAAAGGAAGAAGAUGAAUGAAGUGAGUGAAGUUCACGGGAAAGAAAGAGAGGAAGGAAGGAAGAGGAAGAGAGAGAAUAGAGGAAGAUGAGAGGAGAUAAUAGAGAGAGUUAUCUUUGUACUCCUAUUAUUUCAGAUUAUAAUGAAAGCACCACUGCUGCCCCGAGGACGUACUCCAGUCACACUGACUGUAGAGGAACCUCGUAAAUUUUGUGUCUUGUUUCAUUUAUUCCACUGCACCCACCAUCGAUUUUACAACACGUUAUCAGCACGAGAAGCUCUCAUGUCAGUGGAAAGCACAACGCCACAAAUCCUGUUCACCUUCUCCAGCUGGAAUCUCAUAGAUAAGAAAAAAAUUUCAUUUCAUCUUCAAAUCUCAGUACAAUUGAUUUUCUUGAAGCAACUAUAUAUAUAUUGUUAUAUGACUGUAUAUCAUCCUUUGCAGAAGCAAAAGAGUAAAAGACUCAAAAUUUGUAAGAGAAUUUGACAGCCAUGUAAAUAGCCUCGGAACUCCAACUUGCGGACCUCGGAUUGAAAUACUUUCUUCUUGAAAGUUGUUCGUCUGCUCAGUAUCUACAACAUAUCAAAAUUUCAGAAACUGUUAACGGUGCGAUCGUCGCAGAUGUCUGAAAUACCAAACCCGUUUCCAAUUUCCGCAGAAAACUGGGCAGCCACCUUAUGAGUACCAAAAACUCCAUUUCGGUAGUUCAAAUCGAAAUUGUUUCUUCACGAAAGUUGUUUGGUAUCCUCUUAUCCAUAUCAUACUAAAUUUUGAAACUAAAUCUAACGGUUUGAUCUUCUCAUAAGUUGCAGACACUCUUGACUCCAAAACUUAUGGGAAUCGUUUCGACUUUUUCGAAACUCACCGGAAGAGGAACACCAAUUGGAACUUAUUGUUACUAUUAUUUACUGAGUAACCAAAAUGACUUCGAACUGUGAAAUAAUAAUAAAAAUAAAAGGGAUGAAACAAAAGAAGUGGCAGACCAAGAAAAUGAAAAAGCAAAACAUGAGGACUUAAUCAUUGCAUUUUCUGUUUUGGCAUAUUUAUGUGCAUGGUGUUGGUUUAAAGCCCAUGUCACAAGUUCUAUUUAUUUAAAGCAAUUUAUUUAUAGUGGGUAGAAUUAUUACCCUUUGCUUUAAAGCUUUGAUAUUUAUGUGAAUGGUGCUGAAUCAAAGCCCUUGUCACAUGCUUUAUUUACUUUAAAGCAAUUUAUUUACCAUGGACGGUUUUACCGCCUAUUGCUUUAAGUUUUUGAUGGUGCUGAAUUAAAGCCCUUGUCACAAGCUUUAUUUACUUAAAUGCAAUUUAUUCAUUAUGGCUGGAAUUACCGUCUAUUGCUUUAAUUUAUUUAUUGUACUUAUCUUUUGUUACUAUGAGUAUAUACAGGACCUGAAGUUCCUUGAUCAGAUCAGAACCUGCAGUUUCUUGAUCCUCAUCAUAUAAAAUGAUUGGACCCGAAGUUCCAUCAUACAAAAGGAUCUGGCAUGAAGUCCCUUGAUCCUGAAGAUCAGGACAUGAAGUUCCUAGAUGAGUACCGUAAGUUUGAAGUGCCGCAGUACCUUAACUUAAUUGUAAUAAAAGCCAUAAGAGUCUCAGUUUACAGACUAUUAAAUAAGGACCAGAAGUUCCUUAUGUCCAUAAUCAAAAUGGUUUAGCAGAAGCCUUUAUUAAUCGAAUGAAAUUGAUUUCCCGCGCUCUGCUCAUGAAAACGAAAUUGCCAAUUUUCUACAUGGGGACAUGUAAACUUUACAUGAUGCAUUAUUAAUUCGGUUGAGACAUGUUAUCGACCAUCAAUACUUCUCAGUACAACUCGGGUUUGGAACCAACCAAACAUUAUACAUUUACGAGUUUUUGGUUGUGUUGUCUAUGUGCCUGUAAAGACUGCCACAACGUACUGAAAUGAGGCAUCAUUGCAGAUUAGGCAUUGAUGUUGAACACCAUCUAUCAUUCAAUAUUUGGAAUUCUUGAUUGGGGAUAUGUUUACCGCAUGGUUUGCGGACUGUCAUUUUGAUAAGACAAUUUUCCUGCCAUUAGGGGGAGAAAAUAAUAUCGUUCCAGAAGAACGAUGAGAAAAUAUCAUUCCAAAAGAAUGAUGAGAAAAGACCGUUCCAGAAGAACGAAGAGAAUUUGUCUUAUUUUGAUUCACGAAGCAAUCAAUGAGAAAAUGAAAUAUGGAUAAUUGAAUGAUACAACGAAAGUGAUGAAAUCAUAUAUACUUACUGCAAAUGUGCCUACAAGAAUUGAUGUCUCUGUUGGAUAAAAUAAUGAGACAAUAAAUGAUUUAUCUGUUGCACGCCUGAAGCGUGGCAGAUUUUUAGACUCAAAAGGUUCAGUUAUUCGAAAGAAGAAUAAUAUGGCACUACUGAACUAUUGCAUUCCCGAAGCAUAACUGUUGCAUGCCAGAAGCAUGACAGUCGCCGCAUGGAUACACGUCCCAGAUAGGACAAUCCACAGACAUGGGAAUAUUGAUGUCUCAUGCAUGUAGCAUGAUAGAUGUAUAGGUUCCAAAGACUCAACUCCCGGAAGUGGAGAAAAUCCAAGCUCUAUAACGCUCAAGAGGAGGUUAUGAUUCACAUUCUCUCAAUUAUGACUAUCCUGGAAGAGAUAGCGUCAUGCCCUUGAAGAGGCAAAUGGAUAUCCAAAGAAAUGAAAAGCUUUUAUGCAUGCGCAUGCACAUGAGAAUAUGGGAUCACGGAUUGAUGAUAACCAAUGGUAAUUUUGGUUUUUACAAGUAGCUACUAAAUUCAUCAAUGAACUGUGUUAAUAUUGAGUCACGUUCUUUUUUGUUCGUCGACAAAAGAAAAAUUAUUGGCCAAAAUGGAGAAAGGCAAUUCCAUUACAAUUUUGUAAGAACGUGGGCAAAUGAACCUAUAUAUAUUUGAAUACAAUACAAAUAGCCAAAAGAUGUUGAACCAAGGAGGUUAUAUAUGGGCAUUUGUAAUACAGUGUAAUACACUUACAUGAUAUGACACAAGGUUGUAAACGAGUUCAUAUAAAUGGAGAAUUAUAUACGAAGGGUUGUGAGUCGCCCACAUCAUAUCUCCAUAAGUAAAUCCCUCAAGUAUACAUGGGAGCGAAUUGCUCUGUAUAAAUUCCAAAGGAAAAUGUAUCAUGAAGUGUAGAAAACUCUUGAAGGAUUCAAAUUGCUUGAAGUAAGCCUCUGAAGGGUAAAACAUAAAAUAUGUACUCAAUACCAAUGGAUUAUAUAAAUUGCCUUAGUGAGUACUAUCAUUAUGAUAUUGUUGCAAACAUACUAAAAUCUCUUGCAAGAGUCAAUGACAUUAAAUUAUAACUCUUGAAGAGUUGAUGAUAUUAAAUUGGGACUCCUGAAGAGUCUAGAAAAAUUAUAAAGUGUUGAAGGAAUUAUUGUCUCGAGCUGCAGAUCGAACAAUCUACCAACACGAAUCUUAUCCAUGAUAUUUAUGAUAUUAAAAGAACCAUAUGGAUUGAAGAUUAUGAGUUGAAUACUCAUAUGAUGAAGACACUAAGAAUAAUCAUUUAUCUUCGUGAGGGUAAAGAUAAAUUAAUAUUUGGUCCAGAAGUACCACAUCUUAGUGAAGUAUAUGCUUUAUUGUAUUUGGCACAAUACAUUGAAUGAAAUAAAGCUUAUUUAUUAAUAUCUCCAAGAAAUUACAGAUAUAUACAUACACAUGAGUUAAAACAAACAAACAGGAUGGAGCCUUCACAAAGGUUGCUCAUGUGAAGCCUCAGUACUCGGAAGUACCCCAGAAGGGGGAGGCACUGGAGAUUGAUCAUGUGGCACCCCAGUACUUAGCAAAACACCAGAAGGGGAAGACAUCAGUUGCUUUCGGAAUCUAGCAACGAACCUCUGGUGAUCACUUUGAAUCCGACUUUCGGAUUCCUGCAGUUGGACGAGCUUUCUUUUUUCAUGCUCGUAGAGUAACUAUUUGCAAGCACGUGUAACAUCCUAUUCUCGUGCUUGAGCCCUCUGAUCUCUUGUUUAAGACUUGCCACCUCCGCCAUCAAUGAUUCAACUUGGCGAGUUUGAGCAAGUAGGCGUUGGCCCAUAUUGGACACAAAGCCAGCACACUGAACACUGAGAGCCAAGGAGUCUUGAAUGGCCGACUCUUCAGACCGUUCUGAAAGGAUCUUGUUAUCCCUUGGAGUGAGAAGAUUCCUAACUACCACAGUAGCGGUUAUGUUAUUCUUCAUCAUAGAGUCCCCAACCGUAAGAGGACCAUUAGAAGAUAAGAAGGACGGGCGCCAUAUAUUAUCCUGACGCUGCUCGUCUGUAUCACUCCUAAGACUCAAAUCUAAGCAAAUGUUAGAUGGGCAAGUCAUUUUUCAGAAAUGAUGAAGGAAAAACAGAGGUCAAAUAAAAUUUCAGAAGUGCAAGAAGGUGGAAAUUUCUCAGGCAGCAAUUUUCUGAGCAUACCCUUGAACACAAUUGAUGUCUCUAUAAAAGAAGAGGCAGCAGAGCCACUUGUUCAAAGAUCGAAGAGGCACCGCUCUCCGAAUUUCAAAAGCCAGAUUUUCCUGAAUAAAGUUCGUUGGCAUUUUUCAGACGUAAUCCCAACUUUUUCAGAUGUCGCGUGCAAUUUUGUCAAAGAUCUCUGACAAAGUUGAAAAACGCGUAAAUCUUACUGUUCUAUUUACACCACAGUUGCUGACAAGAGUAAAAGCACAGCACCACCACUUGCUAUUGAGAAAUCUCUAUAUAUGUCGACCUCUGUUCUCCAUAACAAGGCAGACCCGCAACACUGCAAGAAUACCUAACUCUUCCUCAUCUCCGAGAAUGCAUCUUCAACAUAGCAUCUCGAAAUACUCAGUUUUCUUCCUCUCCGAGAAUACCUCUUCAAACAUGUCACACCAGAGCAAGAUUAUCACAUAUCUUCAGGGACCAGAGCAAGAUUAUCUCAUAUCAUGCAAUCUCCCUGUCCUUUCCUUUGUCCAUGUUCUUGCCUGCGAAGACAAGGAUAAAGAAAGCAAUAUGUCGAAACCUCCACUCAAACUCCCGGUAAGGAACCGACUGCCUGGAACCUUUCCUGAUUGCUUACCUAAUGUUGCUCUCGAGUAGUCAUCUUCAACGGUUGGAGCUGGGUCUCCAGUCACCAAGAAGUGAUGAACCAUCCAAAUGCAAGGGUUGCACUCCACUCCGGCAUUAGAGGGCAAAUACUGCCGGAGAAGAUGCCACACAUGCAUGGGGGAAAAGCAGGGAAAAUACUACUUAAGCAAGGGGAACAAGUAAGGAAAGUAAAAAUGAUACAUUGAAGCAUGUGGAGACAAGCGCAACAAACGCGUGCUGAUUCAUCCCUGACAAAACUGAAGAUCACUUGCCACAUGAAGCUCCUCAUGGUCCAAUUUCAUUCAAGAUUAAGCAUCGAAGGUCCUUGAAGAAAUCACAAGUCCGAUUCAAGAUCAAGUGUUCAUUACUCUUGAAUCAAAUUCCGCUCCAGAUAAAAGGAGUAAAUUCCGAUCUUCAAUGCUAGUCUAGCAGAAAGUCCUACAACCCAGUUCAAGAAAAAGGCUGUGGAAAGUUAACAAUAAGUAAAGCAACUCUUUUAGCAAUUCUUCUUACUAAGAGACUAAAGCAGAACAAUCAACGAUCAACCUAAAUGAUUUGAGAUCAGGGGGAGAUACUCAUCAGGGGGAGCAUCCAAGACAGAUCAAGAUUUUAACGAGUCAAUCGAAGACUUGUGGCCAUCCAAGGGGGAGUGUUGUAAAUAUUAUGUGGAUGGUCCACAUGAAUAGUUUGUUACUAUUUAUGCACAGUAUUUUCACUAUUCAUUUGUGGAAAAUUUGUAAAGUGAAUAGUGCUUUCUUUUGUUUAUAUAAAGGAAGAAGAUGAAUGAAGUGAGUGAAGUUCACGGGAAAGAAAGAGAGGAAGGAAGGAAGAGGAAGAGAGAGAAUAGAGGAAGAUGAGAGGAGAUAAUAGAGAGAGUUAUCUUUGUACUCCUAUUAUUUCAGAUUAUAAUGAAAGCACCACUGCUGCCCCGAGGACGUACUCCAGUCACACUGACUGUAGAGGAACCUCGUAAAUUUUGUGUCUUGUUUCAUUUAUUCCACUGCACCCACCAUCGAUUUUACAACAUAUUCCCAUUUCCCACACCUUUUUAUUUUUUAAUAUUCUACACGUCACUAACAAUGAUAAAAAUUAUUAAAAAUUUGAAAGUGUGAAAAAAAAAAAACUUAAAUGUGUGAAUAUGAUGUCUCUUAUUUUUUAAUGUGAAAAUUAACCUUUUCAAGUGUAUCUUUUCCAACUUGACAUAACAAAUGUAGAUGGCAUCGCAAUCCGUUUGUACAUUACGGUCUGAUUCGAUUUCCAACUUGAUUAGUAACAAAGUGCCAUAUAAAUUGUUAAAUUUAAAUUUCACGUUUAAAAUUUGGUAUCUUAUUUAGAGAUACUUUAACGUUAUUAUUUGUAAAAAUAAAUAAAUACAUAAACUAAUAAUAAAUGAUGAGUUUCUAGUUAUAUGUACUCAUUCUUAAGGUUCUAGUAGCAUUUUUUUUUUGACAAUUGAUAUUAUCUGUAUUAAGGGGUGAGAAAGUGGGCUAUGCUUCAUAAUAAGCUGACAAUAACAUGAUUCGAAUUCACCUAUGUCAAGAAUCGAACUUAAAACCACUUAUUUACCAGUGAGAGGAAUACCACUAUAUUGUAAUACCACACUAGCAUGUAUAUUAUAUGUAUUAUUUGCUUAAGUCCUAAAGGUAUCAAAUGCAUGCACAUUUUGAUCUCAUGAAUAUUGAAAAUACUCCAAAUAUAAUUCAAACAGAAUAAUUAUAUACUUUUAACACUUAAUAAGCUUUUAAUAUUUUAAAUACUCAUUAUUAUGUUACUAGUAACAUAUUAUAUGUUUUAAUUUGCUUAAGUUUUAAAAAGCAUUAAACGCACGCUCGUCCGAUUUCUUAGAUGUAACAUUUGGCAUGAAGCCAUAUAAGGAAUUCCCCCUUAGCUUCGGCAAUUUUCGAGUGUUCUAAGUGUUGUGAUCGGUGAGCAAGCUAGAGACUUUUUGAUAAACUAGAUUUUACAAACUAAACAUCGAUAAAUGCUUUAGAGACGGCAUCAACACGAACACGACACGGCACGGAUUAUGAAAGGUCCCACGCGUAGUAGAAUUUUGCUUAACAUUUAUCUUGUAAAUGACAAAUGGACCACACGGACACGGCAUGGGUUCACCUUUAAGAAGAUGGAGAGAAGGUGGAGGGACAUAAAAAGUAGUGGUUAGUAAUGAGCCACUUUUUGGAGCUCCUUGUCACAGCCACACCGAAAAAAAUUCAUUUUUAUUAUUCAGAGUUGGAGCGUUAGGAACAAUAAAUUUUCGUUCUCAAACAAUUCAUCUCUAAUAGUUCGUUUAAAUAUGCUUUUAAAAUGUUGAAAAGUUAAAAAAAAAGAAAAUUGGAUUUCAAAAGCACUUAAAGUGUGUUUUGCAAGAAGCAUCAGUUACGUACUUUUUUUCAUGAAGUACUUUAAGUGUUUUUUUAGGAUUUGCUUGCACCUUUAUCAAAUAUUGGUUUUAAAAAUAUUUUCACCAAAAGCACUUUCAGUUAUAUUAAAAGUACAUCCUAACGAGCUCAAAACGUUAAGAAAACUCUUAAAGUGAAAUUUUUUUUUUAACUCUGCGUCAUUUUAUGUUUUUGACAUAAUUAUAGUGCUAAUAUUACAAAAUAAUGUACAAAAAACAUGAGAUAAUAGAUGAUCCAUUAAGAAUUUCACUUUAAAAGAGUUUAUUUAACAUUUCUCAUCAAUUAAUGGCGUCCCUAUAGAUAAAUCAUAAUUUUGAUAAGGAUGUAGUACUGAGAUUCUUUUAUAAAAAGUUGAUAUAAAAAAAAAAGCUAAUCUUAAAAAGAUGUUUGGCAAACACUUAAAAAUAGCUUAUUUUCAAAGUUUUUUGUGAAAAAAAACUGAAAACGUGAAGUAACAAAAAUAAAUUUAUUCUCAUAGUACAACAUAAACAAUUUUUUUUUCAAAAUACAGUAAUACCAAACCAACCAGUAGUAGAGUAUUGUAAAGGAAGAAAUGCUGAAGAGACUUUUGGGGUGGUUUGGGAGUGAGGUGUUAAAAAAAAAAGCACACAUGAAAAAAAGCUGUGAAGGUUUUAGGUGUUUGGUAAACUGAAAAAAAAUGGCUUAUUUUAGAAACUGCUGUGAGAAUAAACUGAAAUCAAAGGAAAAAGCUGAAGCUGCUAUUUGCAGCUUUGGAAAACUGGUUUUUUUUCAAAGCACACAGAGCUACAAUGCUUCUUUAAUUAAAAGAUCCACUAUCAGACUGCUUUUUUUUCCGAAAGCACUUUUACAAAAAAGUUUACCAAACACUCUGGUGAUUUAUUUCAUAGCCGCUUAUUCUCACAGCAGUUUUUUUUUUAAAGUACAACAAUACCAAACCAGCAUUUGAAAGUUAUAUUCUCCUUUAUCACAUUACAAUUUUACGUCUUUUAUUUUGAAAUCAUAAAAUAUUAUGUAAAAAUAUAAAGUCACAACGGGUGAGGAAUGGCAUUUCCCUUGUAAAUGUCAAACGGACCCCACGGCAUGGGUUCACUUUUUUAAGAAGAUGGAGAGAAAGGUGGAGGUGGAGGGACAUGAAAUGUAGUGGUUAGCAAUGGGAAAUGGAUCAUCUUGGGAUCCAUUCCGACUAAUUUAUUAAAUUAGAGAAUUUGUAUUGUUGAUAGUUAUAAACAGGGAUUCACUUUAUAAGUUAUAAUAAUUUUAACCGAUCAAUUUUCAAUGAUACGAAUUGUUGAUUUGAUGGAUUAGGAAAAAAAAAACCAGAGAGUCCGAGCAUUACAGACAAUAAAUUGUCAUUUGCUUAUGAUACACCUAAACUCUCUCUAUUAUUAUAGAGCAAAAAAUUUAAUUGUGACCAAAACACGAAUAGUACACAACAUGUUUUUAUAUAAAUAGUGAGAAAUUUUGUUUUUCAAGUUAUUAAUUUUUUUAACACACAUAUUUUAUUAUUUGUAUAACAACACGCAAUGUACCAAUUACAUCAAAAAAAUUUCUCCAUUAUAGAGAGAAUACAGUAAACUUUUUAUUUAAGUCUUCAAUUGCGUCUAUAAAUUCAAACUGUCCUUUCUCUUAAUAAAAACUAGACGAUGAGCACACGCUCUGUGUGUGUGAAUAAUUUUUUAUUUUUUAUUUUUAUUAAGGAGUGUGCUUAAUUUUUAAAAUAUUAAAAUAAGUAUGAAAAAUAUAAUGAUGGGACAACUUCUUUUAAUAAGUGCAUAUUUUAUUUUAAUAUAUACAUAAUUACUGUUUUACCCUCCUUGUGUAAGUAUUGUGUAUAAAAAAAUGAGGUUACAAUUGGAAAAAAAGGGUAAAAGAUACAAAAUUACUAUUUUGUAAGUAUUGUGUAACAAAAUGAGAACAAAAUUGGAAAAAAAAAUUGAUAAAAAUUUGACAAGGAGGGUUCCCCUAGUAAUAGUCUAGAUUAAAAGAGAAAUAUCGUUUGUCAUUUUGAAAAAGAGGUGUGAUAUCCACGCCCCAUUUUACUUCUCACACGCCUUUUUAAUUUUUGACCGUCGGAUUAGAUAAAUUGAAGAAGAUCAACGGACAUAAAUUAUCAAGGAGUAUGUGAGAAAUAAAAUGGGAUGUGUGGAUAACACAUCCCUUUGUAAAAAUAGUAAUCAUUUACUAACAAAUACAUAGAAAAAAAAAACAAAAAAAGUUUCUUGUAUAACAAAAAUGAGGACAAAAUUGGAAAAAAAUUGAUAAAAAUUUGAUAAGGAGAAUUCUCUUAAUAAUAGUCUAUAUUAAGUAAUAUGAUAAAAAAAAAUAUCAUUUUUAUUAAAAAUAAAUAGUACAAAACUGUUUUGUUAUAACUUUCAAAAAUAAAAAAUUUUAGGCAACAUGAAAAAAGAACAAAACUUAAAACAAGUCUAGCAUUAGAACAUUCAGAGGAGGCAGAUUGUCCGUCCUACUGUUCUACUGUUACCGUGUUUUUCCUAUCAUUUCUUAUUUAUGCCGUUACAGUUAAAACACGUUAAUAUUUUAUAUUAAUUUUUUAAUUAAAAUAAUAAGAUAAAAAAUAAUAAAAAUAUAAAAUGUUAACGUGAUUUAAUCGUGAUCGCAAAAAUAGAAAGAAAUAGAAAGGUCACGGUAACAGUAGGCCAUACAAUCUGCCUCCAAUUUCAGAUCAGUCGUUAGAAAGCGUUUGAACUUAAUAAGAAGCUCCACAAGCUCUUGAAUAUUCAUUUGGCAAACCUAUCAGCGGUAAAAUUAAGCCUUCCAGUAACAUGCUGUCAGUUCUCUAUGAACAAACUUCUUUACUCCGAGAGAACCGUAGAGAAGAUGAUUAAAGUCGGAAAAUGGGCAAAUCAAAGUAAGUAAUAACCAAAAACAUAACGAGCAAAAAAGGUAUUCUGCAAAAGACACAUGUUAAAUCAGGGCAAACAGUAAAAAAGAAAAUGAGAUCUCAUCACAUACAAGUACAGAGCAGAAGCUGAUGGAGGAUAAGUUGGGGAAAGAGAAAGAGAUGCAAGGGAUCAUUAUAAUAAGCAGUUUUGGGGAUAGCUCUUGAAAUAAUUUCGUGUUCUCCCCAAAAUCUCCGUUCUUACAGAUUUAUGCAACUCAUCUCACGCUUGCUCUCUCAACCAAAUAAACGAUUUGCUACUAUGUGUGUUAAAAUCCGCAAGAGGGGAAAGGAAAAGGGAUAAACUUUAGGAAAUUGAAGGAAUGGGAGGGUUAGGAAAGAAAUUCGAUCUCCAGAAUUUGAGACCAAAAAAGGAAGUUACUUCUUUCCUACCCUUCCACUCCAUAAACCUCCUCAAAGCCUUCCUAUUCCACCCCUCUUUUUCCAUGGCUUUAGGGUUCGCCGAUGUCGCUCACCCCUCCUUUAUAUAUGGGAACUGGGAGGUAGAAGAAAGGCCAAGGCUAUUUUUUGUUUCCCUUUUUACCCUUUGUUCUGUUACUACCCCCGAUCUAACCCUACCCCUCAAUUUAACCUUUUAAAUUUUUAUUUAUUUUUAAUGUGAAUAUUAGCUUUUUGAACUUUCUCUUUUGCGUUUCCAUCUUUCCCUUUUUUCCAACUUGACUAAUAAUAGAUGUGAAUAGCUCUUUAUCUAGGAUGUGCUAUUCACACACCUUAUUUUACUUUUUACACACAUCUUGAUAAUUUAUUUUCGUUGAUCUUCUUCAAUUCAUCCGAUCCGAUGGUCGAAAAUUAAAAAGAUGUGUAAAAAGUAAAAUGAAGUGUGUGGAUAUCACACCCCUUUAUCUAAUAUCUAAUGUCAAAAGAGAAUCAUAUAUGUAUAUAACAAUGUGACACUUAUCAUCUAUUUAUUCAUAAUUUAAGUUAGGUAACAUUUACUAACAUAUAUAGGUUUCAUCUUUAUCACAUAAAUAAAACAAGUGAUGAUACGAAUAACAUUUUUUAUCUAUACAUCUUAGUUUGAUUCUUAUCAAUUUUUUUCUCUUAACAACUGAUAAUUUAACUAAAGUAAUUUAUAAUAAAAAUAAUACAUGAUGAGUUUGAUGAUAGAACUAAGUGUAACUUGUAGAAUUAGAACUAAUGUGGAGACAUAAAAUGGCUUGCUUUCUCAUUCAGUGGAAUCAUAUCUACCGUGACACAAAUUUUGCGGCGAAUGCCAUGACCUUUUUAGAAUAUAGUUGCAACAAAUCUGUAUAUUUGGGAUGACUGUAUUCCUUAUCAAGCUAAAAAUGAUCUGUCAUAUGGCUAAAGUCUCGGGACACUUUGCAGGUAACCCGUGAGAGGUGUCUCUGGUAAAUCCGCAAUAAGAUAUAACUGAAAAUAAAAAUGUUUUUGGGAUAAAGGACAUUGAAAGAAAGGUUACGAUUUGGAUUGGAAUUGGAAUCCGAGGCGGAUGCUUUGGUGUUAUUCUUCCUCCACCAAAUUAUAAUAAUAAAUGGUCUAUAAAAAACCAAGCAAAUAUUAAAAAAUAAAUAAAAAGCUCAAGAGAAAUUGUGAAUUUUAAUUGACCAAGAUGAAAGCACGUCGGGACUCUAAACAAAGCACAUCUCUCGCAUGCAGCAAAAACAAGGGGUGUGAUAUCCACACACCCUAUUUUACUUCUCACACACCCUUCUAAUUUUCGACCGUCGGAUCGGAUGAAUUGAAGAAGAUCAACGGAUAGAAAUUAACAAGGGUGUGUGAGAAGUAAUUUGGGGUGUGUGGAUAGCACACCCCCAAAAACAAUUGUUCACUUAUGUAUUUACCCAUAAAUAUGGGUAGGUUCAGUUUCAAUCUGUUCGAUUUAAAUUUGUUCAGUUUUUGUUCGAUUCGAUUUUUUUUUAAUUUGAUUUUUUCCUGUUUGAUUUCAAUUUUUUCCUUUUGGUUCAGGUAUAUACAUUUAAUUUAUCGACCUAAGAAUGCAAUUAUGCUUGCCUUUUCAGGGAUUACAUGCAUGAAAAUGUGAUAAAAUUUUAGUGUGAAAAGGAAGUAGAAGAUAUUCUUAGCUUUUUACUUAUUGAUCUUCCCUGUCUAGGGUUUAUAGUACAUCAAAUCUUGAAUGCUGUCUCUUUUGCCUUCAGUAAUUCUUUGUAUAGUCUUUUGAUUAUGGGUGCAAUGAUUUUGAUGGGUGGCAUGGUGUCCACCAUGUGAUGUACCUGCUUAUCCAAGAAUGAAGAAUCCAUGAUCCAUGAGCAUGCUGCUCUGGCUACCAAAAAUAUUUGAAAUAGGAAAAUUGGCAAAGGUAUCCGGAAUAGAAAAUGUGGUAAUUAAUUUCACACACAUACAUAUAUAUAUAUAAGUUCGGUUUGAUUUGGUUCAAUUUCCAAACCACUAAAAUCGAAAUCAAACCAAGUAAUUUUGGAAAAAACUUAUGAUAGGGUCCCAAGAGACAUUCUUUGGAGGAUUUUAGAGAAGAAAGGAAAACGAGUAGCAUAUAUCCAAAUUACAAAGGAUAUGUAUGAUGGAGUAAGGACUCCCGUAAGAACUCAUGAAGGACAAACCGAAAGGUUAUCCAUAACUGUAGGGUUACAUCAAGGCUCAUCUUUAAGUCCUUAUCUUUUUGCAUUGGUAAUAGAUGAGUUAACGAGACAUAUUUAAGAUGAUAUUAUUUGGUUUAUGCUUUUCGCAGACAAUAUAGUGUUGAUAGAUAAAACUCAUGAAAUAAUAAAUGCGAAGCUUAACAUUUGGAGAUAAGUGUCGGAAUCUAAAGGUCUUCGCAUAAGUCGGUCAAAAAAUAGUAUAUGGAAUGCAAGUUCAGUGCAAAUGGAGGCUCAAAUGAGUUAUGGAUAAGGAUUAGAGAUUAGGAAGUACCAAAGAGUGACUGCUUUCGCUACCUAAGAUCUAUCUUGCAAAAAAACAGAUAGUUGAAGUGAAAUAGUGCAUUCGGCGUGUUGUGUGACCGUCGUAUGCCACUGAAGCUCAAGGAAAAAUUUUAUAAGAUGACAAUAAGGUCGGCAAUGCUUUAUGGCCUGGAAUGUUGGGCGGUGAAACAUCUACAUGUACAUAAAAUGGGUGUAGCAGAGAUGAGAAAGUUUCGUUGAAUGUGUGGGCACACGAGAAAUGAUAAGAUUAUGAAUGAGGAUAUCCGAGGUAAAGUAGGAGUAGCCGAAAUUGAAAAAAAAGAUGAGAGAAACUCGGUUACGGUGAUUUGAACAUAUGAAACGAAGACCUACUGACGCUCCGGUUAGAAGAUACGAUUACGAAACAGAAGUUCAAAGCCGAAAGGAUAGAGGAAUACCUAGAAAGACUUUAGAAGAAACUCUAAGAAAAGAUCUAAAGUAUUUGGAUGCAAGAGAAGGCGUGACACAUUACCAAAAGUAAUGACUUUCUAAGCUCCCGUUUGGGAGUGAGGUGCUUUAAAAAAAAGCACCUAUGAAAAAAAGCCCAAAGGGAUUAGGUGUUUGGUAAACUUUGAAAAUCAGCUUUUUUUUCAAAGUUUGAGAUCAAAAUAAGCCAAAAUGGGGAAGCUGCAAAUAGCAGCUUCCAAAAGCCCAAAGCGGCUUUGAAGAGAAAAAACACGGGUGAACAGUAAAAAAGUUAAUGAAAUUUUUGAAUAACCCAAAAUUACCCCAAGACAGGUCUCUCUCGUAAACCCUAAAAUUUUCUCGCCUCAGCUCUCUCUCGUAUGCAGCCGCUGCACCUCUUCCUCCUCACUGCCCUCUUUUAGUGAAGAAAAUGUUGCGGCGUCGACCACCUUCUCAAUUUUCCCAAGACCAGGUAAAAUUGCUAUAAAUUUUGCAUCUUUGUUCUUCCCAUGUAUCCAAUUAGUAUAUAAAAAAACAUCAUUUUUAAUGUUAAAAUUCUUUCCUAUAUAUCAUCAGUUCGUGUGAUUCGUUUGGUUCUGUUUUUCUGAUUGGUUCCUCGUACUUUGUCUAUGUCUUGUGCAAAAUUGAUUUAGUUACUUAAGGAAAUCAUGAAAGAGAGGAGAUUACCUAGUUAACAUUUGUUUUUGUGUUUUUGGGUUCAAUUGAUAGGGCGGUGGUUACAUUUGUUAAUGUUCUAAUGUUCUAAUUUUUCAGUUUUGGGGUUUGAAUUAAUUCUCUAAAUUCAGUUUGGGGUUUGAAUUAAAUUUCAGUUUUGGGGUUUGAAUUAAGGUUUAUCAUGAGAUCCAUGAAGCACUCUCCCCUACCUUUUGAGCAGCAAAACCACUCUCCCCUGCCUUUUCUAUCUAUUGAUGUUCCGUUGAGAAGAUUUGUGUGUUGUUGUUGGAUCUGCAUUUUUGCAUAUCCAUUUUUAAUCCUCUCUAUUUGUUGAUGCUUGCCAGUACACUGCUUUUAAUCCUCCAUCUCAUGUUGCAUUUUCAGACUGUGCUUCCUCCCGUCUAUUAAUCUCCACCGCCACGGUUUCAUCUUCUCUGUCUUGCUCUAGGUAUUGUUCGUUCCUAUUGUAUUGUAUUUAUGGUUUUCGUUAAUAUUUAAUUGUUUCCUGGAAAGAGAAAGAAUAAUUGAAAACACUUGAUUGUUAAUUUUGGAAACUUGCAAAUAAAUUUUUGAUUUUGUUGUGAUUACUAGUAUUAAUUGAAAUCAAUGCUUUUGUAUGUGGUUUAUUUGCUUUUGCUUCUUGGUUUAUUUGUUUAAUUGUUUGUUUGGUUUCUUACUUCGAAUUUACGGAUUUGUUUUUAAGGUGUUAUGGGCUGAUGAUUAUUAUAGGAUGCUGCUUGUUUUUGGGUUAGUAGCUGUCUAGCAUCAUCAUCUUUUGAUACUUGAAAACCAACAUAAUUGAAAAUACCAAACUUCAGCAGUGAGAAGCAGAUUGUAUUUCUAAGUUCUCACAUUUUUACGUGCAAAUUAAUGUCCCAUGGAAAUGAUUUAUCAAAUCUGCAACUCUGUAGCUGUGCCCUGAUUGUGCAUUUUAUUAUUAAAGUUGCCCAGUUUCUUAUCAUUUCCAUAAUACAUGCGGAAUAUUCUGGAUACCUAGCUAAAUAUAUUUCAAUUAAUACAUGCGGUUUAUUUGCUUUUUCUUUUGUUUUUAUCUCACCAACAAAACCCCCCAUCUCUCACUUUAUAUACCCUCAUCACAUUUCACUCUUUAAUUGCAUUCCCAACCUCCAUUUUCUCUCUAAGUUCCUCUGCUCUGAGAGGUCAGUGCCACUAUUUUUUUCAGGAUUUUGUGUGUUCAAUUACACUUCUUUGGGCUUCUGAAAGUUUACUGCUUUACUUCAUUAUCUGUUGUAUUAAGUGUUAUUGUAUGUAUGUGUGUGUGUGUGUAUCUCUGAUAUGUUGUGAUGUAUUAUUCUGAUUUGAGUGCUACUGAAAUAUUAGCAAUGUUCUUGCAUAUGUUGGGACAUGGUGUGAAAAAUAGAUUAGCGCAAGAGAGAUUUCAACAUUCUGGUGAGACUAUUAGUAGAUAUUUUGGUGCUAUGUUGGAUAUCGUAUGUAAGAUGGCAAUAGAUAUUAUCAAAUCGAUGGAUUCAGAGUUUCGUGGCAUUCCCUAAGAAAUAAGGAGAGAUACAAGAUACAUGCCUUAUUUUAAGGUAAAUUUUGACUCGUCUUCUAACUUAUUUGCAAACUAUAAGUGUAGGUUGACGGUUUUUUUCAAUGUUAUUAUUUUUAGGAUUGUAUUGGUGCCAUAGAUGGAGUACAUGUUGAGGCUUCAAUACCACCUCCGGAUCAAGUUCCAUACAUUGGUAGGAAAGGAAUACCGACUCAAAAUGUUAUGGCUGCAUGUAAUUUUGACAUGCAAUUCACAUUUGCUUGUGCUGGAUGGGAAGGCACUGCACAUGAUACAAGGGUUUUUCUAUCCGUGCUACGCUACGAAAUCCAAAUUUAAACCUUUCCUAAGCCUCCAAAUGGUAAUCUUCAUACUUAUAUUAUAACAUUUUACAUACUUGCUUUGUAUAAUUAAUACAAUACAAACAAAAUUUUCAAUUUGUCAGGAAAAUAUUACUUGGUAGAUGCGGGAUACCCACAAAUGAGAGGUUAUUUGGGACCAUAUAAAGGUGAAAGAUAUCAUCUCCCAGACUUUCGUAGGGGUGCCGAACCAACGGGUCAUAAAGAGGUAUUCAACCACACACAUUCUUCUCUUAGGAGCAUCAUUGAACGAACUUUUGGGGUAUGGAAGAAAAAAUGGUCAAUUUUAAGGGAUAUGCAUAAUUAGCCGUUCAAUAAGCAAGUGAAGAUUGUCAUUGCUACAAUGGCUCUUCAUAACUACAUACGGAGGUAUUCUGAACGUGAUUGUCAUUAUGAUGACCCCAGAGACUAUUGUGAAGAGAGCGAUAGUAGUGAUGAUGAUGAUGAAGAAUAUCGAAAUUAUGAAGUUGAAGGAUCAAAUGAGAUAGAGGCAUUAAGAAAUAGAAUAGCGGCAAGUUUGAUGAAUGCAUCUAAUUAGACUACUUUCAAGUACAUUAACAAUAUUGUACUAAUGAAUUCUAGCUAUUUAGUCUAAAAUAUUUCAAUUGAAAUAGUUUGUCAUACUAAUUAAUAUUUAAGAUAAAGUUUAUAAAUAUUUUUCUUUUAAAAAUAAAGUAUAUUUAAUAAUUCAUCUUUAUUUGUUAAGAAAAUUAAAUUAAUAGCACAUAUAGUAUUAUACCCUUUUGGUCAUUUCACACAGCCACAGCUGUUUUACAUAAAAGUUUACCAAACACUAUCAUACUGCUUUUUUUUCAAAAGCACUUUUACAAAAAAAUUUACCAAACAGUCUGCUGCUUUAUUUCACAUACGCUUAUUCUCACAGCAAAGCCGUUUUUUUCACAGCCGCUUUUUUUUAAAGCACAGCAAUACCAAACCAGCCCUAAGAUUCAUACUUCCCACUUGCAAAAUAAAACUUUGUUGUUAUUUCGAUUUGGGUUCGAUAUACGGUUCGCUUUUUUGAAACCACCCUUACAAGUUCGGGGUUGUAGGGCGACCACCGCUCGGUAAUUAAAAAUGUUUUCCAAUAACAGACGUUAUUUUAGACCAGUUUCUAAUACAUGGAAAGAUCGUUGUUUCUAUAUUUCCGAUUAGAUCCCUUUUUUUUUUUUCCAUAUUUCCGAUGGCCUCGGAAAUUCCAUGUCAAAAUAUUGCUGGAUAUACAGUUUGCAGCAUAACAUAAAAUAAAACGAGAAACAAUUUCAGGGAAGUGAAACGAAAAUGAUGCAAACUUAAUCCAUUUCAUUUAUGAUGGAAUCCAACAUAUUUAUAACUAAUUAACAGAAAAUAAAGGAAAAACAGAGGAAAUUGAAAAGGAGAGGGUAAGAGAGAUCUGACGACUUUACCAGCACCCCAAAACGCAUAAAACAGUGAGAAUUAUUUAUUUAGAGAAAAGGUGGGGAAAAGAAGGAGGGAGAGGAAAUCAUGGGACUUAGUGGCAUCGGUAGGAGAAGGACUCCAGAUCAUCAGGUUUUCUCACCGAGCAACUAAGUCCUAUAACUUCCUCAACCUCUUUCUCCUUUUCCCCUUCUCUCAUAUCAUAUUCUUCCCCUUUUUUUCUUAUUCUUUCCUCACCAGACGACGAAAACAACGCUGGCCUCACUUUCUCCCAUUUAUAUACCCACACAGCGUGACGUGGCCCUAGUUUCAUAUAUGGGCCGAGUUUGUUGACCCAAUGAAUAUUAUUCAUGUUUGGGCUGAGCAUAGGCCUUCUUUCUUAUUUCAUGUUUUUAUUGUCUAAUAUGCUCUAAUUUUUUUGCUCCAUAUUUUCAAUCUAGAAGUUUUACGUUUGAGCAAAAAUAAUAUGUGGUGUUAUCCACAUAUCGUCUUUUACUUCUUAAGCACUCCUCUCAUUUUUCGAUGGUCAGAUUUAACAAUUGAAGAAUACCAAUGGAUAAAUAUUAAUUUAACAAGAGUGUGUAAGAGAUAAAACUGAAUGAUACUACUACCCAAAAUAAAUUCAUCGGGUCUAAAAUUCAUUUGGUGGGUGUAUGAAAGGGCUUCUCGUUGCGCCCCCCCCGGAAAAACACAUUUUACAGAAUAAAUAAUAUAAAUAAAAAUAUAAAUAAAGAAGUUGUAGUAUCAUAUGCAGGGAAACAAAAUAAAUUCAUUGAAACAAAAGAGAAUGUGCGGUUUAAAAGAUACAUUAACGUGCAAAAUUCAUUCCUUAUAGAGGAACAAUAUAACAAUAUUUAAAAAAAAAAAAAAAAAAAAAAAGGAGGCUUAAGAGCUCAUAUCUCUGAAGAAACACCAAACACCUCAUGGAUGAAGAAGUAUAUAUGAUGAUGCUUCCAAAUGUUCAAUUUAGUUGAACCCGAAUCAACUUAUACAAAAAUGAGAUAGGAGCUCAUAUCUCUCUGGCUAGAAACCGUGUCUUUUCUUCACCUUUUCAGGCCAUUUUCCUUUGCCUUUUACGCCAUCGCCAUUAAGUUUUUACACAUUUGACCUAAACAUGUUUAUUACUUACCGCAUCGUAUCAUAUGAGACUAAUUAGUUUUUAUUUUGUUUAAGUCCGUAUUUAUACUUACUUCAUACCCGAUAUAUAUACGAUAUCUUCCGAUGGGAGGCAUAUGUAACAUAAACAUUUGGCUCUCCAUCAUCAUACUCAUUUAUUUUACCUGUCCCGAUUGAACUGCCUUUGCCUGGGCUUGUUUGGAACCAUCAGCUUCUCAUUCUCGGUGAGGGCGUGGCGGAAAUGGCAGCGGUGACCGUACGGGCAGACAGCACCGGAAAGCACCAUCCUGCAGACCUCGGUCUUGUAGCGCGGGUGGCGGAUCACAGGGCGGAGCUCCUCAAUCCCAUGUGCAAACUGGCAGUGAUCGCCGUAAGGACACUCUCCGACCUCCUGCCACUUGUUGCACAGCUCUGUCUUGAACAUGCCUUGGUUGUAAACUUCCAAUUCCAGCGGUGGCUCCUCCUCUUUCACCCCUUUCGGAACGAACACUUUUUGCUGCACCAACCAUCGUCAUCAUCAGUUCCCACCACCAUCAUUACACAAAAUAAAACUGAAAGUUGAUGCACUGUUUAUUCAACAACUGUUUGUCCGCAUCGAAAUUAGAUUAAGAAUUACGCAAAUUAAAAAAAAAACUAAAGUAAAAUAAAAACCGCAUUAGAAUUAGACUGAAAAUUAUAAUUUUGUGAAUUAAAUUAAAGAAAAUUCAAUAGUGAGGAUAUAGGAAAUGGCUUACCGAAGCAUUGAAUGCAGUGGCGGUCACAGUCCGAGUGGCAGUGCUAGCACCGGCUUGAGCGGCCUGAGCAGCCUUCACGUAUCCGUUAGACCUCACAGAAAUGCUCUUAGGCAGCGAAAACCUCUCCACAUCAAUAUUCUCGGCGUCGCCGCCUUCGCUCUCAAUCACACUCGUAGGGCUCUUGUUGGACACGUCCCGCUCUGCUCGCUUGUCAUCAAUUCUCAUGUCGCGAAGUCCGCUAACGAUCCCAAACGGCGUCGUUGUCUGCACAGAGGAAGGGGAACCGAACUGUUUCUGCACGGAGGCGUGGAUGAGUAGACUGAGUUGCUUGUUGAGCUCGAGAUUGAGAGAGCGGAGAUGAACGUUCUCGCGACGGAGAGCGUCGGCUUCCUCGGAGGUUUCUUGGAGGCGCUUGAGGCAGCGGCUGUGGCGGUUCACCAUCUCCUGAUGAUCUUGAACGAGGAUCGAAUGGUAGAGUUGGCGGUGGCGGUGAGCUGAAGACGAGUCGUGGUCCGAUUCUUCGACGUCGUAUCGACUUACCGAAGGCUUGCGAUCGAAUAUAGCGGAGUAGAGGGAAGCGAACACGGCAUUAUCUUCGCUAGAUUGCGAUUUAAGUGGCGAUUGCGGCAUUGCAGAUGUGGCGUGGCCGCCAUAAGCGGUACAGGAAGUGUCGUUUUGCAUCUCCAUUGUCUUCGUUUCGCUGCACCUGAAUUACAGAGCCAACGCAAAAAAAGCGUUAAGUUCAAUUCGCGAAAGAAAAACAAGAAAUCUAUCGCUUUAUAAUCAAGAAAAGCACGUAAGCGAACAGGAAUUGUACCUUUUCUCGAAAUUCCGGUUCAAUUUCUUCAAUUUUACUCUGAAAUUUAACAGAGGAGCAGUGCUCUCUGAAGCAAUCUAAUUAAUGAAAACAGAUCUAAAUUUAAUUUCACAUAUAUUGAAAAAUAAAUAGAAUUGUCAAAAAAUUGAGGAGAAAUCGAUCGAACAAAGAAUCAAAACAGAGACUAAAAAGCUGUUUGGAUCGAGAGAAAAAGAAGAGCAGUUGUUUACCUUCAGAAGCAACAGAAGAUCUUCUCCUCUUUCUCCUCCUCCUCCAGUUGGAGUGAGAAGAGUAACGAAUGGAGGUGCUCAGGUACGGUGGCUGGUUUUAAAGGCGUGGCGGUGGAGGAGAGAUUUGGAGGGAAAGGGGAGGAGCAAAACGGAUUCGAAACUGUUUUAGACAAGCGCUUAGCUGAAUGCCUUAUCAGCUUCUCAACCGAGGCAUCCUAGUGUUUUUUACCUGAUCUGUCCUCAUUGUUAGACCAGCUUUGUUGUAUUAUGCAGGGUUUUUUGGUCAUUUACUAUCAUCGGUUAGUUAGAACUGAACUACUGAAGAGCAGGAAGUUAUAUCUUCAGUUCCUUUGAGCCAUUGGAUUUUGAUGGAUUUGAUCGAACGGUUUUCAAACCUUUCCGGCCCGUCAGAUAUGGGGCAUGAUGAGAUUCAACAUACAAGCGCCCGCAGUAGAUAAUUUACUCAGUGUGUUCACCCACGAGGUUAGAGUGACUGAGUGAGUGCCAACUGGCAACUAGUUUGCAACAAAUGUUACAAAUACCAAAAGGGUAGAGAAAUGCCUAAAUAGACUUGAAAACAGAUAUGAAAUAUUUAGAGUUAAUCGAAGAUUUGAUAUAAAAUGAGCGCAAUAGCGUUUUAAGAUUCAUACAGUCGAUCAUAUUUAAUAGGAUAAAGCUUUAUUAUUGUUGUUACUUGUUUUGGGUCAACCAAUGGGUUGAUCAACCCUCAAAUUGUUACCUAAAAUAAUCCAAUCACUCAUAUUUUUACUUAGAAGAUUUAGAAAUGUUAUUGUGUUCUUAAUAUAAAAUUAGCUUUAUUUGGCCUUUUGGGUAAACCGGUUUUCAAUUAACUUUUAAUUAAGGUGGUUAAUUAUUUAAAAAACCGAUUAGGACAUGAGUAGCAUUCAAAUGAAAGACGGAAUACAAUCAUCGCUUUCUAUCGGUUAUGGUUAUGGGGAGGAGGUUGCUUGUUUAACACAUCCACUGGUAUAACAACCUGCCAUCAAAAUCUACUAUCCGAUGUUUGGUAAGAUCGAUCCCGAAUGCCUCCCUCCCAAUAGCAUGUUUUCUCAGCAUAAUUAAGCUUCUUCUUUAUUCAAACAAACUGCUAAAUGGUUUUACUGUCUUUUUCUAUGCAGUUUGGCCGUGUUUUCCACGUAGCUUCUUAUGAUUCAAACAUUAUCUAUGAAAUCAAAUUGGAAAUCAUUAGUCUUCCAUAUGUAACAAAUCAAUGGUAACAAAUAAGAUUCUCAUGAUACUGAUGAUUAAAAUAUCUUCAACUUGAUUGUUUUUUACAAAGUUGAUCUUUAAAUAUGAAUUAAGAACUCGAUUAUAACAUGUGUAUGGUGAAAUCCGUUAUUAAAAUUGGGUGGACAAUGAGGCACACUCACGUAAGUAAUUCCUUAAUUAAGGCAGUGAACUUUGUACAACCAGUAUGUCACGUACCCUUUCAUAUGUUGUGUACAUUAUACUAGUACAUAAAUGAAAAACAAACACUAUCUCCUAUUUUUUAUUCAUGGAAUACUCGUCACUAAGAUAGAUAACGAGAAAUGUGUUGGAUCUUAUAGCUUCUAUGAAUGGUAAGAGCAAAUACUUAACUUCCGCCCAAGAGAAUAAUGGAUUAUCUUCCCUUUGAAUUUGCAGCAUAACUUUCAUGAAUUGCGGCUCUGCAUUUGUAAUCGUACUUCUGCUAAAAGGAAAAAAAAACACACACAAUAUAUACGUUAUAUUUAUUUAAGAAAGAAACAAAAGAAAUGAAUAUGAUUGAUGUUCAGAGACCUCCUUUGCUCUAGCAUGGCCCUCAUAUGAUACAUAUUGAUCAGCUCCAAAUGACUCCUCGAAGUUUCGGAACGUCGAAUCAACGUCAGGCGUAUUGAGAUCAGCAUGAUCGUAAGUUUGUUCUUCACAAACCCCGAGAUCUUGCAUAUUCUGAGACCACAGCUGCAAAAUCAAUCAAUUGAGAAUUCUUCGGUGCAUAUUCAGCCGAUUAAUUCAUAAAUGUAUGUCAUGCAUUGAUCUACUGCCCGUAAUUUCUGUCAUUUACCUGACUAUUUUGCACUGGACUUCUGCAAUGCCAAGAUGAUUCUGUAUAAAAUGGAAGUUCUUCAUUACAUUCGAAUUUCCGGCUUGAAGUAGCACUGUUGUGAUGAUGCACUGAAGAACGUUUAUCAUGACUUUGUUGAUCAUGAGCAGAUACCAGAAAUGAAUUAGGGUUAUUCUCCUCACUCAGCUGAAGCCUUUUCAAAUCAAGAAUCUGAUCCAGAAUAAAACUGUUACAAGAGCUUUUCUGAUAUUUACCUCCAUCUCCAUGGGAAGAUAUCUGCAAAAGAUAUUAAUACCAAAAAAAAAAAAAAAAAAAAAAAACCCUAACUUUUAGAGAUCGAAAUGUAAAGUUUGGCUCGUCAUAGAAAUUCCAAGUUUACCACAUUUCUGCCAGUACUGGUGGACAGAUUCUCAUUCAGUUGGAACCCCCAAAAUGCUGCAAAUUCCUUGGCGGAUGGGCAACCGGUAUAACUGCUGAUCAUGGUCCGUUUCUGAUGCGGCCGUGAAGAGUGCCGGUGCAGGCUCUGGUCGCAUACGCGGCACAUAAACAUCCGGUGAUCCAAACACUGAUCGUCGGCUGAACGGUAUUUGCACGAAUCGCAUAAGAGGGUUCGCUGAUGGGAGUCGACAAUUGGGUUAGCAGAAUGGACUUUUGCAUCGCAGGGAAGGCAAAGAUGUGCAGCGUCGGCUUUACAGUACACAACUGGCCUUAAAUCCAAGCACAAAUCACAACUUUUCUUCAUUGGGUUUGACCUCUAUAUAUAUAUAUAUACUUCACCAAAUUCCUCCAAAGAUUCAAAUUGCUGCAGCAGAUAUUCAUCACACCAGUGGUCACUGGACUUGAACUGACCUGUUUUGACUUAAUUAAACAACGUAUUAACUUGCUUCUCUUUUUAAUUAACUAGCAGUUGUACACAUACUAUGCUUAUUAAUUCAACAUUUAUAAACCUCAACAUACGAAUUUGUUUUUGUUAACUCAUCGUCACAAAAUUAAACACUUUACUAAUCAUUAUACGUAAUUUAUGCAGCAACGAAAUGCUCUUGCAGACAAAUAGAGCAUUAUUUGUUCAUAAAAACAACAGCAGCAUUUUAUUAAAGUCAAUCCUUUAAAACGAACAAAGACAACUCUCCCUACGCAGCGUUUUAUUAAAUUCAAGCCUUUAAAAUGUCGGCGUGUUGAGUUUCAAAAGAUAAAGCAAAACAACUCCUCUUCUUCGCGAGUUGUAGCCACCGUGCCGCAGACAUUGCAUCUAAAUUCAGCCAGCACAACCUGCACAUAUAAUUGGGGAGUGCUCGGAGGUCCUCUCAAGCCUUUCUCCCGUGGCUCCCGGGACCACCGAGUCCCUCUGUAGAUCCGGCCCUAACCCAAUCGAUGGCUAACGUAAAUGUGUAAAUCUCGAAAAAAAGCCUAGGAAACUUCCGAACAAAUUGAAGGAAAAAAAAAAGGGGUAAACAGCAACCUCAAUUCGUCUUAGGCGAUCCAAAGAUUCCAAACUAAAAGAAAACACUAAAAAAGAUCCCCUGUAUACGUACAAAUUAAUCCCAAAAAUAAUUGUAGUUUAAAAUUCAGAAACUUAAUUAAAAACCCUAAUAAGUAAAGAUAAACUAAAACCUAUCAUCUUAUUUCCUGAGAAAGAAAAAAAAAAAAGCAGUCUCAGAACGUCUACUGCGUAGAAUUUUGCACUAAGAAAUACAAUUUUUCCGGGGAAAAAAAAUCAAGGCUCAUGAGGCUGACCUUCUUCUCUUCUGAUUCGGAGGAGCUGCCGCUCAAAUGUUCAUGGCCUCUUAGAAAUCAUCUUCUCCGAAACUUCUUUGGCUAUAUGGGGGGACGUGUAAAAGUGAACCUUUUUUAUAAGCGUAAUAUUCCGACAUGGAUCAUGGACAGCGGGUCCCACCGGCGGUCUGAAGGGAUGUUCUUAUUGGUGGAUGAAGAGACCUUACCUGCUUCCGCCAAUGGGGGUUUGACAGCACUUGAGCUCUGUUAGGUAUUUCGGCGCGGGAGUUAGGACUGAGUUGUGGAGUCCAUAUACCCAACCACACGAAUAGCCAGCUGCCAAGUACGGAUUUCCGUACCUCCAUUAUCCAUACUCCUCUUUUGUUGAUCUUUUAAUUUUUUUUUUCAAAUACAAAUAGUUGAUGUCACAUUCACUUUAAUUCGUGAGAUUUAAAAUUGUUAGACCUACUCCAACUCUGAGCUAAAUGCCAAAUAUUUAGCCCAAAAUUCCCCCCAAACACCCCCCAACCCAAGCUAAAAUAUUGGGCUAAAAGGGGAAUGCUAAAAUUGGGCCAAAUUCCCCCCCCCCCAGCCGCGUGGACUCGCCCAGUUUUGGGCCACUCUCGGCCCGUGGACUCGCGCACGCGCCCCACGCCCACAGCUUGCAACCGGAGCCCGACAAGAGGGGGUCCCACCGUCAGGCCUUGUCGGCCACUCUUCAGAGCCCCAACGGCUCUUUUCGAAAUCAAACAGGCAGGAUUUAAGGACCGUUGGUUGAUCCAACGGUCCAGAUUCAAACUUUAUUUUUAAAAAAUAUAUUAUUUUAAAAUACAUUGAAUCUAACGGUUCAGAUUGAAUAUACUCAAAUCUAACGGUAAAAAAAAGAUCUAACGGCCCAAAUUUAAAUCCAACGGCUAAAAUAAUUAAAUAAAUUUAUUUAACACAAAAUUUACCCAAAAAAUCUAUAAAUACCUAUCUAUUUGUUCAAACAUCCACACAAAAUUCAAUUUUCUCCUACAAUUCUUCCAAUUUAUCUUUCUAUCAUUUCUUUCCAUUUCCAAAUUGUUCAACAUGGCAAGAGAGCAUGUUAGAGGUCGUAAUUGGACCUUUGAGGAAGAUGUUUCUUUAUGCUUGGCAUGGGUGUCUGUUAGUGAAGAUGGUGCAGUUGGCACAAAUCAAAAUAAAAAGGUUUUGUGAGAUAAAAUCAUUGCAAAGUUUCAAGAAAACUGCAACGGCAGCGGGCGAGACGGUGGUGGUGUUUAUGAUCAGUGGAAGACUAUCAACAAAGCAUGCACUUUAUGGAAGGGAAGCUUAGAGAGAGCCAUGGUUGGCAUGCCUAGUGGAAGGAGCGCCAUAGAAAUUGUGAGUUUUUUUCUUGAUAUUUUAUUUGUCAUGUACAUAAUAUUAUUUUGCAACUAAUUAUUUUUAUGUAUUUUUUGCAUAGGGUGACAAAGCAAUGGAAAUUUACAAGACAAGAGUAACACCAAAAAAUCAAGUUUUUAAGUUGCAACAUGCUUGGUAUUGUGCCAUCUCCAUUGCCCUGCUACGCCUUCUUCUAUCACUCAUUGAUGAGAUAUUGAGAAUUUUUAGGAAACAAAAACUCUUUGAAAGUUGAAAGAUUGGUGAAUAUAGAGGAUGAUUGAAGGUUGAAAGAUUGUGUGAUCACUAAUAUUGGACCUGUGUUUAUAUAGAGGAUGAUUGAUGGACGGUUGGUGAAAGUUGAAAAUUUUGUGUUGAACGGUUGGUGAAAGUUGAAAGUUUGGUGUUGAAAGUUGAAAGUUUGGUGUUGAAUGGUUGGUGAAAGUUGAAAGUUUGGAGUUGAACGGUUGGUGAAAGAUGAACGGUUGGUGAAAGUUGAAAGGUUGGUGAAAGUAGUUUGCUUUGUAAAAAAUUUAAUGAUUUUUCAAUAUUUAUCGGAAUUUAAAUUUUUUUAGAUUAAAAUGUUCAUAAAAUUAAUUUACAAUAAUCUACAUAUUUAUUUUAAAAAAAAAUAUUGAUUUAAGAAAAAAAUUAGCCUAAGUUCAUUCUUUAAUAAUUCCGGGCUAAAAUUUUAGGCCAGAAGGGUUGGAGCAGAAAAGAUGUUUCUGGGCUAAAAGCCAAAUUUUCCGGGCUAAAAAAUUUGGCUUUUAGCCCAAGGGUUGGAGAUGGUCUUAGAAGUGGUUUAUGAAAAAUUACCCUAUUCAAUGUGCGACAAAAAUCUGUUAAAUAAGACGAAAAUAUUCUUAAUUUUGUCAAAUCAUAAUGUGCCACAAAAUUAUCCUAUUCAACUAAUAAAUUUAGUGUUUUUUUAAAAUAAUACAUUCAGUAAUGUGCGACAAACCUACUCUACAAUUUUUUUUUAUCAAAUCCAAUUUUAUCAUGUGGUAACGUUGCCCAACUCUUUGUAAACAUACCAAAAAGCCCCUUAUCGCUCUCACAUUUGAAUACAUAGUGACAAAUUUUAUUUAAAAAAUAGUAUAAAUAUAGUAAGAAAAAAUAUAUAUUAAAUAUAGCAGUUUUGAAACAUAUUUAUUCACCACCCUCGUACAAAUUAUAUUUGCACUAAUCCGAAAAUAAAGGAAAAGAAGCGAAAAGAUGAAUUUGAUAUUGCCAUUAAAGUCUAAAGCUAGCAUAAGGAGUCGAGCAUGACUAAUCACACAACCAGCCGGGAGUGGGAACUCUUGUGCGGAAGCACACCAACAAGCUUCACACACAGGAGUCGGUAUUGCCAAUAUUCUCCCACCUUAGCCACACAAAAAAACGGAUAUGAAAUUUUACCAAAAGACAUCGGCAGUAUAUGUGGUACUAUUCCUUGUAAACCAUAGAUGGCUCACCCCACCCACGGAUUUGGGACUCAGUUGUGGCUCUAAUCUCAGCCACCAAACCCAACAGGAGCUAUGAUUAAUUAGGCAAAACCUAGUACUUGAUACGAUAAUAGAGGAGACAAGUUGAAAAAAUAUCCUACCUAAAUUCUAUAAAUUGACAUUUGACAUGACAUAAGCUUGUUCAUGCUUUCAUUUGCAUCAAAACAAUAACUUUACCAACAAGGAAAUCAUAUUGCAUUAACUCAAAGUAAUUUUUUAUUUAUGAACGCAUGCAAGAAAUGAAUGUAGCAGAGAUGAAAAUGAUGAAAUUGAGGUUCCACCAUAAAACCAAUUGGUAAUAUAGGGUGUAGCCCAAGAUCAUAUAAGCACAUAGCAAACCUUGUCCCUCACCGAUGUGGGACAACUCUCAACACGCCCCCGCACUUGUGGCGGAUUUUCAAGCCUACAUGUGGACAACAACUGGGUGACGUGGAGCGCGUGUGGCCGUUUGACUUCACACGAGGACAACCUGCUCCGAUACCAUGAUGAAAUUGAGGUUCCACCAUAAAACCAAUUGGUAAUAUGGGGAGUAGCCCAAUAUCAUAUAAGCACAUAGCAAACCUUAUUGAAAUUGAGAUUCUACCAUAAAACCAAUUGGCAAUAUGAGGAGUAGCCCAAGACCAUAUAAGCACAUAGCAAGCAUUAUCCCUCACCGAUGUGGAACAACUCUCAACACGCCCCCGCAUGUGUGGCGGAUUUUCAAGCCUACACGUAGACAACAACUGGGUGAUGUGGAACGUCAAUUUCAUCAGAAAAUAUUUCGUACACUUUUGGGUAGAUGAGAAAUGACAUGAUUAAGAAUGAGGUUAUCCGCAAUUGAAGAUAAGAUGGGAGAAAAUCAGUUAAGGUGAUUUGAACAUGUGAAACGAAGACCUACAGAUAUUCUGAUUAGAAAAUGUGAUAUGAGAUUAAGACUCAAGGCAAAAGGGGUAGAGGAAAACUUAGGAAGACUUGGACAAAGACUUUAAGAAAAGACAUGGAGUACUUAGAGCUAACAAAAGACUUGCCGCAAAAUUAAGUGGCAUGGCAUUCUAAAAUUUAUAUAGCUAGUGAGAUACGACUUUAUUGUUGUUAUUGUUAUUGAUUACUGUAAUGUGAGAUGAUAUCAAGAUUUUCAAACGAAGCAUGAAUUGUGAUGUAUUUUCCAACCAGAAAAUCAAACUGUACAGUUAUAUAUGCACAAGACCAAGAUGCAUCCAAAGCAAAAGUUUAAUCAACUUCUUCUUGUGAUCGGAAGUCACGGAGAAUCCAUGUUCUGUUGAUGGUUUUGAGGUUCGUUACAAGCCUUAUCGUUGUCAAAGUCAGGUGACUGAUUAAUGAAAACAGACGAAACCUCAGAUGCAUCAUGUUCCUGCCAAAUGAUCAUAUAGGAACAGAAAUGAGAAGAGAGUAUAAGCCACAAACCAGAAGGGAAGGAAAAUCAAAAUUCACACCACGACUGCACUUGCAUUGCCAUUAUCUGAUUUAUCAACGGAUAUGCCCUUUAUAACACAUCUUUAUCAUGAAGCACUGCAGCUCUGAUAGGAUCUUGAUCACCUCCGAAUAGUUCUUCGAAGUUUUGAAAUGUCAUAUCAACAUCAGGUAUAUUGAAAUCAUCGGGACAAACAAGUUCUUCACAAACUCCUAUGUCUUGCAUAUUUUGAGGCCACAACUACAAAACCAAUACAUGACCAUAUGGUAAAACAAAAUGAAAUUUGUUCUAAUUUCUAACUAACAAGGCCCUGGGUACGACCCUGCGUAAAGCGGGAGCCUUGUGCACUGGGUAUGACAUUUUUCUAACUAACAAGGCCUAAAGUUUUCAGUUGUUGUUGAACAUAAUUAAACCUUAUUCUUUCUAUCGCGGCACUUCUAAAUGGUAUCAGAUAAGUGUUUAAAUGAAUAACAAGUGAUAAAUAACUACAUAUGAUCCCAAGAAUCCAAAUAAAUCAAUUUCACUGGCAUUAAUCUAACCUGAUUACUUUGAACCGUACUUCUGCAUUGCCAAAAGGAUUCUGUAUGCAAUGGAAGUCCAGCAGUUGAAGAUGGUUGCAUAAGCUCCAUUUGAGAAAAUGGAAAUGAUAAAUGAUCAACUUUCAGCUCCUGAACUAGACUGUCCCUUUGCCUAAAUUUAGUGCCGGAAUUCUGGGAAUGUUGUAAAAGCCGAUCAAGAUGAACAUUGAGCCGCUUUGAUGUCUGAAGUACUGAGGAAGAUAGGUCAAUUUGUUCUGUACCGCGUAUCAGCAGCGAAGGUGUAUUCCCCUCAGCAAGCUGAAGCCUUUUCAAGUCAAGAAUCUGGUGCAGAAUGAAAUUAUGCUCCUGACCUUCAUGAGAUAUCUGCAAGAUAGAACAAGCACUGACGUACACUUUAACAUGCGAAAUUACUGUGAAUUCUCAAACCUAGUCACAGAAGACUGCACCUCUUCCAUAACGGCGGAUGUUCAUUAUCAAGAGAAACUCCAAUUCUGGUAGUCUGAUCAUGUUUUUUUUUAAGUGCGGCUAAAUAAAACUAGACAAUGAAGAUUUACAUACCAUUUUCACAUUGUAUAUUCAAUAGUGCCAAUUACAUUCUCAGCCAAGUUUAAAGAUAACAUAUAAAUAGUUCCUGCAUACCUUGUAUUGUUGACUGCUUCAGAUUCAGCACCUGGAAUCCAGGUGAGAGAAUUUACUGCCGGAAGGCUUUCGGCUCGAGAGCAAGACUGUUCUAGACCAUCCAAGUUUACUGCACUUGAGUCACAAGAAGAGCCACAAGAAUUGGACAAGUCCUUAGCAAGCGGUGACCUGUGUACGAAAAUUCUACAAUCCAUCAAUAUGUAUUGCAUACAUUGCUAAAUCUAGCAGUCGAGUUGGGUUACUGUUGAUUGCAUACAUCAAAUCAUACUAGGAAAACUCAACUGACCUGUGUAACAGCUGAUUGCCCUUUUCUGAUGUUGGGAAGGGAUCAUGUGCAAAGCACUCUCACAGGCACAGCACAUAAACAUCUUGUGAUCCAAACACUGGAUAUAAGCUGGGCGGUAUCUGCACGAAUCACACAAAAUACUGCGCAUAUGCCGGUUAAAGAGUGUGUUUGCCGAAUGGACCUUCGCAUCGCAGGAAAGGCAAAGAUGUGCUGCAUCAGCUUUACAGUACACAACUGGCCUCAAUGCCAAGCAGAAUUCACAAAAUCUCUUUAUUUUCCGUCCUUCAAAACUUUGAAACCCCAAUUCUGCCAAGCCCUAUUGCUGUCACAGAUAACCAACAUUAAAUAUACAAUCUUUCUUGCACGUAUGUGUGUGUGUGUAAACAUACUAUUUGUGAUUUUCCAUUUAGAUCUUAAUAAGAUCAGGGCUUCAUGUUUCUCAGCUUUUACUUUUUAGAUCAGAUACGGAUGGUUGAGAGACAAUUCACCAGUCCUUAUGCACUAACCGAAUGACUAAAUGAUUUCCGAUUUUCGGUGAAUUUUUACAAAGACGAUCUUUGAAUGAGAAUCUAGAAGAUAAAUCCAUCUUAUCGUAUCGUGUGAUUAUACUGUGAUGCGUUCUUAGCAAAGUUUGAAAUUUUAUCAUCAUAUAGAAAUUCAAUUAUAAUUAAAAAAAAAAAAAAAGUAGACAAAAUUCGGAGAAAAAGUACCUCUUUACGUAGAGCGGGUGAAUGAGAGCAUUAAGCUCUUUGUUUUGGAUAUCUUCUACUUCUUCCUCCUUUUAUCACUUUUGAAACUUUAUGGGUCUGACGUGGACAUUUAAAAGCGGAAACUUUUCCAGCGUGGAUUCGGAUACGUGGUUCGUGGCAGUGGGAUCAUCAUCCACGUCAUCCAAUUCCCAUUGACUGAGAGACAAGUGUGACUUCUUACGCGAUCCAUGUGAUCCAAACUCUCACCUGGUUCCGCCGAUGGCUGUUUCAUUUUCUCUAUUUUUUUUUCUUUCGGUUUUUAAUCCACCCCACCAAUUUUAGGGAGAUACUUCAUUUUUUUUUUAUCAAAACAAUAAAUUUAUUAAAUCAAAUGUUAAAUUAGGAAGCUAGCAGGAUUCAAAACUACACCGUAAUGCAAGAACAACACUUCUCUCAAUUAUUUUUCCUUAUAGAUAAAUGAGAAUUUGAACAUGUAAUUUGUUUACGGGUUAAACAUGUAAUUUGAUUACAGGUUAAAUUAUAAUUUACAUGUUAGUAUAAACGACUAGCAUGUACGGAAUCAAACAAUGUCCAAAAAUUUAAUUAUCAAUACACUUGACUUUGCACUGUGAAGAACUUCCACAAGGCAGAAAUGCCCGAUGUUGCAUUAUUGGUUUAAAACACUACGACAGUCACAUCGCUAACAUAGGUAAGUUUUUCUUAUCAUAUCACAAAAAGUUAGGGAAUAC